AGUAGAUUAACCGAUGAAGGUAAGAUUGAUCAAACCAAGGAAGAGAAAAUUCUUCUGAUAUUGGAUGAUGUGUGGGAUGUUAUCAAUUUUGAUAAAAUAGGGAUUCCUGACAAUCACAAAGACUCUAGAAUUCUUAUAACCACACGCAAACUCUCUGUCUGCAACAGAUUAGGAUGCAAUAAGACAAUCCAACUGAAGGUCUUAUAUGAUGAAGAAGCAUGGACCAUGUUCCAAAGGUAUGCUGGUCUAAAAGAAAUGUCACCUAAAAUUUUGCUCGACAAGGGCUGUAAAAUUGCAAAUGAAUGCAAAGGGUUACCAAUUGCAAUUGCUGUUAUCGCCAGUAGUUUGAAGGGCAUACAACAUCCGGAAGAGUGGGAUGGGGCCUUAAAAUCUUUGCAGAAACCCAUGCACGGUGUUGAUGAUGAACUUGUUAAAAUUUAUAAAUGCUUGCAAGUGAGCUAUGAUAAUAUGAAGAAUGAGAAGGCCAAGAGACUAUUGCUUUUGUGUUCUGUAUUUCGAGAAGAUGAAAAAAUUCCUACCGAAAGCUUAACCAGACCUGGCAUCGGAGGAGGCCUUUUUGGGGAAGAUUAUGUCAGCUACGAAUAUGCUCGAACUCAAGUUGUUAUAUCCAAAAAUAAACUCCUAGAUUCUUGUUUGUUGUUGGAGGCCGAUCAAAACAGAGUGAAAAUGCAUGACUUGGUUCAUGAUGCAGCCCAAUGGAUAGCGAACAAAGAGAUUCAAACAGUGAAGUUGUAUGAUAAAGAUCAAAAGGCAAUGGUUGAAAGGGAGUCAAAUAUUAAGUAUUUGUUAUGUGAAGGCAAGAUUAAGGAUGUGUUUUCAUUUAAGUUUGAUGGUUCCAAGCUUGAGAUUCUAAUUGUAGCUAUGCAUACGUAUGAAGAUUGCCACAAUGUGAAAAUUGAAGUCCCUAACUCAUUUUUUAAAAAUAUUACGGGCCUUCGAGUUUUUCAUUUAAUGGAUGAUCGUUAUACUCAACUAGCUCUAUCAUUACCUCAUUCAAUUCAGUCGUUGAAGAAUAUUCGAUCGCUUCUCUUUACAGGUGUCAAUUUGGGUGACAUCUCUAUUUUGGGAAACCUUCAAAGUCUUGAGACGCUUGAUUUGGAUUAUUGUCGCAUUGAUGAAUUGCCUCAUGAAAUCACUAAACUAGAGAAACUGAAAUUAUUGAAUUUGGAUUAUUGUAAAAUUGCAUGGAAAAAUCCUUUUGAAGUGAUUGAAGGAUGCUCAUCACUUGAAGAGUUGUAUUUCAUACACAGUUUCAAAGCUUUUUGCGGAGAAAUAACUUUCCCUAAAUUGCAAAGGUUUUAUAUCAAUCAAUCUGUCAGAUAUGAGAAUGAAUCAUCAUCGAAGUUUGUAUCUUUGGUAGAUAAAGAUGCGCCUUUCCUAUCCAAAACAACAUUCGAGUACUGUUUGCAAGAAGCAGAGGUUCUUAGACUUAGAGGAAUUGAAAGGUGGUGGAGAAAUAUCAUACCUGAUAUUGUUCCUUUGGAUCAUGGUAUGAAUAAUCUAGUCAAGCUUAAUUUGAUAUCCUUUUCAAAAUUACCUUGUUGACACUAAAUCUCAAGUAUCAACGGUCUUCUCCAAGUUGGUUGAACUUCAUCUUUGGAACCUAGAAAAUUUGGAAGAAUUGUGCAAUGGUCCUCUUUCCUUUGACUCUCUGAACAGUUUAGAGGAGCUGUCCAUCAAGGAUUGUAAACAUUUGAAAAGCUUAUUUAAGUGCAACCUAAACCUAUUCAAUCUAAAGAGUGUAUCGUUGGAAGGAUGCCCGAUGUUGAUCUCCCUAUUUCAACUGUCAACUGCUGUUAGCCUAGUGUCGUUGGAGAGAUUGGAAAUAGAUGACUGUGGAUGUCUUGAAUACAUAAUAGAUGAAAGAAAAGAGCAGGAAUCGAGAGGUGAAAUAGUUGAUGAUAAUAACAGCACAAGUCAAGGUUCAAUGUUUCAGAAAUUGAAUGUUCUUAGUAUUAAGAAGUGUCCAAGAAUUGAAAUAAUACUUCCGUUUCAAUCUGCUCAUGAUCUUCCAGCACUAGAAUCCAUCAAAAUUGAAAGUUGUGAUAAGCUGAAAUACAUAUUUGGCAAAGAUGUCAAAUUUGGUUCUUUAAAAGAAAUGAGGCUUGAUGGUUUACCAAAUUUCAUUGACAUUUUCCAAGAAUGUAAUCCUACAAUGUCUUUGUCCAUUAAGAGGUCAUCUUCCAUUUCUGGAGAUACUUCCAAGCCACAAGCACAAUCAGAGUCAAUUAAAUGCAAUAUGUUUUCAUGGACUGAUAUAUAUUGUUGUGGUAAAAAAGAUGGGCACAAAUUGAGGAGUACCACAAGUACUAAAAUCCCAUUGGUUUAUGAGGAUCAACCGCAAGACAACUUAAUGGUAACCCUCUUACCUUCUAUUUCUUCUGUUAUGUUAUUUUUGUACUUUUUUAAUACAAUAUUGUUGAUCUCUGAAGCAUGGGUACUUCUAAAAAGGUAAAGUACCCGUACCGGUCUUUUUAAUACGAUACUAUUAUGGUGACAACUAGGGUACCCAUGGAAGAAUGGUGGGUAAUUUACCCAAAUUAAUACACAUUAGCCACAUAAGCACAUUUUUAAGUGGUAUCCAUGAACUAUCUUGACCCCACCAACAAAUUGCUCAUUUUCAUUGGUUGGUGGGUAAAUUACCCACCAUUCUUCAAAGGUAAUUUAGAAAAAACCUACUAUUAUAUAACAUAACUCAUGAUUUUAUUGUCGUAUCCGUCUUUUAAAAAAAUAGACGUAUUCUCGUACUGAUACAUGUAUCGUACGGAGUACCCGUACCCGUACCUAUGCAACAUAGCUAUUGAUACAAUUUAUUAUUUAAAAAAAAAAAAGUAUUUUUAAAGAGAAAUUAUUAGGUGAACUCUCACCCAACAUGUCAUCCUUACACCCAUCCAAUUAAAACACAACACCUCAUCAAAAUAAUAAUAAAAUAAAAAAAGCAGAUAUUUCCUUCUAUCUUCUCCCACUCUUCCCAUGAUUUCCUUUUGGUUUAAUUUCUCUCUCCAACAAUGGUGAAAGCAAGGAAAUUUCUAUUUUUUUAUUUUAUUAUUAUUUUGAUUGAAUGGGUGUAAGGAUGACAUGUUUGGUGAGAGUUCACCUAAUAAUUUCUAUUUUUAAAUUCAUUUUAUUAGACAUCCUAUGCUUGAAGAUUACUAUUAAUUUACAUUUUUUAUUUGGGUAGAAACUAAGAGAUUAUUUAACUUAUAUUUUUAUUUGGAUGACAUGAACGCAGAAAUCAAAGUCAUAUCCCCUUAACAUAUCACAUAUCUUGUGCAAUAUUAAAGAGAUUACACUGAAGAAUAUUUCGAAGAUGAAAUCAGUAUUCAUCCUAUCUAUUGCUUCUAGAAUGUUGUUGGAGACCUUGAGAAUUAGCAAGUGUGAUGAAUUGAAGCACAUAAUAAUAGACAUUGAUGAUCAUGACAACACUGGUGCCAUUAACUCGGGCACUGUCUUCCCAAAUUUAAGAAAUGUCACAGUUGAAGAUUGUGAGAAAUUGGAAUACAUAAUUGGACACUUCACUGAUGAUCAUCAAAACCACACUCAGAUUCAUCUUCAUCUUCCAGUAUUGGAGACCUUCGUUCUUCGCAAUCUGCCAAGUUUAGUCGGCAUGUGUCCCAAACAAUAUCACACAACAUUUCCACCUUUGAAAGAACUUGAACUCAAUAACUGCGGGGACGGUAAAAUCAUCAAGGUAUCCCUAUUUUGUAUAUCUUUGUUAUUUGUGAAUCUAAACUUGAUGAUUUUAAGUCAUUAUAUAUUUUUAAAUGAUCCCCUAAAAAAAAUGAUUUUUUUUUAUAAGUUUCUCUGUUUUUGUUACUUUUUAUAUUUUUGAUGUUUAAAAAGUUUAUAUUUCAUUCAUUUUAUGCUAAACAAAAAUUGUGGAGCAACAUUGAAUAAUGUUUAAAUCAUGCCUGUAAAAAACAUUAAAAAAAUUCAAAUGAUUAAACAUGUUUGGUUUCAUCAUAAACUGUUUGUAGGAUAAUUUUGUAAGAAUUGAAAAAUGCGGUUUUUUUAUGAUGGGGACAAAAAACGAAACAAUCAUUUUAUGUGAACUAAAAACAUGUUUAAUUUUUUUAAACAGGUGCAUUUUUUAGGGUGUCUAAAUAUGAACAUCUUAAAUUUUGUUCAAAGGUGGGUUACCAUAUUUAAUAAACAAUGACAUUUAUAUUAAUAAAAGAGCAAUGUUAUUUGAAUAAUCGAUAUGAAGAACAAAAAACUAUUUUAUUAUAAUUUACUAAAAAAAAAAAAAAAGUAGGGUCCAUGAUCCAUAUUAGAUUUUAGAAAAAAUAGUGGGUUGAGCUUCGUGAAAACACUUAAGUGAAAGACCAUGAUCAUGACAGUUAGCUAUUAUCAGUAGAUUGUGUGUUGUGAGUCCCCCACACACUUCACAUUUACUCUUCAGUGGCUAGUAGUUUGUCAAAUUGAAGUGAUGACGUAACAUGUGUUUUAAUUUUAAAGCGACAUGUUCCCACUAGUUAGCCUUCUUUUUUUGAUUUGCAUUUGUUGUUGAGCUCUUUUGCAUUUCUAAAAAAGAAAUAUGUUGUUGAUUCACGAUCCUUUUUGACAAACUUUAUUUUCUCAGAUUAAUACCUACUUCUCUUGACAAAUUACUUCUUUAAACUUCAAUAUGACCCUAAAAAUUUGGACGCAAGAUGGUGUGAGGAAGAAUGAAAGAAGUCUUCUAUAUAUUAUUAAUGAUUUUUAGGUAUGAAAACUAAGUAUUAUAUUUUAGGAAUUGAAUAAUACAAUCGCUAAUGUGUUUAUAUAGUAAAUUUUAAACUUACUAUACAUUAAUAAAACGAUAAGGAAGAAAAUAAAAGCUACCAAUAGUUAUCUAUAAAAGUUGAGUUCUAUGAAGAUUUAAGAAAUUAAAUUUAUCUAUAAUAGACAUUAAACUAAAUAGAUUAUCCAUAUUUUUUUAUUAUCAUCUCUCUUUGAACCAAACAAAUUUGUUUGGUGUUAAUUAUUCAAGAAAAUUAUACGAAAUUUUUUAUUUUGGGUAGCCAAUGAUAGCCAUUGUUAUGGAGCCCUUCGUCCUUGUCUACAACUUACACGAAAAUGUGAAUGUGGGGAUUGAUUCAAUGUGAAAUUUGAGAGUACUUGUUCUAAAAAUGUUCUGUAAGAUAUUUCAACGUUUAUAAUGUUCCGUUCAAUGUUCCAACAUCACGAAUUAAACAGAAAUAAAAACAAGAAAGUAAAUGACAAGAAAGUAAAGAACACGGUGAGUUUGUUGACCCAGUUUGGUGACAAACACACCUACUCUGGGGGCUACCAAGCCAGGAAGGAAAUCCAAUAGUGUAGUCCUUAUUCUAUAGCUCUCAGCAAACUCCUCGUUUACACUAAAGGCCUAGGACAUACCUGUAUUGAUUUCAACCUAGGAACUCCUAGAUCUGAGAUCUCAUCUCACUAUCCUAUAGUUAGUCACAACCCCUGUGAUCUAUCAGACUAAAAACAACAAACACAAAGAUGAAGUUACCUUCAAACAAACAACUACAACCGUACUUCAGAGCUUUUGAGUAGUACACAUGAGUAUACAACUCAACACACAGUCCUUAACAUGUAUCACAAACGACACAAGAAAGGCUCACAAUAAAAGGUAAUAAACUUGCAUCAACAUGAUACAAGAAUAGAACACAUGUAGACUCAAAACCCUAACAGCUAAACUUUUUUGAAUGACGUCUUGAAUUGUUUCAUUAGGUCUUGAAGUCACUCAUAUAUACUGAAGCAACUCGGAUCAAAUAAUCUUGUUAUGCUUCAGAACAAAACAGAUCGUCCAACAGAUCUGCAAAACAAGAAUCAGAAACAAAUAUGGAAAGUCCUAAAAUGUCGGAACAUCUUUAGGAGCGUCCAAAACAACUUCAAAUAUUUCCUAAAAUAUAUAUAAUCACAACUUUAGGAAUAUUCCACAACUGAUUCUGUAAAGAUACGCGCGUUGUUUGGUCAAUAGGAUAAGGAAAUAUUGUUUCCUUAAGUAAUAUUAGGCGCGCGUAUAGGCAUAAACGCAUGCACACAAAACCGUGCCAGGAUGUUGGAACAUCGUAUCCAACAUCUUACAGAGAUGCCUAAACACAUGUUGGAACAUUGGUUCCAACAACACAAAUAAAGAUAUUUGUUUUAGCAAUAAUGCAACCAAUACAAAUACCCUACAAUCUCCCCCUUUGACAAAUUUUUGGCUAAAAUAAAUUAAGGUCAAGUACAAAGAAUUAUAGAGGGAUACAGAUGACAUUCAUUUCCUCAAGCAGCAUGAACACAUACCUAUGAAGAAAUAGAUAGCACACACAAUCCAAAGACACAAACAAGGAUAUUUGUUUUAACAAUAAUGCAGCCAAUACAAAUACCCAACACAAUGGAGGAACAUUUAAUGGAAGAGAAUAGGAGUUUUUUUUUAAAGAACGGAGGAAGGAUAGCAGAUUGAAAAACAAAAGGGUUGGAGUGUCGAAAAUUAAAUAACAAUAGAAAUAUUGUUUUUUUGGUGGUGUUUGAGAUUCGAACCCUGGACCUUGGAUAAAUUAUGCGUUGUCCCUAUCAACUGAACUAAACUCACAAGGACAAAUAACAAUAUUAAUUUAAUUAAAUAAUGUACUACUUUCUUUUGGUUGCAUUAUAAUGAAUAAUAAUUUAAUCCAAAUAAAAAGUGAAAUAAUUUUAAUAUAUGGGAAGUUUUUUAUAAUGUAAUAUUUUUACGUUAUAAUAUAACAAUAUUAGUUUAACUAAAUAACACUUGUAGGUCAUCGUGAGCUUAGCUCAAAUGGUUGGAACAAUGCAUAAAAUACGUAAAGUCUGGGGUUUGAUUCCCGGCCACCACCUAAAAAAUAACGGUCUUAGGUUUGCUUCAAAGUUUUUCUUUUUCCACCAAAAGGUCAAACACAUAUUUUUCACGAGAUACAAAUUCCUUUCUUUGAGUGAGUUACCUCAAUUUUAAGAAAUGGAGUACUUCUUUCAUGGUCCUUCAUUUCAAACUCUAAUGAUAACUUAUUUUUGAGUCGUAGUCUCUCAGAUAAGUUAUUUUAUGUAGCUAUAAUAUCAUCAACAUAAACAAAAAGUUCAAUUAGUUUUUCUAGAUUCAUUACAAAUAUAAAGUGCGCUCAAGUUAAGAAUAGAAGAUUUUCUUUUUGCUAAUUCCUAAGCUUCAUUACAAUUAUGUUUCUCGUGAUAUCGGUUGAGCAUAUCAACGGGUCAUUAUAAAUUGGACAUGGCGUGUCUAAGUCUGGAGAAAUUGUGAGUUUGAAUCAACACUCUAGUAUAUAUCUCAAAUAACUUCACAGCUUUUUAUUAUCUCUAUUGUACUUACAGGACAUUGUUAUUCUCAUUUCACAUUCAUUUAUUGCAGGAAUUGAGUGGGAUUGUGGAUCAUUUUCUCGCUCUGAAGAGACUCGUGGUAAAGAAUAACUCCAAAGUAAUUUGUCUGAAUGAAUUAAAUGAACAUCAAAUGAACUUAGCUUUGAAAGUCAUUGAUUUGGAUGUUCUGCCUAUGAUGACAUGCCUUUUUGUGGGUCCCAACAGUUCGUUUUCCCUUCAAAACCUUACAGAAUUACAAAUCAAGCAAUGUGAAAAAUUGAAAAUUGUAUUCUCCACUUCUAUAAUAAGGUAUCUACCACAGUUGCUUACUUUGAGAAUUGAAGAAUGCAACGAGUUGAAGCAUAUUUUUGAAGAUGAUUUGGAGAAUACAGCAAAGACAUGCUUCCCAAAGUUAAAUACAAUUUUUGUAGUAAAGUGUAACAAGUUGAAAUAUGUGUUUCCAAUCUCCAUAUUUAGAGAGCUUCCCCAUUUAGUGGCUCUAGUGAUAAGAGAAGCAGAUGAGCUAGAGGAAAUAUUUGUAAGUGAAAGUGAUGAUCACAAAGUGGAGAUUCCAAAUCUAAAACUUGUAGUAUUUGAAAAUCUACCAAGCCUCAGUCAUGACCAGGGAAUUCAAUUUCAAGCUGUAAAACAUCGUUUCAUACUGAAUUGUCAAAAACUAUCUCUGACUUCAGCAUCAACACUAGACUUCGAAUAUGAUAUUUCUGAUUUAUUUAUUGGCAAGUUUGGCUAUGCCUAUGGCUAUGGUACACACUCUAUCCAAUAUUCUUAAAAACUAUUAAUGUUGGCUGUAAAUUAUUACAUACCAUUUGUUUAAAGGAUAUAUAAACAAUUGAAUCUUCUAAAGUAGCGGUAAGAGGUAUGCAUGCAUAAGUAUUUCUAAGAUGUAGUGACCUAUAUAAUAACAAAGAUAGAGAACGAUUCUAUUAGGCAGAUAGAUAAACAAUAUGCUUGAGUGGAAGUUUAUAUUUUAUUAGGCUUGAGUUACUAUAUAAUCAUGUUAAUCUCUAUAAUAUUUUGAUGUAGGUUGGGAAUUGGUUCAGUAUUGGAGAAUUCUGUAUCGACAAUUGAAAUGGAAGCAUAGGAGUCCGGAUCCACAGGUAAAUAUUUUGAGAUUGCGAUUGAAGUCCAGAAAUCCUGUGCUUACCACAUAUCAAUCCAACCACCAUGAAAAAAAAGGAAACAUACACCAUAGAUAGAGAAUGAACUUAUUGAAAAUGUUCCAUAUUUAAAAAUACCAACAAACUCAGAAGUAAUUUGCAGGCCAUGGAAAAUUCCAUUAGUUAUUUAAUGGAUGUAAUUAAUAGCGGAAGAUCGUUAAAGCUUUUGUUCUUAUUACAGAUCCAUGAACUAUUGAUGAAGCAACUUCAUCAAUUUGGAGAAAUUGAUACUGCCGUCAAACCUUCUCAGGUAAAUCAUGUAUUAUUGUACCACUGCAUCGUGCAUAUAAAGAUAAAAAUGAAAUACUUAAAGAAAUAUAUUUUAUUUCAAGUGCAACAUUCUAACUUACAUUUUUAAGCCUAGCGGCUAGAGAAUUCACCUUAAGGAUAAAUAAGUGGGGUGUCUGGGGUUCGAACUCUGACCCCUGCAUAAAUUAUGCAAUAUCCCUUACCAAGUGAGCUCACGGGAAUUAACUUACAUUUUUAUGAUAUGCAAUUAGUUGGAGGGUUCUACUACAUCUGAAAAAAAUGUAGCAGAAACGUUAUCAGCCAUUUCAAUAACAAAGAAUGAGUCACCUAUACAAAAGGCAUUUCCCCUGAUUUGCUUGUAUUUUUUUUAACACUUUGUCAAUGCAGGAAUUGAAUUAUACUACAAUCUUAAACAUCUUUUUAAUUUGGGUUAAUUAAGUUUUUGGUCCUUAUAAAUAUCUGCAGUUUUGUUUUUGAUCCCUAUAUAAAUAAAUCACACUUUUUAGUCCCUACAAAACUUUCCGUUAGUGUUUUUAGUCUCUGUUAAAUUAAAAUUUGUUUAAUUAUACUUAAAAUUUUAAAUUUUUUAAUGAUUUUUUACAUACUUGUUUAAAACAUUAUAAAAGGUUCCGCCACAAUAAAUUAGCUCAAAAUUUUAUUUUUAGGUCCAAAUUUUCGUUAGUUUUAUCUUGAAUUUUUGGCGUUUUAAAAAAAUUAUAUUUAAUUCAUUACAUGUUAAAAAAUUCUAAUUUUUAAUAAAAGAGAUUAUUAUAAUGUUCUUAACAUGUCUGUUAAAAAUCAUUUAAAAAUAUAAAAGCUUAAGUAUAAUUAAACAAAUUUCAAUUUAAUAGGGACCAACACAUACUUUUAGUCCUUGUAAAAUUAAAAUUUGCUUAAUUGUGCUUAAACUUUUAAAUUUGUAACAUAUUUUUCACAUACUUACUUAGAAUAUUAUACAAAGUUCCUCCGCAAAAAAGUAACUUAAAAUUUUAUUAUUAGGUCCAAAUUUUCAUUAAUAUAAUCUUGAAAAUUUGGCUUUAAGAAAAACUCAUAUUUAAUUCAUUACAUGUUAAAAAACUAAAAAAAAAUUACAAAAGAGUGUCUUACGAUGUUAUGAACAUGUAUGUAAAAAAUCUUUCAAAAAUUUAGAAGUUUAAGCAUAAUUAAACAAAUUUUAAUUUAACAGGGACUAAAAACACUAACAAAAAAUUUUGUAGGGACUAAAAAGUAUGAUUUAUUUUUAUAAGGACUAAAAACAAAACUGCAGAUAUUUAUAAGGACCAAAAACUUAAUUAACCCUUUUAAUUUUAAGCAGGUUAGCGAAAUAAGUGUUCAAGAAGGAACUACAACAUCUAAUGCCAAGAGAAGAACGACAUCCUUACAGGUGAGUUUAUUUUAUUUAACAAUGCCUUCAUAUUAACUUGGUCUUUUUAUUAUGAUUCAAUGGCCAUGGAAUUGGAUUUGUAAGAAUCAAGCCUUAAACUAAUUUCGAUAUAUCGAGAAGAAAAAAUCGAAAUCUACAGCUUUUGAAUUUUGAAAAAGUUGGAUUUAUGGGUGAUGAUUUGUCCAUUCUGUUCACUAUUUUCUCCUUCCGAAUCUUUCGUCCUUUUCGAUUUGGCUACAGAUAUUAAAAAAGUACAAAGUUUGACAGGUUUAGUCCAUUUUAAUACUUCAUUCAAUGCAUGCUUUUGGUUUUUUGUAACUGUACAAAAGAAGAAGAAAAAACAUCAUUCAUUUUAUAUUGGUUUCCUAAAAGAACCAAUGUUUUGGGAGAAAAAUAAAAAGCUAAAGGACCAAAGAUCAAUAACGGAUGGAGUAAUAUGUAUUGAGGCAAAUCCAGAAAAAAUAUUAAGACUUCGUGAUGAUAUCAUUUGUGUGUUUGAACUUGAAUUUUUGUAGGAAUAUGGUGACGGCGAAAUGGCCAUAUCUUUUCCUCCAAUUUCCAUAACAAGGCCUCUUACCACUCAAGAAGUUCAUGUUAAUAACUUGCAGGAAACUAGUAACACUAUUGAUGAUGCUGUUAUAAAAGUAACCUCAAUUGUUGAGGAACAAUUUUCUAAGGAUGUUGAAUUUAGAGUUCCAGAAUCUAAGCUCUCUCCUAUCAUCCCUUCCCCUCAAGCAUUUCAAUCUCCUCCAAUGCUAUCCGGAGGUAUAGAUUUUUUUCCUUCAUUUUAUUUUUAAAAACUUUAUUUGGUGUACUCAGAGAGGACUAAUGAUUCUUUUUUAUACUUUCAGGGGACCCUUCUCAAAUCGAUGAAGAAUUAGUAAGUUCAUCAUCAGGCCCAUUAUUUCAUUAAUAACUGCCAUUCGAUUGGUUUCCUUUGAAACAAGAUUUAAACUAAUUUUUAUAUAAACAUUUAAACAAGAUUGCUUCUGAAUCUUAUAUCCAAAGUUAACAGGAAUUGUUGCUCAAUAUUUGUAGAUGCUUGACACUGAAAUUCUUGUUUUCUAUUUUUAAUUUUAUCUGUAGUGGAAUCAGACUCUUGCAAACUAUAAUAUAUGGUGUUAAUUGUUAAAUAUAGUGAGGUUGAUCCAUUAUAAGAUAUGAUAUAUCAUUUAGUGAUUUAAAUCUGUGUAGGAAGAUCUUGAUGACCAAAUGGACAUGAGUUAUUUUUCAUUGCUACUACAGAGACCAAUGAUAAAGGUGAAAAUGCUUUGAAUCUAUUUUUAUAUUCUUAUGUUACUUCGAUAUUCAUCGCCCUUUUGAUUUUGAACUUUAUCCUCUCUCACAAUUUGUUUAGUUUCUCGGAAUGAUGAUGCUUUCAAGAAAGUAUGCUCAAAUAUUGAGGAACAAUUUCCUAAGGUUGAUGAUAUCAUAGUUUUCAAAUCUAAGCCCUCUCCUUCGAUCACGACUUCUGUUGCAUCUCAAUUUCCUCCGGUGCCUUCUAAAGGUAUUUAUUGCUUGCAUUUUAUUUUUAAUUAACUUUGUUGUGCUCAAAUAGGCUUAGUUUUUCUUUCCUAUUUCAGGGGUUCCUUCUCAAAAAGUAGAAGAUUUCAGUUCUUCUUUGCUUGUCAAGAGGGAGCUUGAGCAACUACUCUCCAAGAAGCAUUUGGAUUAUGAGAACGUGUCUUUGUUGACUGAUUUCUUUGUUAAACAUCCUUCUGUUCGUUUGAAGGACACUUCAUUGAGUAACAGAUACAAGGGUUAUGCCUACAAUUGCCUAGCUGAGCUAUUGAAAUUCCUCCAAACUCAUAGUGUGUUGGAUGUGUUAGGUUCAAGCCACUCUGAAUUUGUUGAGUUAUUACAAGAUGUGCGCAAAUUUGGUUUUGAUAAGGAAUGGUUGGAUGAUAUUGAAAAACGCGUUUUGUUGCCUGGUUUACAAGUCUCUCAAGAUGCAUUGCAAAAAUUGUUGGACUCAAAACACAUUUUGACUCAACAUGUGGAGGAUCUUAAGCAUCAAUUGUGUCACGACCCAAAAAUUCACAUUUGUGACCGGCGCACGAACUAGAACAUCCUAGUCCGGCAAGCCUAAUAACAACAGUUGACAAACUAUAAUUUAGAUAAAUUUCAAAUUUACUUUCACUUAAAAUGAUAUCCAAUGAAAUUUCGACAGAGUAUCCUUUGUAUUUUGGAUACUAUCCAAGAUAUAAAUCCUGUCCAAUUCAAAACAAUUCAUUUCUAGACUACCAAUAGCUGCAGAUACAUCGACCAUUCAUUUCAUACAUAUAGGAGACCUACCAAAAGAAUGACAUUGAUAUAUCUUUAACUCUGCUACAAGCUUUCUACGCACUUGACUUUGAAUCUGAAAAAAAUGUAAGAAGGGGUAAGUCACAAAGACUUAGUGAGGAGACAACAACCACCACCAACUAGAAGGGAAACACACAAGGGCACGAAUAUUUAUUUUUCUCAAAUCUAAUUUUUAAUUUACAAGGCUAGUAACCGUAUAAAAAUAUAAUAAACUCACAAUCAGUACCAUGAAAAUUCAUAAAACUUUGUAAAUCUAUCAAACCAAAUAAGACUAUCAGAAUUUCAAUGUCGUCAAGAAGUGAAAUCAAAUCCACAACUUUAAAGAAAAUAUAGAAAUCGAUUAUAAUGAAAAGGAAUCGAGAUAAUCAAAUCCAAAUAGAAUAUAAAAAUCGGACUUAAUGAAAUGGAAUCAAAAUAAUCACUUCAAAGAAAAUAUAAAACUAUAUUCGAUUUCAUAAUACCAAAAUAAUCAACUUUAAAUAAAGUAUAGAAAUCCAACUUUAAUGAAAAUAAUCAAAUGGGUGAAUCGAGCACUAGCUCCAUCUCGUUGAUAGCCCUCUCCUCCUAAUGGUGGCCUUUCCAUGGGGCGGCUCCAUCUAACGGAUAGCUCUUUUCUCUCGACUCAAAACAAAGUGUAAAACAAUUUCAAUUAGAGAGUUUACCUCUCAUUGAUAGCCCUCUCCUCCUAAUGGCGGCCUUUCCAUAGGGGCGGCUCCAUCUAAUGGGGUAACUCUACCUAAUUGAAAUCAGAUACUAGGUGCUCCUAGGUCGUCGUCAUUAUAACCGUAAUUUUUAAAACACCAUUCUUAAAACACAUGUCUAAAACCAUAUUUCAGAACAUAAUGAAACUUAUGUCAAUAUAGGUUCAUCAAAACUCAAUCGAAAAAUCUACUACUUAUCAUCAUAAGUAAAUCCAAAUUCAAAUCCAAAUCCAACUGGAGUGUAUAAUAGUACCAAAAUAAUUUUCAAACCAAAACCGUAUUUCUCCAUAGCUCAAAACUCAUAUCAUAGUAGAUGUAACCAAAUCUCGAUUGCAAAACAUUUGCUCAAUAAAUCAUAAACAAGUUCAAAACAGAGACCAUAAUAAUAUUCAUGACCUUACAUCAAUUUCAACGAUAAGAAAAAUGUUCAAAGGGUGUGCUUCCCGUUUUGAGAAAUACUUUAAAUUAUAAAAUCACCAAAAUAUCAAUAAUAGCGAUAAUUAAAAUAAGUGAUAAUGAUCGUCAUCAACUCACCGAUACGACGAAUCAACUAAACUUGUUCUCCAACCAUCCUAGGAGAAACAUUGAAAGCAGCUGCCCACAUACCCAUUUCAAGAAAAGCCGAAGCACAACAAAACAGAUUCAAGCUUCUUCUUCAUUAUUAUUAUUAUUUUUUUUCUUUCCAUUGCAGCAACAUGGUUUUGGAUUCUUGAGGAGCAAAACCGUGGCACAGGAUUGCAAUUUCCUUGGUCCCAUAAUAUUGUAAUAUACCCACUAAUUGUUUUCACCAUAGUACUUGUUGGGUAGUAUGACUCUAUGUUUCUCAAAACUUCAAAGAAUCUAAAUGUUUCAAAGAAUGGGUGACUCUCUUCUUUCUCUAGAGCACCUAACCAAAUCCCAAAAUUUUACCCAAGUAUAUUUGUAGAAUUAGGGAAAAGUUUUCUUAGAUAUGAAAUUCUUCUCAUGAGUGUUUGAAUUUUGGAAGGAAUUUGGUGAUUGAAAGAGAGAAGAAGAAGAAGGAUCGGUCAUGGGUGAAGGAUGGCAAAUGGAAGUAGAAGGUGGAAGAGAGAACUGGAAAGUUCUUGUGAAAAUAUGGUGGGGUUAGGUGGUUCAUCUAUUUUAUAUAUAUCUUCUAUACUUCCUAUCCUUUUUUUUUAAAUAAAAAAAAAAAUAUUAAUAAUAAUAAUAAAGAAAUAUAUAAAAAAUCUGAAACGGUGCGUUUCAAAUUGGCUUCCUCUGAAGCUGUUUUGCAGAACAUCACUCAACAGGAGGCACAAAUUUUACAAACUCGGGCUGCUUUAUGUGAUCCUAUUGGCUACUAAACUAUUUUUUUCCAUGCAUUCGUUCAAGAUGUUCCCUACUUCUCUUUAUCCUUGAAUAUUAUUUAUUGCUUGGGUUGUUUUUCUGUUUUUCAUUUCAAAUGAAUUAAACAAAUCUUAUUGAUUGUUGUAUCAUUGUAUUAUUGAUAUCUUCCUUAUUUCGAAUAAGAAAACACGUUGAAAGCAUUUUGCUAUGCUAUACAUCACUCAUCAAUCAAUAUGCAUCAAAUGCAUCCUAAGAUUUGGAUAAAUAUUGGAAAAUAUCAAAUAGAAUUUCAUAUUCAGAAGAUUAUCCAAACUAGUAUAUGCGACAAACAAAAUGUGACUAAGAGAAAAGUUGGGAUCCUUUCAACAAAAAAAAAAACUGGGAUACAGUUUCAAUAUGCACAGAUGAUGAACGAAUUUAGUUUUGUAGAUUCAAUAGCAUGGUUGUUAUAAGUUACAGACGGCACCUGCAGUUGCAGCUGCAAUAUAAAGGUUUUUAAAGUCCCCCUAAUUAUAUUACAACCACAAUGUAGACGUAUUAGUGGUAUUUUUCAGAAUUUUAUCGCAAGAAGAAAGUUCUAAACGUAACAUGGUAAUAUGUUAAUGUUUAGUGUAGCCUCUAAAGGUCAGAUAGACUGUUCAGAUUUUUCAUCUCAGAACUUUUGAAAGGGCUAAGAAUAAAGUUGUGUUGUAAGUGAUUAGGUUCGAGCCAUUCUUGUACAAGGGGAAAUGAAAAACAGUGUAUAAACAAUGUCUGGUAAUUAUAUUCCAUCAUUGCUACUUUGUUAUGCUUUCCAUUGUGGGAACCUUUGUACUUCAAUAUUGUUCAUUUCUUCGGUGUAACGUUUCGUCGUUUCUCAUCCGAAGUGAACUAAAGAGUCUCAUUAUGUUUGUGUAUUUAAAACUAUUAGUGAUUGUUGUAUGUUACAUUGAUGAAGUUAUUUUACUGAAUCUUUCAUACAAUAUUGAUUGUGUUUGGGUGUAUUUAAAUAAUGCACCCAAACACCACAUCACACCUGUCACUGCUCAUGUUAAGAUUGCAAAUUAUCUCUAACAAAUUGUUUGUAACCUGGUUAGUCCCCCCAACACUUCAGCAUGCGCCUAGGACGAGGGCCCCAGUUUUCAACAUCCAUAGACAACAAAAUGGGACAAUGAUCAGAAAGGCCGCGAUUUAAAGCACGUUGCACCAUAUUGGGCCAAAUAGCGCACCAGUCUUCAGAUAGAAGAAAACGGUCUAGAUGGCUCAUAGAAACAUCAUCCUCUCUAAACCAAGUAAAAUUUUUGCCAUAAAGAGGAAGAUCAAAAAGGAUGUUACUAUCAAUGAACUUAAUGAAAUGAGAAUAAUCUUCAAUAAAAGAACCAACCACUCUGCUCUUGCGUUCAGUGGGAGAACGAAUAGCGUUAAAGUUACCACAAACACACCAAGUCUCUCUAAAAUUGCCAAUAAUCGUUCCAAGGUAGCAUCCACUGGCAAUUUGUAUAGGCCAUCUCUUUGCUCAGUCAAACCGAUCAUCCUCUUGGACAUUGAGUCCUGAAUCAAACAUUGAUAACCAAAAAGGAAGACAAUGCAAUUAGAAUGAUGGCAUAAUUUGAAAACAUAAAUAAGAUUCAAAGAAAAAUUGGUCGAAACAUCGACUCCUUUGUAGUCACUAAUCCUGCUUUGAAUCAAGCUUCUGAAUAUUAUAUACAUCAUAGUGAAGGCCCAAAUUAUGUGAUUGUUUCUCCGAAACUUGAUAGAUCUAGCUACUUGUCAUGGACUCGAGCCAUGCACAGAGCCUUAGGUGUGAAGAACAAGUUUCAAUUCGUUGAUGGAUCUAUUCUUAUCCCUGCACUUCAAGAUCCUAACCAUCAUGUGUGGGAAAAUUGCAACAAUCUUAUAUAUUCAUAGAUCGCGAAUUAUGUUAGUUCUCAGAUUGCACAAUCUAUCAUAUUUAUUUAGAAUGUUGUUGAUGUUUGGAAAGAAUUGAAGAGACAAUUUUCCAAGUCUGAUCACAUUCGUAUUGCUAAGCUUCGUUCCAGCAUCAAUUCUUUGAAAACAAGGUUCACUAUAUGUUACUGAUUACUUCACUAAAUUGAAGAUUCUUUGAGACGAAUUGGAGAGUUAUCAUCCUCUUCCUACAUGUACGUGUCAUUAUCAGUGCCAAUGUUUAGCCAUGAGUAAUGGUAAGGACUUUUGGUUAGAGGAUCCAGUACUGCCACAAUUUCUCACAGGCCUUAAUGAUCAAUUUUCAAUUGUUCAGACACAAGUGUUGUUAAUGGAACCUUUACCAUGCCUUAAUCGUGUUUACUCCUUAGUCAUACAAGAAGAGAGUAAAGAUGUGUUUGAAAGUGUAAUCUUGAUGAAUCCAACUCUUGAUAAUUCUGCUGAUUCAAAGAAGUUCCCUGGUAAAGGAAAAUCUUCAUUUUCUUCUGGCUAUAAGAGCAAGCUCUGCACUUUUUGUGGACGCCAUGGCCACACUGUUGAUACUUGUUAUAAGAAGCAUGGAUUCCCACCAAAUUUUGGUCAAAAUUCUUCUGUCAAUAAUGUAGAAUCAUUGCUUGAUAAUGUGCAUGUGGCUGAAAACGUUGAAUAAUGACAAAUAACAAUAUUAAUUUAAUUAAAUAAUGUACUACUUUCUUUUGGUUGCAUUAUAAUGAAUAAUAAUUUAAUCCAAAUAAAAAGUGAAAUAAUUUUAAUAUAUGGGAAGUUUUUUAUAAUGUAAUAUUUUUACGUUAUAAUAUAACAAUAUUAGUUUAACUAAAUAACACUUGUAGGUCAUCGUGAGCUUAGCUCAAAUGGUUGGAACAAUGCAUAAAAUACGUAAAGUCUGGGGUUUGAUUCCCGGCCACCACCUAAAAAAUAACGGUCUUAGGUUUGCUUCAAAGUUUUUCUUUUUCCACCAAAAGGUCAAACACAUAUUUUUCACGAGAUACAAAUUCCUUUCUUUGAGUGAGUUACCUCAAUUUUAAGAAAUGGAGUACUUCUUUCAUGGUCCUUCAUUUCAAACUCUAAUGAUAACUUAUUUUUGAGUCGUAGUCUCUCAGAUAAGUUAUUUUAUGUAGCUAUAAUAUCAUCAACAUAAACAAAAAGUUCAAUUAGUUUUUCUAGAUUCAUUACAAAUAUAAAGUGCGCUCAAGUUAAGAAUAGAAGAUUUUCUUUUUGCUAAUUCCUAAGCUUCAUUACAAUUAUGUUUCUCGUGAUAUCGGUUGAGCAUAUCAACGGGUCAUUAUAAAUUGGACAUGGCGUGUCUAAGUCUGGAGAAAUUGUGAGUUUGAAUCAACACUCUAGUAUAUAUCUCAAAUAACUUCACAGCUUUUUAUUAUCUCUAUUGUACUUACAGGACAUUGUUAUUCUCAUUUCACAUUCAUUUAUUGCAGGAAUUGAGUGGGAUUGUGGAUCAUUUUCUCGCUCUGAAGAGACUCGUGGUAAAGAAUAACUCCAAAGUAAUUUGUCUGAAUGAAUUAAAUGAACAUCAAAUGAACUUAGCUUUGAAAGUCAUUGAUUUGGAUGUUCUGCCUAUGAUGACAUGCCUUUUUGUGGGUCCCAACAGUUCGUUUUCCCUUCAAAACCUUACAGAAUUACAAAUCAAGCAAUGUGAAAAAUUGAAAAUUGUAUUCUCCACUUCUAUAAUAAGGUAUCUACCACAGUUGCUUACUUUGAGAAUUGAAGAAUGCAACGAGUUGAAGCAUAUUUUUGAAGAUGAUUUGGAGAAUACAGCAAAGACAUGCUUCCCAAAGUUAAAUACAAUUUUUGUAGUAAAGUGUAACAAGUUGAAAUAUGUGUUUCCAAUCUCCAUAUUUAGAGAGCUUCCCCAUUUAGUGGCUCUAGUGAUAAGAGAAGCAGAUGAGCUAGAGGAAAUAUUUGUAAGUGAAAGUGAUGAUCACAAAGUGGAGAUUCCAAAUCUAAAACUUGUAGUAUUUGAAAAUCUACCAAGCCUCAGUCAUGACCAGGGAAUUCAAUUUCAAGCUGUAAAACAUCGUUUCAUACUGAAUUGUCAAAAACUAUCUCUGACUUCAGCAUCAACACUAGACUUCGAAUAUGAUAUUUCUGAUUUAUUUAUUGGCAAGUUUGGCUAUGCCUAUGGCUAUGGUACACACUCUAUCCAAUAUUCUUAAAAACUAUUAAUGUUGGCUGUAAAUUAUUACAUACCAUUUGUUUAAAGGAUAUAUAAACAAUUGAAUCUUCUAAAGUAGCGGUAAGAGGUAUGCAUGCAUAAGUAUUUCUAAGAUGUAGUGACCUAUAUAAUAACAAAGAUAGAGAACGAUUCUAUUAGGCAGAUAGAUAAACAAUAUGCUUGAGUGGAAGUUUAUAUUUUAUUAGGCUUGAGUUACUAUAUAAUCAUGUUAAUCUCUAUAAUAUUUUGAUGUAGGUUGGGAAUUGGUUCAGUAUUGGAGAAUUCUGUAUCGACAAUUGAAAUGGAAGCAUAGGAGUCCGGAUCCACAGGUAAAUAUUUUGAGAUUGCGAUUGAAGUCCAGAAAUCCUGUGCUUACCACAUAUCAAUCCAACCACCAUGAAAAAAAAGGAAACAUACACCAUAGAUAGAGAAUGAACUUAUUGAAAAUGUUCCAUAUUUAAAAAUACCAACAAACUCAGAAGUAAUUUGCAGGCCAUGGAAAAUUCCAUUAGUUAUUUAAUGGAUGUAAUUAAUAGCGGAAGAUCGUUAAAGCUUUUGUUCUUAUUACAGAUCCAUGAACUAUUGAUGAAGCAACUUCAUCAAUUUGGAGAAAUUGAUACUGCCGUCAAACCUUCUCAGGUAAAUCAUGUAUUAUUGUACCACUGCAUCGUGCAUAUAAAGAUAAAAAUGAAAUACUUAAAGAAAUAUAUUUUAUUUCAAGUGCAACAUUCUAACUUACAUUUUUAAGCCUAGCGGCUAGAGAAUUCACCUUAAGGAUAAAUAAGUGGGGUGUCUGGGGUUCGAACUCUGACCCCUGCAUAAAUUAUGCAAUAUCCCUUACCAAGUGAGCUCACGGGAAUUAACUUACAUUUUUAUGAUAUGCAAUUAGUUGGAGGGUUCUACUACAUCUGAAAAAAAUGUAGCAGAAACGUUAUCAGCCAUUUCAAUAACAAAGAAUGAGUCACCUAUACAAAAGGCAUUUCCCCUGAUUUGCUUGUAUUUUUUUUAACACUUUGUCAAUGCAGGAAUUGAAUUAUACUACAAUCUUAAACAUCUUUUUAAUUUGGGUUAAUUAAGUUUUUGGUCCUUAUAAAUAUCUGCAGUUUUGUUUUUGAUCCCUAUAUAAAUAAAUCACACUUUUUAGUCCCUACAAAACUUUCCGUUAGUGUUUUUAGUCUCUGUUAAAUUAAAAUUUGUUUAAUUAUACUUAAAAUUUUAAAUUUUUUAAUGAUUUUUUACAUACUUGUUUAAAACAUUAUAAAAGGUUCCGCCACAAUAAAUUAGCUCAAAAUUUUAUUUUUAGGUCCAAAUUUUCGUUAGUUUUAUCUUGAAUUUUUGGCGUUUUAAAAAAAUUAUAUUUAAUUCAUUACAUGUUAAAAAAUUCUAAUUUUUAAUAAAAGAGAUUAUUAUAAUGUUCUUAACAUGUCUGUUAAAAAUCAUUUAAAAAUAUAAAAGCUUAAGUAUAAUUAAACAAAUUUCAAUUUAAUAGGGACCAACACAUACUUUUAGUCCUUGUAAAAUUAAAAUUUGCUUAAUUGUGCUUAAACUUUUAAAUUUGUAACAUAUUUUUCACAUACUUACUUAGAAUAUUAUACAAAGUUCCUCCGCAAAAAAGUAACUUAAAAUUUUAUUAUUAGGUCCAAAUUUUCAUUAAUAUAAUCUUGAAAAUUUGGCUUUAAGAAAAACUCAUAUUUAAUUCAUUACAUGUUAAAAAACUAAAAAAAAAUUACAAAAGAGUGUCUUACGAUGUUAUGAACAUGUAUGUAAAAAAUCUUUCAAAAAUUUAGAAGUUUAAGCAUAAUUAAACAAAUUUUAAUUUAACAGGGACUAAAAACACUAACAAAAAAUUUUGUAGGGACUAAAAAGUAUGAUUUAUUUUUAUAAGGACUAAAAACAAAACUGCAGAUAUUUAUAAGGACCAAAAACUUAAUUAACCCUUUUAAUUUUAAGCAGGUUAGCGAAAUAAGUGUUCAAGAAGGAACUACAACAUCUAAUGCCAAGAGAAGAACGACAUCCUUACAGGUGAGUUUAUUUUAUUUAACAAUGCCUUCAUAUUAACUUGGUCUUUUUAUUAUGAUUCAAUGGCCAUGGAAUUGGAUUUGUAAGAAUCAAGCCUUAAACUAAUUUCGAUAUAUCGAGAAGAAAAAAUCGAAAUCUACAGCUUUUGAAUUUUGAAAAAGUUGGAUUUAUGGGUGAUGAUUUGUCCAUUCUGUUCACUAUUUUCUCCUUCCGAAUCUUUCGUCCUUUUCGAUUUGGCUACAGAUAUUAAAAAAGUACAAAGUUUGACAGGUUUAGUCCAUUUUAAUACUUCAUUCAAUGCAUGCUUUUGGUUUUUUGUAACUGUACAAAAGAAGAAGAAAAAACAUCAUUCAUUUUAUAUUGGUUUCCUAAAAGAACCAAUGUUUUGGGAGAAAAAUAAAAAGCUAAAGGACCAAAGAUCAAUAACGGAUGGAGUAAUAUGUAUUGAGGCAAAUCCAGAAAAAAUAUUAAGACUUCGUGAUGAUAUCAUUUGUGUGUUUGAACUUGAAUUUUUGUAGGAAUAUGGUGACGGCGAAAUGGCCAUAUCUUUUCCUCCAAUUUCCAUAACAAGGCCUCUUACCACUCAAGAAGUUCAUGUUAAUAACUUGCAGGAAACUAGUAACACUAUUGAUGAUGCUGUUAUAAAAGUAACCUCAAUUGUUGAGGAACAAUUUUCUAAGGAUGUUGAAUUUAGAGUUCCAGAAUCUAAGCUCUCUCCUAUCAUCCCUUCCCCUCAAGCAUUUCAAUCUCCUCCAAUGCUAUCCGGAGGUAUAGAUUUUUUUCCUUCAUUUUAUUUUUAAAAACUUUAUUUGGUGUACUCAGAGAGGACUAAUGAUUCUUUUUUAUACUUUCAGGGGACCCUUCUCAAAUCGAUGAAGAAUUAGUAAGUUCAUCAUCAGGCCCAUUAUUUCAUUAAUAACUGCCAUUCGAUUGGUUUCCUUUGAAACAAGAUUUAAACUAAUUUUUAUAUAAACAUUUAAACAAGAUUGCUUCUGAAUCUUAUAUCCAAAGUUAACAGGAAUUGUUGCUCAAUAUUUGUAGAUGCUUGACACUGAAAUUCUUGUUUUCUAUUUUUAAUUUUAUCUGUAGUGGAAUCAGACUCUUGCAAACUAUAAUAUAUGGUGUUAAUUGUUAAAUAUAGUGAGGUUGAUCCAUUAUAAGAUAUGAUAUAUCAUUUAGUGAUUUAAAUCUGUGUAGGAAGAUCUUGAUGACCAAAUGGACAUGAGUUAUUUUUCAUUGCUACUACAGAGACCAAUGAUAAAGGUGAAAAUGCUUUGAAUCUAUUUUUAUAUUCUUAUGUUACUUCGAUAUUCAUCGCCCUUUUGAUUUUGAACUUUAUCCUCUCUCACAAUUUGUUUAGUUUCUCGGAAUGAUGAUGCUUUCAAGAAAGUAUGCUCAAAUAUUGAGGAACAAUUUCCUAAGGUUGAUGAUAUCAUAGUUUUCAAAUCUAAGCCCUCUCCUUCGAUCACGACUUCUGUUGCAUCUCAAUUUCCUCCGGUGCCUUCUAAAGGUAUUUAUUGCUUGCAUUUUAUUUUUAAUUAACUUUGUUGUGCUCAAAUAGGCUUAGUUUUUCUUUCCUAUUUCAGGGGUUCCUUCUCAAAAAGUAGAAGAUUUCAGUUCUUCUUUGCUUGUCAAGAGGGAGCUUGAGCAACUACUCUCCAAGAAGCAUUUGGAUUAUGAGAACGUGUCUUUGUUGACUGAUUUCUUUGUUAAACAUCCUUCUGUUCGUUUGAAGGACACUUCAUUGAGUAACAGAUACAAGGGUUAUGCCUACAAUUGCCUAGCUGAGCUAUUGAAAUUCCUCCAAACUCAUAGUGUGUUGGAUGUGUUAGGUUCAAGCCACUCUGAAUUUGUUGAGUUAUUACAAGAUGUGCGCAAAUUUGGUUUUGAUAAGGAAUGGUUGGAUGAUAUUGAAAAACGCGUUUUGUUGCCUGGUUUACAAGUCUCUCAAGAUGCAUUGCAAAAAUUGUUGGACUCAAAACACAUUUUGACUCAACAUGUGGAGGAUCUUAAGCAUCAAUUGUGUCACGACCCAAAAAUUCACAUUUGUGACCGGCGCACGAACUAGAACAUCCUAGUCCGGCAAGCCUAAUAACAACAGUUGACAAACUAUAAUUUAGAUAAAUUUCAAAUUUACUUUCACUUAAAAUGAUAUCCAAUGAAAUUUCGACAGAGUAUCCUUUGUAUUUUGGAUACUAUCCAAGAUAUAAAUCCUGUCCAAUUCAAAACAAUUCAUUUCUAGACUACCAAUAGCUGCAGAUACAUCGACCAUUCAUUUCAUACAUAUAGGAGACCUACCAAAAGAAUGACAUUGAUAUAUCUUUAACUCUGCUACAAGCUUUCUACGCACUUGACUUUGAAUCUGAAAAAAAUGUAAGAAGGGGUAAGUCACAAAGACUUAGUGAGGAGACAACAACCACCACCAACUAGAAGGGAAACACACAAGGGCACGAAUAUUUAUUUUUCUCAAAUCUAAUUUUUAAUUUACAAGGCUAGUAACCGUAUAAAAAUAUAAUAAACUCACAAUCAGUACCAUGAAAAUUCAUAAAACUUUGUAAAUCUAUCAAACCAAAUAAGACUAUCAAAAUUUCAAUGUCGUCAAGAAGUGAAAUCAAAUCCACAACUUUAAAGAAAAUAUAGAAAUCGAUUAUAAUGAAAAGGAAUCGAGAUAAUCAAAUCCAAAUAGAAUAUAAAAAUCGGACUUAAUGAAAUGGAAUCAAAAUAAUCACUUCAAAGAAAAUAUAAAACUAUAUUCGAUUUCAUAAUACCAAAAUAAUCAACUUUAAAUAAAGUAUAGAAAUCCAACUUUAAUGAAAAUAAUCAAAUGGGUGAAUCGAGCACUAGCUCCAUCUCGUUGAUAGCCCUCUCCUCCUAAUGGUGGCCUUUCCAUGGGGCGGCUCCAUCUAACGGAUAGCUCUUUUCUCUCGACUCAAAACAAAGUGUAAAACAAUUUCAAUUAGAGAGUUUACCUCUCAUUGAUAGCCCUCUCCUCCUAAUGGCGGCCUUUCCAUAGGGGCGGCUCCAUCUAAUGGGGUAACUCUACCUAAUUGAAAUCAGAUACUAGGUGCUCCUAGGUCGUCGUCAUUAUAACCGUAAUUUUUAAAACACCAUUCUUAAAACACAUGUCUAAAACCAUAUUUCAGAACAUAAUGAAACUUAUGUCAAUAUAGGUUCAUCAAAACUCAAUCGAAAAAUCUACUACUUAUCAUCAUAAGUAAAUCCAAAUUCAAAUCCAAAUCCAACUGGAGUGUAUAAUAGUACCAAAAUAAUUUUCAAACCAAAACCGUAUUUCUCCAUAGCUCAAAACUCAUAUCAUAGUAGAUGUAACCAAAUCUCGAUUGCAAAACAUUUGCUCAAUAAAUCAUAAACAAGUUCAAAACAGAGACCAUAAUAAUAUUCAUGACCUUACAUCAAUUUCAACGAUAAGAAAAAUGUUCAAAGGGUGUGCUUCCCGUUUUGAGAAAUACUUUAAAUUAUAAAAUCACCAAAAUAUCAAUAAUAGCGAUAAUUAAAAUAAGUGAUAAUGAUCGUCAUCAACUCACCGAUACGACGAAUCAACUAAACUUGUUCUCCAACCAUCCUAGGAGAAACAUUGAAAGCAGCUGCCCACAUACCCAUUUCAAGAAAAGCCGAAGCACAACAAAACAGAUUCAAGCUUCUUCUUCAUUAUUAUUAUUAUUUUUUUUCUUUCCAUUGCAGCAACAUGGUUUUGGAUUCUUGAGGAGCAAAACCGUGGCACAGGAUUGCAAUUUCCUUGGUCCCAUAAUAUUGUAAUAUACCCACUAAUUGUUUUCACCAUAGUACUUGUUGGGUAGUAUGACUCUAUGUUUCUCAAAACUUCAAAGAAUCUAAAUGUUUCAAAGAAUGGGUGACUCUCUUCUUUCUCUAGAGCACCUAACCAAAUCCCAAAAUUUUACCCAAGUAUAUUUGUAGAAUUAGGGAAAAGUUUUCUUAGAUAUGAAAUUCUUCUCAUGAGUGUUUGAAUUUUGGAAGGAAUUUGGUGAUUGAAAGAGAGAAGAAGAAGAAGGAUCGGUCAUGGGUGAAGGAUGGCAAAUGGAAGUAGAAGGUGGAAGAGAGAACUGGAAAGUUCUUGUGAAAAUAUGGUGGGGUUAGGUGGUUCAUCUAUUUUAUAUAUAUCUUCUAUACUUCCUAUCCUUUUUUUUUAAAUAAAAAAAAAAAUAUUAAUAAUAAUAAUAAAGAAAUAUAUAAAAAAUCUGAAACGGUGCGUUUCAAAUUGGCUUCCUCUGAAGCUGUUUUGCAGAACAUCACUCAACAGGAGGCACAAAUUUUACAAACUCGGGCUGCUUUAUGUGAUCCUAUUGGCUACUAAACUAUUUUUUUCCAUGCAUUCGUUCAAGAUGUUCCCUACUUCUCUUUAUCCUUGAAUAUUAUUUAUUGCUUGGGUUGUUUUUCUGUUUUUCAUUUCAAAUGAAUUAAACAAAUCUUAUUGAUUGUUGUAUCAUUGUAUUAUUGAUAUCUUCCUUAUUUCGAAUAAGAAAACACGUUGAAAGCAUUUUGCUAUGCUAUACAUCACUCAUCAAUCAAUAUGCAUCAAAUGCAUCCUAAGAUUUGGAUAAAUAUUGGAAAAUAUCAAAUAGAAUUUCAUAUUCAGAAGAUUAUCCAAACUAGUAUAUGCGACAAACAAAAUGUGACUAAGAGAAAAGUUGGGAUCCUUUCAACAAAAAAAAAAACUGGGAUACAGUUUCAAUAUGCACAGAUGAUGAACGAAUUUAGUUUUGUAGAUUCAAUAGCAUGGUUGUUAUAAGUUACAGACGGCACCUGCAGUUGCAGCUGCAAUAUAAAGGUUUUUAAAGUCCCCCUAAUUAUAUUACAACCACAAUGUAGACGUAUUAGUGGUAUUUUUCAGAAUUUUAUCGCAAGAAGAAAGUUCUAAACGUAACAUGGUAAUAUGUUAAUGUUUAGUGUAGCCUCUAAAGGUCAGAUAGACUGUUCAGAUUUUUCAUCUCAGAACUUUUGAAAGGGCUAAGAAUAAAGUUGUGUUGUAAGUGAUUAGGUUCGAGCCAUUCUUGUACAAGGGGAAAUGAAAAACAGUGUAUAAACAAUGUCUGGUAAUUAUAUUCCAUCAUUGCUACUUUGUUAUGCUUUCCAUUGUGGGAACCUUUGUACUUCAAUAUUGUUCAUUUCUUCGGUGUAACGUUUCGUCGUUUCUCAUCCGAAGUGAACUAAAGAGUCUCAUUAUGUUUGUGUAUUUAAAACUAUUAGUGAUUGUUGUAUGUUACAUUGAUGAAGUUAUUUUACUGAAUCUUUCAUACAAUAUUGAUUGUGUUUGGGUGUAUUUAAAUAAUGCACCCAAACACCACAUCACACCUGUCACUGCUCAUGUUAAGAUUGCAAAUUAUCUCUAACAAAUUGUUUGUAACCUGGUUAGUCCCCCCAACACUUCAGCAUGCGCCUAGGACGAGGGCCCCAGUUUUCAACAUCCAUAGACAACAAAAUGGGACAAUGAUCAGAAAGGCCGCGAUUUAAAGCACGUUGCACCAUAUUGGGCCAAAUAGCGCACCAGUCUUCAGAUAGAAGAAAACGGUCUAGAUGGCUCAUAGAAACAUCAUCCUCUCUAAACCAAGUAAAAUUUUUGCCAUAAAGAGGAAGAUCAAAAAGGAUGUUACUAUCAAUGAACUUAAUGAAAUGAGAAUAAUCUUCAAUAAAAGAACCAACCACUCUGCUCUUGCGUUCAGUGGGAGAACGAAUAGCGUUAAAGUUACCACAAACACACCAAGUCUCUCUAAAAUUGCCAAUAAUCGUUCCAAGGUAGCAUCCACUGGCAAUUUGUAUAGGCCAUCUCUUUGCUCAGUCAAACCGAUCAUCCUCUUGGACAUUGAGUCCUGAAUCAAACAUUGAUAACCAAAAAGGAAGACAAUGCAAUUAGAAUGAUGGCAUAAUUUGAAAACAUAAAUAAGAUUCAAAGAAAAAUUGGUCGAAACAUCGACUCCUUUGUAGUCACUAAUCCUGCUUUGAAUCAAGCUUCUGAAUAUUAUAUACAUCAUAGUGAAGGCCCAAAUUAUGUGAUUGUUUCUCCGAAACUUGAUAGAUCUAGCUACUUGUCAUGGACUCGAGCCAUGCACAGAGCCUUAGGUGUGAAGAACAAGUUUCAAUUCGUUGAUGGAUCUAUUCUUAUCCCUGCACUUCAAGAUCCUAACCAUCAUGUGUGGGAAAAUUGCAACAAUCUUAUAUAUUCAUAGAUCGCGAAUUAUGUUAGUUCUCAGAUUGCACAAUCUAUCAUAUUUAUUUAGAAUGUUGUUGAUGUUUGGAAAGAAUUGAAGAGACAAUUUUCCAAGUCUGAUCACAUUCGUAUUGCUAAGCUUCGUUCCAGCAUCAAUUCUUUGAAAACAAGGUUCACUAUAUGUUACUGAUUACUUCACUAAAUUGAAGAUUCUUUGAGACGAAUUGGAGAGUUAUCAUCCUCUUCCUACAUGUACGUGUCAUUAUCAGUGCCAAUGUUUAGCCAUGAGUAAUGGUAAGGACUUUUGGUUAGAGGAUCCAGUACUGCCACAAUUUCUCACAGGCCUUAAUGAUCAAUUUUCAAUUGUUCAGACACAAGUGUUGUUAAUGGAACCUUUACCAUGCCUUAAUCGUGUUUACUCCUUAGUCAUACAAGAAGAGAGUAAAGAUGUGUUUGAAAGUGUAAUCUUGAUGAAUCCAACUCUUGAUAAUUCUGCUGAUUCAAAGAAGUUCCCUGGUAAAGGAAAAUCUUCAUUUUCUUCUGGCUAUAAGAGCAAGCUCUGCACUUUUUGUGGACGCCAUGGCCACACUGUUGAUACUUGUUAUAAGAAGCAUGGAUUCCCACCAAAUUUUGGUCAAAAUUCUUCUGUCAAUAAUGUAGAAUCAUUGCUUGAUAAUGUGCAUGUGGCUGAAAACGUUGAAGAGCCAUCAAAAGUUCAAUCAUCUUCGGGACCAAUGUUUACUCAAGAGCAGUUUGACCGUCUCUUAGCUUUGAUUCCUCCCCAUUCUGAAAAGAAGCAUCUAGCUAAUCAAAUUACCUCCCAUGCUUCCACGGUCAUUCACCAUUUGAUCCUUCUUCUUCAGGUAACUUGUCCUCUUCUUUAAUCUCUAGUUGUUAUGUCAAACAUAAUGUUUCUAUACCUGUUUCUACUAAUUUUAAUUCAUGGCUUUUAGAUUCUGGUGACCAAUGAUCAUGUAUGUUCUUCUCUUUCCUCUUUUAGUAGUUUCCAUAAGAAUAAACCUAUUAAUGUUCAACUUCCAAAUGACUCUUGUGUUUCUGCUGAGAUUGCUGGUACUAUCGGCUUAACUCCAAAUAUUACUCUUUUCAAUGUGUUGUUUUUACCCAAUUUUUCUUUGAAUCUUAUCUAUGUUUUCAAAUUAUGUCAUUAUUCUAACUGCAUUGUCUUCUUUUUUAAUCUCAAUGUUUGAUUCAGGACUCAAGGUCCAAGAGGAUGAUCGGUUUGACUGAGCAAAGAGAUGGCUUAUACAAAUUGCUAGUGGAUGCUAAACAUAACAAAGUUCACAGUGUUUACAUUGAUAAUGUUUUUCUAUUCCUAAGUCAGCUAUUUGGCAUUUUAGGCUAGGUCAUCUUUCUCAUCAAAGAAUGAUGCUUAUGAAUAAAUACUUCUGUUGAAAAUUGACUCAAAAUUGAUGUUGAAGUUUAGAAAAAUUGUGGCACGUUUGCAGGGCAACGUGGCACGAUUGAAUGGUUCAGUUUUUGGGUUGCCACUGGAAAAAUCGUGGCACGAUCCAGGAGGAACGUGGCACGAUGCAGGAGAUAAGAUCAAGUAUUGUACUGCUACCAACUCCAUCGUGGCACGAUGGGCUCGAAACGUGGCACGAUGCUGCGUUUUCCUGAACUCUAUUUAAGCACUUCAUGACCCAUUUGUUGGGUAAGCUUGGUGAAUCUCAUGGAAACCAAAGGAGGAAACUUUUAGGGUUUUAGAUACUAAAGGUUGAGGGUCUUUGGGUGAGGUUCAAAGUUUCAAGAUGUGAAUCUUGGAGAACCAAAAGAGGGGGCUCUUGGGAAAUAGUUGGUGCGUUUUGGGGAAGAUUCAUGGGGAUGGGAAACACAUGAGUGGAGAGUCUAUUGAGAGAAACUUAGGUGAGUCUUGUGAUUGCUAAACAGAAAAAGCUUCCUUGUGUUCAAAGUAAUAAUAAAGCUAGUUCUAAUUUUGAAAUGAUUCAUUUUAACCUAUUUUCUAUAGGCAUUAGUUAUCAUUUUCCAUGUUAUAAUUAUAAAUUUAAAUAAAUCAUAUUUGGGAUGCAUCGGUUUUUUCUUAACUAACCUCUUAAUCAACCAUAUUUCCAUAUCAAAUUAAAUAAUAUACUAAAAAAUAUUCAAUUAAAUCAUUUUUAUGUAAUAAAAUCAUUGUGAAUUUUAACUUUAUUAAUAACCAUAAAAUAUAGUUUGUGGGAUGCACGGGUGAACUAAUUUCGAAGUAAGGUUUUUUUUUUUUUUUUUUUUUUUUUAAGGAGGAAGGAAGUUAUUCUUCUCGAAAAUCAUACAAGUGUAUCAUCAAAUUUUACUUUAUAUAAUAUGUUAAGCAAUUUCUCUUUUAUAAGAAUAAGUAUAAGUAUAGAAAUUCCUUAAAAAAAAGUUAAAUAUAUUUUUGGUCCCUAUAAAUAUACCAACUUUUCGUUUUAGUUUCUCUAAAAAAAAAAUCAAUUUUUCAUCCCUGUAAAAAUUUUAAUCACUACUUUUGGUCCCUGUUUUUAAGUUGAUUUUUGUAUUUUUUUUUUAUAAAGAAAUUGUGCAAAAAUGUGUAGAAAAUUUAAAAAAAAAAAUAUCCAACAAAAUAAAGAAUUUAUUAACAAAACACAAAAUAAAUAUGAAUUUUUAACCGUCAAAAGCAUAAAAAUUCAUGUUUUGUUAAAAAAAAUCUAAUUUUGUUUUUUAGAGAUUCUUAUAAUAUUAUAAUUUUUUUUGCAAAAGUUUAUUAAAAAAUAUGAAUUCUACAUAUGUGUUUACUUUAAAGGAGGGACUAAUAGUUGACGAAAAUUUUUAGAAACACUAAACGAAAAAAUUGAGAUAUCUACAAGGACCAAAAAAGAAUAAGUAUAAAUAUAAAAAUUGUAUUAUAUGUAAAAUUGUAAAAUAUAAUGGAAUAUUAGAUUCAAAAAUAUUCAAUUUAUUUAAUUUUUAGAGGUAUAUGUAAUUCUUUUUUAAUUUAUUCAAUAAUUAAGUACAACAACUAUUCUACCGACUAAAAAGCACUACUUCCUCCCUCAAAAAAAAAAAAAACACUACUUCCUCUAUUUUAAAAUUAGUGUUGUUUAAGGUUUUAUAUACAAAUUAAAAAAUGUAAUAAUGAUCUGAUAUGAAAAUUGUACUAAACUAGUCUUAAUUACUAUUGGUGUAGUAUACACUCAGUUCAUUAGAGAGUGUAAAUUACAUUUAUUUUGAAACAAUUUUUUUUUUCUUCUGGCUACUUAAACUAGAAAUUUAGACAAACAAGAGGGUACAACAACAUUUACUUCAAACCAAAUGGUGACCAUGGGUUGGUUUCAGUUAUUGUUUUAUUAAAUAAGUGUGACCCUAUGCAUAAGUGAAGCUUUAAAUCAAUGAAAAGACUUGACUAGCUAGGUAGCUGUGAAGUUUCUGAAUAAUUUAAUUGAACAUUUAAUUUAUACGGACCCUAUCCAUCCCUUCUUGUUUUCUUUUCUGAAUACCAAUGCCUUAUUCACUUAUUGUUGGGUAAAUAACAAUAUAUUUUGCUUGAUCAUUCAUUCAUGUACAAAGAUAAAGUAGGUUUUCUAAAAUUGUUGGAAAGAUCGUCUACUUGUUGAACAAAAAUUAAGCUUCCAAAGUAUAUUUCUACAGCAGAGUUGUUGCAGUCAACACCACCUUAUUAUGAUCUUGAUGAUGCUAGCUACUGCAUAUUGGAGAAUGAUCUUCAAAAUUUGCUGAAACUGCUGGAAAUAAGGUAACAAACAAUCAUACUUUAACAAAUUUCAGUCGAUAUUUUUAUUAAUUUCUUAAGAGUGAGUAUUACAAGGGUUUAUAAAUCAACUUGACUUUUAUGCUUUUGUAUUAUUUUUUAGAAAAACCAACUUGAAUGGAUAAGGAUUGAAUCAGUCAAAUAUAGUCUAUCUGUAAGAAAUUUUCUGUUCCAGCCAUGUUAAUUUAACUUUUCAAACUAAAGCUUAAAACCUGAAGCCUGUUUCCAAGUCAAAAUCCUCAAAAAUGUCCUCUAAUUUCAAGCAUUGAAAAAGGGGAAAUAACAGUGGAUAUACCGACUUAAGUUACAAAAACUUCAAUAUUUUAGAAAGCUACUACAUUGAUUAAAUAAAAGUUCGAUAUCCACUAUGAAACACUAACAGGAGAGGAGAGCCUUACCAUUUUGUAAAUGAUAUGAAAGGAAUAUUAAUAAGUUGCAACAAUGCAAGGUCCUAUACCUUAUUAGUUACAGGAUCCUAUCUUUAAACUACGCACACAAUAUGCCAAAACUAUAGUAUGCCAAACUCCAACAAUUUUGUAAAAGUUAUUGACUCUGCAGCUUUUGUUUGCUGCGGAACAUGAAUUACUCCUAAUUCUCUUGAUUGAAUCUUUAAUAUUGGAUGGACUUCCUGUUUCAAAUUACUUUGAUGAAAAAUGUGUCAAGUAUCAUUUUUCAAAUGAACAGACUUCGAACGAAGAAAAUCUUCCUACACAAAAAAAUUCUUUGAUGAAAAGUGUGUCAUCUACUAUCAUUUAUCAACCAUUUUAUUUCUCAAUACACAAUACAACACACACAACCAUAUAUAUGCCUAACUUUGAUCUAUUGAAAUUUAUUUAGAUGGCAAGUUUUCUGACUGAUUUGGCGAAGCCUUAUGUGGAUAAAUUGAUAAAUGGGGUGAUCGCAGAGUCAAGUUAUAUAUGUUGCUUCACGUGCAUUGCUAAGGAUUUUGAAGAAGAAAGAGUUAGUUUGGAAAUAGAAAAGACAACUGUCAAGCAACGUGUUGAUGUGGCAACCAGUAGAGGAGAAGAUGUUCAAGCUAAUGCUCUUUCUUGGGAAGAAGAAGCCGAUAAGCUUAUUCAAGAAGACACAAGAACAAAACAAAAAUGUUUUUUUGGAUUUUGUUUUCAUUGCAUAUGGCGAUAUAGAAGGGGAAAGGAAUUGACAAAUAAGAAGGAGCAAAUUAAAAGAUUAAUUGAAACUGGAAAGGAACUUUCAAUUGGACUCCCUGCUCGUCUUCCAGGUGUUGAACGUUAUUCAUCCCAACACUAUAUUCCUUUUAAAAGUAGGGAAUCCAAACACAAAGAGCUUUUGGAUGCAUUGAAAGAUGACAACAAUUAUGUAAUCGGGUUGAAAGGAAUGGGGGGCACAGGAAAAACUACAUUGGCCAAAGAAGUUGGUAAGGAACUUAAGCAGUCCCAACAAUUUACUCAAAUAAUUGACACGACAGUGUCAUUUUCUCCUGAUAUCAAAAAGAUUCAAGAUGAUAUUGCUGGACCCUUGGGAUUGAAAUUUGAUGACCGUAAUGAAUCAGACAGACCCAAAAAACUAUGGAGCAGAUUAACCAAUGGUGAGAAGAUUCUUCUAAUAUUAGAUGAUGUGUGGGGAGAUAUCAAUUUUGAUGAAAUAGGGAUUCCAGAUAGUGGUAAUCACAGAGGCUGUAGAAUUCUUGUAACCACUCGCAAUCUCUUGGUGUGCAACAGAUUAGGAUGCAGUAAGACAAUUCAACUGGAUCUCUUAUCUGAAGAAGACGCAUGGAUCAUGUUCGAAAGACAUGCCGGUCUACGCGAAAUUUCAACCAAAAAUUUGAUUGACAAGGGCCGAAAAAUUGCAAAUGAAUGCAAAAGGUUGCCAAUUGCAAUUGCUGCUAUCGCCAGUAGUUUGAAGGGCAUACAACGUCCGGAAGAGUGGGAAUGGGCCUUAAAAUCCUUGAAGAAACAUAUGCCAAUGCCUGAUGUUGAUGAUGAUCUAGUUAAAAUUUAUAAAUGCUUGAAGUUUAGCUAUGAUAAUAUGAAGAAUGAGAAGGCAAAGAAACUAUUCCUCUUGUGUUCUGUAUUUCAAGAAGAUGAAGAAAUUCCUACCGAAAGGUUAACAAGACUUUGCAUCGGAGGAGGCCUUUUUGGGGAAGAUUAUGUCAGCUAUGAAGAUGCUCGAACUUAAGUUGUUAUAUCCAAAAAUAAACUCCUAGAUUCUUGUUUGUUGUUGAACGGCGAUCGAAGCGUAGUGAAAAUGCAUGACUUAGUUCGUGAUGCAGCCCAGUGGAUAGCGAACAAAGAGAUUCAAACAGUGAAGUUGUAUGAUAAUAAUCAAAAGGCAAUGGUUGAAAAGGAGACAAAUAUUAAAUAUUUGUUAUGUCAAGGCAAGCUUAAGGAUGUGUUUUCCUCUAAGCUUGAUGGUUCCAAGCUUGAGAUUCUAAUUGUCAUUGAGCAUAAGGAUGAAGAUUGGCACAAUGUGAAAACCGAAGUCCCGAACUCAUUUUUUGAAAAUACUACGGGCCUUCGAGUUUUUCAUUUAAUCUAUGAUCGUUAUAAUUAUCUAGCUCUAUCAUUACCUCAUUCAAUUCAGUUGUUGAAGAAUAUCCGAUCUCUUCUCUUUAAGCAUGUUGAUUUGGGUGACAUCUCUAUUUUGGGAAACCUGCGAAGCCUUGAGACUCUUGAUUUAUAUUUUUGUAAAAUUGAUGAAUUGCCUCAUGGAAUCACAAACCUAGAGAAAUUUAGAUUAUUGAACUUGAAACGUUGUAUAAUUUCAAGAAAUAAUCCUUUUGAAGUGAUUGAAGGAUGCUCAUCACUUGAAGAGUUGUAUUUCAUACACAAUUUCGAUGCUUUUUGCGGAGAAAUAACUUUCCCUAAAUUGCAAAGGUUUUAUAUCAAUCAAUCUGUCAGAUAUGAGAAUGAAUCAUCAUCGAAGUUUGUAUCUUUGAUUGAUAAAGAUGCGCCUUUCCUAUCCAAAACAACACUCGAGUACUGUUUUCAAGAAGCAGAGGUUCUUAGACUUGGAGGAAUCGAAGGGGGGUGGAGAAAUAUCAUACCUGAUAUUGUUCCAAUGGAUCAUGGUAUGAAUGAUCUAGUUGAGCUUGAAUUGAGAUCCAUUUCACAAUUACAGUGCCUCAUUGACACUAAGCACACUGAGUCUCAAGUGUCAAAAGUCUUCUCCAAGUUGGUUGUACUAAAGCUCAAAGGAAUGGAUAAUUUGGAAGAAUUGUUCAAUGGUCCUCUUUCCUUUGACUCUCUGAACAGUUUAGAGAAGUUGUCCAUCAGUGAUUGUAAACAUUUGAAAAGCUUAUUUAAGUGCAAACUAAACCUAUUCAAUCUAAAGAGUGUGUCAUUGAAAGGAUGCCCGAUGUUGAUCUCCCUAUUUCAACUGUCAACUGCUGUUAGCCUAGUGUUGUUGGAGAGAUUGGAAAUACAGGACUGUGAGGGUCUUGAAAACAUAAUAAUAGAUGAAAGAAAAGGGAAGGAAUCAAGAGGUGAAAUAGUUGAUGAUAAUAACAGCACAAGUCACGGCUCAAUAUUUCAGAAACUGGAGGUUCUUAGUAUUAAGAAGUGUCCAGAACUUGAAUUUAUACUUCCGUUUCUCUCUACCCAUGAUCUUCCAGCACUAGAAUCCAUCACAAUAAAAAGUUGUGAUAAGCUGAAAUACAUGUUUGGCCAAGAUGUCCUGCUUGGUUCCGUCAAAAAAAUGGAGCUUGGUGGCAUACCGAAUUUCAUCGACAUUUUCCCAGAAUGUAAUCGUACAAUGUCUUCGUCCCUCAAGAAGCCAUUUUCCAUUUCCGAACCACAAGAACAAUCAGACCCAAUCAAAUGCAAUAUGUUUUCAUGGACUGAUAUAUAUUUUUGUGGUAAAAAAUAUGGACACAGCAAAUUGAGGAGUACUACAAAGACUAAAAUCCCAUUGUUUUCUGAGGAUCAACCGCAGGACAACAAAAUGGUAACCCUCUUACCUUCUAUUUCUUUGUGAUGUUAUUUUUUGUACUUUUUUAAUACGACACUAUUGAUCUCCGAAGCAUCGGUACUUCUAAAAAGUUAAGUACCCGUACCGGGUAUUUAACCGUAUCGGGUACGCGUGCGGUACUUCAUUUUUGUUCAUUAUUCUAUUGUGAGUGAAAAUUGUGACUUUCUCUUAUAUAUAUGAUAAUAUAGUUUUAUAUGUGCAUAGGAGUUUUUUGUGGUUGUAAACAACUAAAUAUUUUACUAUUUAAACUUUUAUUGUGAUGUUUUUAUAAUAAAUUGAAUAAUUUAGCCCUCUCAUUUUAUAUUAUGUAACAAAACUCAUGAUUUUUUUGAGGUACCCAUCUUUUAAAAAAAUAGACGUAUUCUCGUACUAAUACACGUAUCGUACCGGGUACCGUACCGUACCUAUGCAACAUAUCUAUUGAUACAAUUUAUUAUUUGAAAAAGAAAAAAAAACUAUUUUGAAAUUCAUUUUAUUAGACAUCCUAUGCUUAAAGAUUACUAUUAAUGUACAUUUUUUAUUUGGGAAGAAAAUAAGAGAUUAUUUAACUUAUAUUUUUAUUUUGAUUACAUAAUUACAGGAAUCAAAGUCAUAUCCCCUUAACAUAUGGGAACGUGCUCAAUUUCUUUCAAUACCAUCAAAUAUCUUGUGGAAUAUUAAAGAGAUUACACUGAUGAAUAUUUCGAAGAUGAAAUCAGUAUUCAUCCUAUCCAUUGCUCCAAGAAUGUUGUUGGAGACUUUGACAAUCAGUAAGUGUGAUGAAUUGAAGCACAUUAUAAUAGACACAGGAUAUCAUAACACUGGUGGCAAUAACUGGGGCACUGUCUUCCCUAAUUUAAGAAGUGUUGAAGUUGGAGAUUGUGAGCAACUGGAAUACAUAAUUGGACAAUACACUGAUGAUCAUCAAAACCACACUGAGAUUCAUCUUCGUCUUCCAGCAUUGGAAUGUCUCUCUCUUUGGAAUCUGCCAAGUUUAGUUGGAAUGUCUCGCAAACAAUAUCAGACAACAUUUCCACCUUUGGAAGAACUUGAACUCAUAGAAUGCUCGCAGUUUGCUAAUAUAAAAUCUAUAGGUGAUUUCAUAACUCAUCAUUCAGUAAUUAGAUCUGUGGAUGAUAGAAUCAUCGAGGUAUUCAUCCCUAAUUCUAUAUAUCUUUGAUAUUCUUAUUUUGUGCAUAUGUGUUUAUUUCCCAUUCAUUUAUUGCAGGAAUUGAGUGGGAAUGUGGAUCAUUUUCUCGCUUUAAAGAAACUUGUUGUAUAUAAUAACUCCGAAGUAGAAAGUAUCGUUUGUCUCAAUGAAAUAAAUGAACAGAAAAUGAACUUAGCUUUGAAAGUCAUUGAUUUGGAUGUUCUGCCUAUGAUGACAUGCCUUUUUGUGGGUCCUAAAAUUUCAAUUUCCCUCCAAAACCUUAAAGAAUUAAGAAUCAUGCGAUGUGAAAAAUUGAAAAUUAUUUUCUCCACUUGUAUAAUAAGGUGUCUGCCACAGUUGCAUUAUAUAAGAGUUGAAGAAUGCAAAGAGUUAAAGCAUAUUAUUGAAGAUGAUUUGGAGAAUAAAAAAUCCUCAAAUUUUAUGUCUACAAAGACAUGCUUUCAAAAGCUGAAAACACUUGUUGUAGCAAAGUGUAACAAGUUGAAAUAUGUCUUUCCAAUCUCCGUAUAUAAAGAGCUUCCUGAGCUAAAUUAUCUGAUCAUAAGAGAAGCAGAUGAGUUAGAGGAAAUAUUUGUAAGCGAAGGUGAUGAUCACAAAGUGGAGAUUCCAUAUCUACGAUUUGUAGUAUUUGAAAAUCUUCCAAGCCUCUGUCAUGCCCAAGGAAUUCAAUUUGAAGCUGUAACAUAUCGUUUCAUACAGAAUUGUCAAAAACUCUCUCUGGCUUCAGCAACCACCGCAAUCCUUGAAAGUGAUCUUUAUGGUUUAGAUAUUAACAUCUAUGGUACACAUUCUAUCCAAUAUUUUUAAAAACUAUUACAUGUUGACUGUAAAUUAUUAUAUACCAUGCAUUAAUAUUGUUAAAGGAUAUAAAGAAUUGAAUCUUCUAAAGUAGCGAUAUCAGGUAUGCAUGCAUAAGUAUUUCUAGAAUGUAAGGGCUCAUGUAGUGACCUAUCUAAUAGAAGCUAUAAUUUUAUGUAAAGUAUAAUUAUUAGGUAGAUAGAUAAACAAAUUUUGUUCAUCUUUAUACUUGAAAAUGAUGAUAUACAAUUGAAAGUGGAGGAUUUUAUUUUAUUAUGCUUGAGUUACUGUAUAAUGAUGUUAAUCUCAAUAAUAUUUUGCGGUAGAUUGGGAAUUGAAAGACUAUUUGAGGGCUCUGUUUCGACAAUUACAAAAAGAGACCAAAGGCCACAAUAAUGGUAAUGAAAAUCCAGAAAACUCCAAAGGUUUUGCCGCUGGGGUUGAAGUUAAAGCAUCAUCAGAACACAAGUUGACUUCUCCGAAGAAAACAAAAGAAACACCAAAGACAGAGCAUGAACUUGUGGAAAAUGUUCCUGAUUUAGAAAUACCAACAAAUUCAAAAGUGAUUUCCAGGCCAUGUCGAAUUGCCUUAGAAUUUUAAUGGAUGUUAUGAAUCGCUGAAGAUCGUUAAUGCUUCUGUUCUUGUAACAGGAGUUGAUGAAUGAACAAACAAUGGACCAACAACGUCUAGUUGGAGAAACUGAUACUGCCGUCAAACCUUUUCAGGUAAAUCAUGCAAUAUCAUACCAAUACAUUGUGCAUAUAAAGCUAAAAAUGAAAUACUGAAAGAAAUAUAUUUUAUUUCAACUGCUUCUUACAAAUAUGUACAACUUUGUCCACCAUUUCCCUUUGACACUUUGUCAAUGCAGGAAUUGAAUUAUACUACAAUCUUAAACAUCUUUCUAAUUUUAAGCAGGUUAGUGAAAUAAGUGUUGAAGAAGGAACUACAUCAGCUAAUGCCAAGAGAACAACAGCAUCAUCACAAGUGAGUUUAUUUUAUUUAACAUAGCCUUCAUAUUAACUUGGUCUUUUUAUUAUUAUUAUUCAAAGAAUAAGCCACCUACACAAAGAAAAAUAGAAAUUAAAAAGAAUCGUGUUAUGAUACCAUUAUGAGUCAUCAAAAUGGAGUCAACAAAUUAAUUAGAGAAAAUAAUGCAUGAAUUGAUGAUCAAUCCAAAUUUCCAUGCGGGAAUUAAAUGAUUAGAAGGUACUAACAUUAAAAAAUUAUGAAUGGAUUAUGUGUAUAUGCAGGAAUUUCUUAAGCAUCUAAAUGGAGAGCUCCAUUAUGAAGGUUGCGUAAGAAACUAAUGAAAAACUAUCAACUAAAUAAGAAACAUAUAAGGACUAAAAUUCAACUUUUAACACUUUUUAGAUAUAUGCUGCAAUUUAUAAUUUUUUCAUGUAGUGUUUGAAAGAAACGGAGAAUCAAAGUAUUCAAGGGGGUCCUACGUCCGAAACAAGGAAUGAGCCAUCUAUACAAUUAGUUUCUGAUCUUGAUGGUUCACAAGAAACAACUCAGACUAAUGAUAAUCAAGGUGAAGACUUGUUGGAUCGAUUUUCUUUUCUUAUAUGCUACCUCAUAGCCCUUUUGACUUUGAAUUUAAUUGUUGGAUCGAUUGUCAUGAAAGUAAGAUUAAAUAGAGAAGAACAGUUUCCUAUGGUAUUUUAUAGCUUCAUUUUAUUUUCAAUUAACAUUUCUAUGCUCAAAUAGCCACUAGUAUUCUUUCUUAUUCAUUUCUAUACGUUCAGGGGCACCCUUUUCAAAUAGUAGAAAAUUUAAGUCCUUCCACUGUCAACUAUCUCAAUAAAAACUCAGUUUCAAUUUUACAUAUAAUGAUGCUACUCUAUAUAUUGUUUUGCUAUAGAUUUUGAUUUGUAUUUACAUAUGGAGAGUGUAUAUCGACAAUUUCAAGCAAAGUCUAAAGGUCACGAAAAUGGUAAUGAAAAUCCAAAUGCACAAACCACUAAAGAAUUUGCAGCUUGGGUUGAAGCUGAAGCAGCAUCAAGGCACGCGUUCACUUCUUUAAAGGUCAAUACUACUCUAUUUAUUCAUAUAUGUACUUGUUAAUUGUUCGGAGUUUUCUAAGAUAAAUCUUUUACAUCAUGUGCUUCUUACAAAUAUACUACAAUUCAUUUACAUUUUCAUGCUAUACAAUUAGUUGGAAGGUUCAACGUCAGAAAACACAGCAGCAGCAACAUUGUCCACCAUUUCAGGAACAAAGAAUGAGCUACCUAUACAAUUAGACGUUGCUCCUAAACAAAAGGCAUAUCCCCUAUUUUGCUUGUAUUCUUUUUCGAGUUUUUCUCAAUGCAGGAAUUGAAUCAUACUACAAUCUUAAGCAUCCUUUUAAUAUUUAGCAGGGUAUGAAGAUAAGUUUUGAAGAAGGAACUACAUCAACUUAUGACAAAACAAUAACAUCAUCAACUCAUUCAGUAAGACUAUCGCCAACUUAUAGCAUUCAACAAGGCUCAUCACAAUACAUAUUUAUUUGAAUUUUCUUUUUUUUAAGCUUUUUAUUCACCAAAAUUGAAAGUGCAAAGACAUCAGUAUGGCUUGAUGAAACUAAAAAUAUUAUUGAUAAGAAAUAAAGAAAACAAAAUGAUGGGACGCAGCACCAAAUCAAUAAAAAAAACAAAAUCUAAAGUUCGGGAGACCAAAUCUAUUACGAAAAUGAUUAUCCGUAGCAAUGUGUUAAAUAAAAUAGCAGCACAAUUGUUUCCUUCUUUAUAUGGGUGAUAAUGAUAUAAUUUGUUUAUAAAUUUCAAUUUCUAGGGAGUUGGUGAUGGCAAUAUAUGCAAACCCUCUGUCUCAAUUGUCAAUACUUAAAUCCUCCAGCCACCAAAUAUGUUGAUAUUGGAGACUCUUCGGAAAUUAUUGGUGAGUUUUAUUUUUAUUCUUUAAAUUUUAAGGUUUCUCCUCCCACCUUGUUUUUAGUUUCUUAAAUUAAAUUAUAAUACUUCCAUGAGAGUAAUGAGCUGAAUAUAAGUGAUUAAAUGAUUUCAUGUAGCAAUGGAAGACAUUAACAAACUGAUCGAGGAGGACCCGCUUCUUGCAUUUGAGAAGCUUCUUACUGGAGUGCAAAGUUUUUCCAUUAGAACUUUACUUCAAGAAUUGAAGACUUUGAUGGACUCAUCAUCAGACCUUGACCAUCUUGUAUCUAACCAAGAGUCCAAAUUGAAAUUGAUUUCUCUUUUUCAUGGAUUGAAUCAUCAUCAAGGACUCUUACCUUCGAAUGUGAAGGAGUUUGUUGAGAAAGUCCAGAACUUCUUCAAUGAUGACUACAUUAUCAAAUACACCACUUCUCAACAAGUACUAAAGAAGCGCAACCAACUUCUUGAUUUGAAAACCAAUCUCAUGAAAAAGCUUUUGAGUGCAAAGAGUACACAAGCCCACAUUGACGAUGAAUCUUCAACUGCCAAUGCUCAGAUACAUGAGCUCUCUUUACAAAUAGACAAUUUGAAGUCAGUACUGAACAAAUGUGAUGUUCAGAAGGAAAAGUUGAAGGCUGAAUGCACUGAAUGGGCACAGCAAAGUAAAGAAUUACUUUCUGCACUUGUGUCAACGGAGGUCGACGUAAUAGAAGCUGAACGUGUGAUGAAGUUGGCAACAGAAGGCUUUGUAAAUUUAAAAUCUUCCUUUCCUACAUUUUAGGAAGAAACAAACACAAAAUUAGGCUAGGUCAUCAUGAUUAUCGUUUUUGUUAAUGUCACUUUGUUUAUGUAUGCUUAGUGCUGCGCUCUUUUUCCCUUCACCUAGUUUUAUCCUUUUAGGUUUUACAGGUAAGGUUUUUAAUGAGGCAGUUGUAUCCUAUUGUUAUUCCGUUGUGUAUUGAUAGGCCUAGUCCCCAAAAUUGUAUCUUAUUUUGAAUCUUGAUUUUAAAAAUAUUAUUGGAACGCUCCAGAUGAUACAUGGUUGAAUUGAGUGCCAAAAUAGUUGUAUGUCUUUGCUAACGUAUAGAGGUGAACAACCAUUUAGUAAUGAAAAUAACUUGCCAUCACCUAAAAUCUCUAUCACAAAAACCAAGCCUCAAAGCUCUUUUAUGUGACACUUAGUAACUAGUUAAUUAGUACAUCAAAAAACUUUUCAUAGAAUAGAUAGAAAUCUCGUUCAAAAAUAUGUUUUGAAUACUUUCUCCAAAUUAAACAUCCUGGUUUCAGAAAAAAAUAAAUCAACAUAAUUGUUGGGUUCCUCAAUUUAUUCAAGAAUGAAAACCAACACAACUUUAAAAAAUGGAAUCAUGGCUACCAUUUGGUUAUGGAAAAAUGAGAGAAAUAUGUAAACGUGGCUAUCAUACACCCUUAAAAAAGAAUCUACCAUACAUUCGAAAAUGUUCAAAGAUACUGUUAAUAUAAUUUUACACAUGGUUUUCUUUUACGCACAAAGGAUUUUUGUUAGAAAUCUAUAUACUUGAUUGAAUCAAUUUUAAAUAUAACCAAUGUGUAGGCAAACAUUGAACAGAUUAUUAUUAUCUCAGUAGUGGAUGCUUCGUUCAAGUUUUCAGAUGAAAUCUAGUUUGUAAACCUUUGUUAAAAGAAAGUUUAGAAGAUAUCAUUCUGAUUCAACGAGAUGUAAAUCUUUGUUAUAUAUAAAGAAAGUUAAGAAGACUUAUCCUUCUUAUUCAAUCACAGUCCAAUGGGAAUAUAUUAUUACACAAUCAAAUAAUGAUAAGAUUAAAAUUGUUGAAAAAAAUAAAAUAAAAGCUGAACAUAGUGUAUUUUAAUAUAACUUAUGUGGAUUUGAAUUAAUUCAGUAGGAUUCUACAGCUAUAGAUAAUACUAGCAUAUAAACUCUUUCUCUUUUUUUAUCGUUUAGUUUUGUAUUAUUAUAUCUUCACAAAAGUUGUUGUGCAAAUUCUAGUGCUUAAUGUUUAGAUGAUUUUGGCCAACUUCUAACCGAUGUGGGACUCUUAACACACCCCCUCGUGUGAACAUAAAUGACAGGUGGCCCGAUAACGGAAACCUGAUAACAGGUGGCCCAAAGAAUCGUGAAGAGGCUCUGGUACCAUCUUAGAAAUCGUGAUUGGGUCUGACACAAUCCCACAAAACCGGCUUGUGAGGUGAUGAUUAAUUGCCCCCACUUAUAAACAAAUUGUUAGGCCAACUCCUAACCGAUGUGAGACUCUUAACAUUAAGAAUACAAUAUGAAUUAUUCUAAUAAAAAGGGAAACGAUGAUGGUAGAGUUGAGCAUCGUUACAUGGAAACUGACCUAACUGGUGGGCGCUAUGCCAAGGUAAGUACUUAAUAUUAGGGGAAAUAUUAUGUUAUUGUUAUAAUUUAUUUUUUUAAGAAACUACAUAGCUCGCCGAAAUUGGCAUCGAAAAGAAUCAAACACGUGACCUUGAGAGGAGCACUAAGGUCCCAAGCCAACCAGGCAACCCAAGUGGGUAUAAUUAUUAUUAUCAUUUAUUUGAUUUGUUAAUAAGGUGAUUGUUAUUUAGUUUGAGGUUGCUUGUUGAAGGUACGUAGUUAGUUGAGUAUUUCUAUUUUCAUUUGUUGUGUUGGGAAUUGUGUCAGAAUGAUGACACUUUUAAAUAGUUCUUCAGUAUUGAUUAAUGUUUGUGUGUUGUUCAAAUAUACCCUAAAUCAAAUGAGAGAGGUGAUUUCCAGUGACCUUUGGCGCUCUCUGGCGACUGUCUUUGGAGCUCGUUUUUGCGUGUUUUCAUGGGGUUUCUUAACCUUUCUUCAUUCUGAGUUAUUUCCCGUUGUUUAUUCACUCUGUUUCUUCCGUUUUGCUCAGAUUUAUAUUUGUUAACUCUCUUGGUGUAAUCCCUAAAGGCCAAUAGUUUAUGUUAAACUUAUCUUAUGUAUCAUGACUUUUAUUAUUAAAUAAUAUAUGACACUCUUUAUUAUAUUUAGAUAAUAUUAAUAAAGUUCUUAGAAUAGAUAGUUCGUGUAAUAAUAUAUUAAGUGUGACUUAAUCAUGAGAUUACAUUAUCAUAAAGAACACUAUUCUUAAAUAGAUCCGUAGUCAAAGCUUUAAUAUGAAUAAAUGAUAAUAAUAAUAAAGCGUCGAAAGGAUACUACAUAGUAAGUUAUGAAAUUGUCAUAAGAUAUUCUCACAAUGAUAAUAGUGUAUAUCGCUCUUAGACCUGAAACCACUAUGAUCCCUAGAUGUGGACUCAAGGGCUUUGUUGCCAUUCUAACGUUGUCUGUAAAAGGAUAACCAUAACGUUGGUUGAUGGAUACUUGAUGAAUCAUGCUGAGGGACAUGAGUGUCCUAGAUGGGAUUUGUCCCUCCUCAUAAACAGGAGAUAUAUUUUUAGGCUGCUUGAUGAAAUAUGAUUGUAAAACUGCAUGGCCAUGCUGAACUAAGUAAAUAUAAGAUAUUGGACUUAUUCAUUAUUCAGUAUAUUUCGGAAUCAAGAAAUAUAAACAUUGAUCUAUACAAGGGUGACAAUAUCUAUGCCUUGGGAUCAAUAAAGAUAUCGAGACAAAGGAGUAGCUGUACACAUGAGUAUUAUCAUGGAAAGGUUUCGUCAGAUCACUUGACAUUCUUGUCACUUGGGUAGCAAUGAUGUGUUGCUAGAUACCGCUUACUAUUUAUAGCAUUAAAUAUUAGAUUUAAUAUUAUUGCCAACGUGACUAGAACCUAUAGGGUCACACACAAAGAACAGUCAAAAGAUAAAUAUAUAUAUAAGUAUGACUUAUAUAAGGAGUGCGUAAUUUAGUAAAUAACGCUAAUCAGUUAGCAGAAUUACUAAACUCGUUAUUGGACUUAAUGAAGUUCAAUAGUGGCUUCUGACUUGCAGAACAAACAACGAGUUCUAUAAAUAGAACCAUAGUGCUGAAGUUUGAGGUUGCACGUUUUUUAGAAACCCUAGCUCUCUGAAACUUCUGAUUCCUUGGCUAGCACCGAUUUUUGGAGGAGCACUGUUUGUGUGGACUUGCUAGAGGCUUUGCUGCUUGUUGCUUGCUGCUUGCUUUGUUGUGAUCGUGAUUCCAGUUUCCAAAUUCAAGCUUUCAGCUUUCAGAUUUCACACUUCGAGGUAACAAUCAAAGAACUAAUUCAUGUGUAAUUCGUAAUGAUCCAAGGAAAGAAAAUCGAAAAAUUUUAUCCGCUGCUUAUUCUGUUUUGAAUUCGAUUUUCCUUCAAACUCUACUAAGGUGGUUCGAUCUUAGGGUUUGGAUUCUCCUCUGGUGGCUUGGGUUCUCCUCGUCAUAGAAGUCCCUGACCCAGCUCUAAUUAUUUUUCUGGGUUCUUCAUUUCAUCUCGACGACAUCGUCUUCUGAUUCUGUUGCAGUGUCUCAUGGUGAAGUUCUCUGUUUGAAGAUUGGCUUAUUCUCCUCCAAGUGCUAUUCCAAAGUGUUCUGCAGAUUUACUGGUAAUUUUUAUUUUGAUUCAUCUUCCUCUGUCAGCUCAACCUCUUUAUGUCGUUAUUCCAAUGAGGGUUGCUUUCUACUUGUGGUGUCGGAUUGAUCUUACAACAUUCAAUGGUGGCUCUUUGUUAUUUGGUUCUGGAUCCUUGGAACUGAGUUCUCUAUGGCAUCUUCAAUUUGUCCUUGGCCGUUUCUCUCCCCUCUGAAGACGGCGGCGCCGAAAGUUCUUGAGAAAACUUUUGCUCAAGCUUUGGCGGUCGGGGGGAUGUUCAAGCAAUACCUCUUCCUCCUCGGGUCAUCAUUGGAGAUAAUGUUCGAAUCCGGAUCACACAAUCAGAGUAUGAAGUAGAAUUAAAUGAGUGCAGUACCAGCCUCCAUGGUCGAGUUACUUUACAGAGAUCUAAUGCUCCUAUCACAACUCAGCUGCUAAGUCAAAAAUUGAAGACUAUUUGGAUGAAUAUGGGUAAUUGGGAAGUAACUCCACUAGGCAGAGCGUGUUUCGAGUUCAAAUUUAGUACCGUUGCAGAUAUGAGGAAGGUGCUUGCCCAAGGUUCCAUCAAUCUCAAGUCAGGCAUCUUACGUUUGCGUUGCUGGUCACAUGACUUUAACACUCAGUCGCAAAUGAAAACACACGCACAAGUCUGGAUCCAUUUGAUGCACUUACCUCAGGAGUACUGGCGGGAGAAAACUCUUUUGGAGAUAGCCUUUGGGGUUGGAACUCCUCUGCUUGUGGAUAACGCUACAAAAUCCAGGUUAUUUGGAAUUUAUGCGAGGAUAAUGGUGGAUGUUGACAUGUCUGAAAAACUCAUUAAUUCAGUUCUUGUAGAGAGGGGGGAUUUGCUUUCCCGGUCGAAGUUCAAUAUGAAAGACAACCUAUCUUUUGCUCUCAUUGCAACAAUCUAGGUCAUGGCAUUCCUUAUGUCUCUAAGACGCCAUACACAAUCUCACACUCUGCUGAAUUAAUAAGGACUGCUGGAGUUUUUGCACACGUAUCUAAGGCUGAUGACAUCUCUAAUCACAACAACAACUUAAAUGGCAUGCUCCAUGUUCCGUCUCAAGUGGCCUUUGCUCUAAAAAAAUCAAAAACUGCUCCUACACAUAAUAAGCCUGCUCUGAAAUCGACUAUGACACAGAGAUACAAUCUAUCUCACCAACCUAUUCAUGGGCAUGUUUCUAACUCUGGCGCGGCUGAAACUUUGGUUAAGUCUUCGGAUUGGGUCUUUCUAGACACUCCUAACCAAGAGGGACUCAAUAAGGAAUGAGGUAAUGUAGAUGUACCUAAGACUGCAGCAAUCCAGAAGAGGGGAGACUCUUCAACAUUACCUCUUCACAAUUCUUUUGAUAUCCUACUCGAAGAAAGUGAACUUCCUUUAGGGGAAGCAAUGCUAGCUGACAAGGAUACUAAUCACAAUUCUACUGUUGUUUUGGCUGAAAGUACUGAUAUUGUUGAUCAGGUAUCCAAGGAGAUAGUUCUUUUGAAUCAAACUGUUAACUCUAAGGUUUCUGAUGAUAUGAACAAUGAACCCUCUGAGUCUGCAGCUUUGAUUUCCAAAAAAACUAUUUUGGUGACUGACGUUUGGCCUCAUUCUUUUACCACAUCCGUCCCACUUUCUCCUGAGCAGUGCAGCAUGACUAGGAGGAGGUUAUUCCCCAGUGCUGCUACUGUGCCAGUUACCAUUGUUAGGGAUCCUUCUUUUUACUUGUCAUUUAUGUUACCUGUUCUCUCUGAACCAACUUCUGAUGCAAUGACUAUUAUUACACCUAUUAUUUUUACUUAUGAGAUUUUGGGUCCCGAUAAAGGCAAGAUAUCCGCUCCGGCCACUUCUAAAAAUACUUCCAAGGCUUGUAUGAAAAGUGAGAAAAUCUUAAGCAAAUUUUGGGCAGAUGACUUAGAUACUAAUCAGGCUUCAGACAACACCCUAGAGCUAGACACUAAUGCUGAAGGACUUCAGGUUCUUCUCUUUGAAUCUUCUGUAGCUGCACAAUAUCUUCUGCAAAACUCUGGAACUACCAAGAAAGGAAAGAGAGGGCGACCUAGGAUGACGAAGAACCGUAAGGACAAUUCUGGUAACAAAGCACAAGGCUUCUUACAAUCUGCAGAGUCCUAAAGGAUCGAAAAAUGAGUGCAUUCACACCAGUGCUAAGAGUGGCAUAUCUAAAGCUUAUAAAUCAUGAUGUGUAUGCUUUGGUUUAGGCUUUAGGUUUGUUCUCUCUUACCUUGAUUUUUUGUGUUUGUGUCAUUUUAAUGUAACUUUUAAUGUAACCUGUUAUUACCCUUAGUAGCAGGGUGUGUUUUUCCUGUUUGUCAUUCUUUAGAAGUGGGUUAUGGCUACUUAGGAAGUGACUUUGCUUUAUUAUCCUUUUUGUCUAAUUGGGCUUUGGCUUAGUCCCCCAAUAUUGUACUUUUCCCUUUUAUUGCAUUUUUCUAGCUUUAUCAAAAAAAGAAACUGUAGAAUUGACCCCUUAAAAUUUUUGAAAUUUACAAAUUGACCUCUAAUUUCAAUUUUUAAAUUUGGCCCAAAAAAUUAAAAUUUAUAAAAGUUUCCCAAAAAUGAUGACAUUGAAAUUUUUUAUUAUCCACCCACACAAAAGUAUUGAGAAAUGAAAGAAAUUUAAUUGAAUCAUAUAAAUUGCCUAGAAUUUAAAUUCUUUAAAAUUUUCCAAUUAGCUCAUCCAAACAUUCUCUUAGAGUAUGUUUGGAUGGGGGAAUGUUUUGAGGAAAUGUGAUGUUUUGAGGGAAUUCAAUUACUUUGAGGUGAAUUCAAACAAUAGAAUUCACCUCAAAACAGUUGAAUUCCCUCAAAACAUUCCCCCAUUUAAACACACUCUUAGAGAAUACGAUAGAGGAAUUCCCAGACCAUAUUGUUCGCCAAUAGUAUUUGGAUUCUUUUCUUCCCAAAUGCUUAAGUUUCUUUUCAAAAAAUAAAAGAUAGAUACUUAACUUGGCUAUCAUCACCGAACUAAUGUACUUUACGUUUGGUAAUAGUGUUCUAAAGAGGUUGCUUAUAGUACUCCUAUUUUACUUUAUUCCAUCCCUUUUUCUUUUAUUUGGAGUAUAAACUUGUCGGUACAAGACAUAUAUGAUCAGUUGUAAGAAAUCAAAAAAGAAAUAAAAAGUUCAGCUGCUUUUGUUUGCUGCAGAACUUGAUUGGAAGAUUGUUUAUACGAUUUGAGCAUGCGUAAAAGGUGCUGGAAUUAAGGUAAAUAACAAUUACCUCAUAACCUAGAAUCAAUAACACUAGCAUAUAGAAUGAUUCUUAUUUUAAAAGAGGAGAGCAAUUGGUAUAGUUUCUGCUGCUUUUAUUUGAAUAUUGACUUAUUGUUCUCUUGAUGCUAGCUACUGCAGAUUGAAGAAAGAGCAGGAAGAUUGUUCAUACUAGAUAAUUGAACAUGCGCUGAAAAAUUGCCGGAAUUAAGGUAACAAACAAUCAUAUGCUUGUCUUUUUCUUUUAUAAAAAGUUGUGGUUGCUCAUAGAACCUAAAAUCAACAUCAUCUUAGUCAAAUUUUAAUUAGUACAUGCUUUAUUUUAUGAUUCAAGCUUUUUCUAUUAUGUUUAUUGUCAUAAGUAGUUACCUCAAAUAUGGAAUUAUUAUUUCUUGUUGAAGCUUAUGUUCAUCGAUCCUUUUUCUACCAUUGGUUGUUCACUGGAUGGUUUUAUUGUUUAAAUUACAAGGGAUUAGAUUGCUUAAGAGUAUUACUAGGGUUUUUAAUGGUAGGAAUCUUGAGAGUCUAUGGAAAAGAGAAAAUGUUCAAACUAAAAAUAAAUUUUGUAUUGAUAUGCGAAAGUUCAUUACAUCAAAUGAUAGAAUGAGAAAGACUUGUCCCCGUGAGUUUAAUUCAGUUGGUAUGGACAAUGCAUAAUAUAUGCAAGGGGUUGGGGUGUUCGAACCUCGGAUACUUCACUUCUACAUAUUUAAAAUGUGUAAGCUUCCGUCAUUAGAAUUGACUCCAUUUAUAAACGUAUGUUCAUGUCAUCAUAAACCAAAAACAAUCCAAUCAACCGAAGUAUUAAAAAUUGUCUUCAAUGAGAACCUUUCCCCAACGAAUUGUGAAAACUAUCUUAACUCAUCAUCAUAUUAUCCAAUAACAUAGUUCCUCUCAAAUCCUUAUUGCUGCAAAUCUUAUGAACCUUAUUUUCAUUUAAAAAGAAUCAGAAUCAUUCAUCAAUAUGAGUAUUUUAUCGAUGAGCACAUGAAGCUGGUUAAAGCAAACAACUUCUCUUGCAAGGUAAUUUCAUGUUGUGGACCUUUGAACAAAAGAAAAAUGUGCACAUCACAAAAUAAUGGAGUCAUAAAUCGACAUGAAACUCCAAGUUUUUUUAAAUUGAUAAAAUUGAGACUGAACUAGGGGAAAAAUUUGAGUCGAAAUUUAACAAGAAAUGAGACGAAUCAAACCGAGAAAAGUAUUGCAACGAAAAUGAAAUCAGAAACUGAUAAUCAACAAAAACACGGAAAAUCAACAUGAAAUCAGCUCCAAAACAUCAAACUCGUUCAUUCAUCCAACUAACUCCUACCUAGUGUAAAUCCUUAUAUUUUUUCCAUAUCUUAUAUCAGCUUCAACAUUUACAUGAUUUUCAGAAUCAACAUCCGUCUCAACAUUGUCACCUCCAGUUUCAACCUCAAUUUCUGGCCCGAAAGUAAGGUCAAGAAGUAGAAGAGAUUCAUCUUCCUUAUAUUUACCCCCUGAAGAUGAUCAAUUUUGACCAAAAUAACUUUCUUGUUCAUGGAAAGUGACAUCUCGAGAAACAAAGUACUUACGAGAUGGAGGAUGAUAACAUCUGUAACCCUUUUGAGUGGAGGAAUACCUUAUAAAGACACACUUUAAGGCUCUAUGAUCAAAUUUACUUCUACCAUCACUAUGGAUAUGGACAAACGACGUGCACCCAAAUAUUCUAGGAGUGAGAUUAUUUGAGGUGGGAACAUAAGGAUAGAACGAUGGUAAAACUUCUAUAGGAGUUUUGGAGUCAAGGACAAGUUUUGGAGUCAAGGACACUAGAAGGUAAACGAUUUAUGAGAUAAGAUGCAAUUAAAACCGCCUCCCCCCAAAAUCUCUUAGGAACCUUAUUUUGAAAUAACAUAGCUUGAGUUUGAUCUAACAAAUGGCCAUUUUUUCUCUCAGCAACCCCAUUUUGUUAGGGGUUUUGACACAAGAAGACUCGUGAAUAAUACCUUCUUUUUGACAAAAAGAAUUAAACUCAUGAUUCAAGUAAUCUUUGGUAUUGUCAGACUUGACUCUUUUAAUACUUUAAACUGAGUUUUAACCAUAUUGAAGAAAUGUAGAAACACAGAGGUAUCUUCAGACUGUUGUUUUAGUAAAUAGACCCAAGUAACUCGACUACAAUCAUCAAUGAAUGUUACAAACCAUCGAGCACCUGAUAUAUUUGCAACAUUUGAGGGACCUCACACAUCAUAAUGAAUUAAAUAAAAUGGAGACAUACUAAUUUUAUUACUGACAGAAAAAGAGACAUACUUGUGCUUAGUAAGUUCACACACCUCACAACAAAGACUCUCAACAUCUAAAUUUUUUAAAAGUGAAGGAAAUAAUUGUUUCAUGACUCUGAAUGUAGGUUGACCAAGACGACAAUUGUAAAAAAAGACUUUCUCCUUGUUGGACUUAAUUGAUUCAGAAAGAAAGGAAUUGUUGUUUCAAAUGUUAAAGGAGCAUGAUGAGAUUCUGGUUAUCAAAAUAAUAAAGAUCAUUCCAUUCUAUAGCAUUUCAAAUCGUCCUCCCAUAAUCCUUUUCUUGAAAAACACAAGCAUUGUCACAAAAAACAACAUUACAUGAUAGGUCUUUUGUGAGUUUUUGUAUGGAAAUUAGGCUAGUGGGCAAUUUGGGAAUAUGAAGGAUAUUUUGUAGGAUUAUAGUUGGGCUUAUCUGGACAUUUCCUAGACCCAUUAUAGUUAUAAGGGAACCUUCUGUUGGGGAUAUUUUCUUGUUGCUAGGAUAAGGUGAAUAAGUGUAAAAGUGUGUGGGUAAGGGUGUCAUGUGCUCGGUGGCUCCAGAAUCUAAUAUCCAAUAUUGGUUAGAUGGUUUAUCCGAAGCAUUAAAUUCAAGAGAAAAAUGAGACUUACCAAAUGGAAGUAGAGAAAGAGAUGUACAUGUGUAUGUUAGAGAUUUACAUGUUGGUUUAUCCAAUUGCUUGAGAAAAGAUCUCACCUUUUUUAUUUCAUCUUGAGUGAAGAGUUGAAUGAUUUCUCCUUUUGACAUAUUGACUGAUGUCUUACAAAAGAACAAAUAGCCAAGGAAUAACGAUAAAGAGCAUUGAAUGUGCUUGGAUUGAAAAGAAAACACAAGCAAUUUAAAAUAUAUAUAAAAAAAAUUAAAUGAUGAACAAUACACACGAUAAACAGUGCGCCCGAAAACUCACAAUAAAAAGCAAAAGUAACCGCAGAAAAUGGCGGCUAAGGUUUAUGCGGAAGCAAUGCCCCCAAGAUCGGGAGCUCAUGCCAUGUGAAAACAAAAUAUUAUAUUUCAGAGAUAAAAUAAUUUACAACCACUAAUGUGUUUAUAUAAGCUAUUCUAACCUAAUGGGCCUGACUAAUGACUAAUGGGAUAAUUACAAAUUACUAAUCUAUACUAUAUAUAAAGAAAACUAUCCCUUUCAGCACACUUUUGGGUUGAACUUUUCCUUCCAAAAAUACCUUUAAUUUUUAAAUUAAAUUUUAAUUUUAAAUACAAAUAACACAUGUAAGAAAUAGAUAAGAAUAAAUUUAAUUUAAGGAAAAAACUUACGCACAAUUCCUUGUGAAUUGUUCUUAGUGUUAGCCAAUUAUAAAAUAACAUGUUGAUUACUAAUCCAUGUCACUAAUCGUCCUCGUUAACCCUCUUUUCCCUCCGUUAAUCACAGAUCAAACUCACAAAAAACUAGCACAAAAGAAAAACUCAUGUUACUUUUUCAUCAACCAAUUUUAUAUCGUACAUCUGUGUUGUUCCCCUCAACGGACAAAGAUUACCAAGUAUUUUCACACCCUUCCACAAAAAACAAUAUUUCUAUAUUAUUUUAUUAUUUCCACAAAAAACAGUAUUUCCAAUUAUUUUAUUAUUUUAUUAAUAUAAGUUACUAUUCCUUAACCUUUGAUCAAUUGUAACAAACGUGAAGAAAAAAUAAUGGUAAAGAUUAGACUUAAAAUCUUCUAAAAAAAUAUUAGUAACAAACGUGAGCAAAAAAUAAUGUUAAAUAUUGGACUUUAAAUCCUCUAAAAAAAGAUUGGUAACAAACGUGGGCAAAAAAUAAUGUUAAAGAUUGGACUUUAAAUCCUCUAAAAAUGGAUUAGUAACAAACAUGAGCAAAAAAUAUUGUUAUAGGUUGGACUUUAAAUCCUCUAAAAAAAUAUUAGUAACAAACGUGACCAAAAAAUAAUAUUAAAAAUUGGACUUUAAAUCCUCUAAAAAAAAUAUUAGUAACAAACGUGAGCAAAAAAUAAUAAUGUUAAAGAUUGGACUUUAAAUACUCUAUAAAAAAGAUUAGUAACAAACGUGAGCAAAAAAUAAUGUUAAAGAUUGGACUUUAAAUCCUCUAAAAAAAGAUUAGGACUCAAAAUAUUUUAGAAAAAGAUUUGUUAGCACUAUAUUAAAUAUUAAUAAGUAGGGUUCUCAUGGUUAAUAGUUCGUUCCCGCAUUGUUUUGUUUUUCUCAACCUCUCUCAACCCUCCGCAUCAUAAUUCAAAAUUAACAUGUUUAGUUUUUUUCUUUUUUUUCAUGUUACAACUAAUCAAAGUCGAUUAAUUUUAUGGAUUAUAUAUUUGACUUUGCUGGUUUAUAAGCAAUUAUGAUUCAAAUUGUUUACUAUCAAUUUUAAUAAUUAUUUGACUUUUCUGGUUUAUAAUUGCUUAUACAAACUAUGAUAGCGUGUCUUUUUUUUUAUAUAAAGAGAACAGUGUUUUUUUUAAGGCUUAAUUGCAUUUUUGGACCCCUAUCUUUUCAAAAGUUGCGGUUAUGGACCCCUAACUAAUUUAAAUACAAAACAGCCCCCUAUGUUUUGAUUCUUUGGUAGUUUUGGACCCCCAAGGCAAAAAAAAAAAAAAAAAAAAAAAAUUGACACGUGGCACCUCACUUAGGGUGCCACGUCAGCGUUGACCGAGUCAACAAUGGACUGGGGGUCCAAAACUGCUAAAGAAUCAAAACAUAGGGGGCUGUUUUGUAUUUAAAUUAGUUAGGGGUCCAUAACCGCAACUUUUGAAAAGAUAGGGGUCCAAAAGUGGAAUUAAGCCUUUUUUUAAUUAUUAAAUAAAGGGAAAAUAAGCAAUAAUAUCCCCUGUCGUUAAGCUCCUUCCACUUCUGUUUAAAGGAAUAAAAACAUUGCUUUUUUCUUUGUGAUUCCAAACGUUCUGCAUGUAUACAAUUGGUAAACUGCUCCCAUCCCCCAUCCAAUAUCCAACAAAAUACAUUAAAGUCAAAGUGUUAAAAGCAUUUAAACAAUUCAAAAUUGUUAAACGAUAAUCACACUCAUGUUACAAUAACUAAAAACAGAAACACUAGAAAGCUUCAAACCACCAUCUUUUGGUUUUGGUUACAUUCAAACCACCAUCUGAGAGGCCAUAAAACGAGAGGACCGCUAAGAAGUAUGGAUACGAACACCGACACCAGAUACAACACGAAUACUAACAUGCUCAUAACGUUGAUAAUUUUAGAAAAUCACAUAAUUUAGGGUAAUUGUUUUUGUGAAUGCGGAUGCAACAUCUGUUCAGACACAUCUAAUAUGAGGAGUGUAUGUGAUUCGUAGGCGAGUAAUAUCAUAAUUCAUAUAUGGUCGAAAGAGCCAUAAUUACACCUACAAAUCUUGAUGUUCAAAAAUUGAAUGACAUAAUUAUCAAUUAUUUUUCAGGAGAAUAACAUAAUUUGUUGUCAUUUAACGAGGUUGAAGGGGAUACUCAUAACUUAUAUCAACAUGAAUUCCUAAACUCAUUUGCUCGGGGAAGUAUCCCACCACAUAUUUUAAAGGUAAAAAAAGAUGCACCUUUGAUGUUGUUGUGAAACAUAUAGACCCUAGAUAUGGCCUGUGUAAUGGAACACGAUUGUUAUGUCGUGGUUUAUUUAAGAAUAUGUUGCAUGUGGAAAUUCUAACAGGAAACAAUGCUGGAAAAAGAGCAUUCUUGCCCAAAAUUAAAUUAAAAACAAAUGUGAGUUCAUGACUUCCCUUUGUGCUUAGUAGAAAACAGUUUUCCGCUAGACAAAGUUUUGCUAUUACCAUAAUUAAGUCACAAGAGCAGACCAUUUUCAAUGUUGGAAUCUUUCUCCACGACAUGUUUUCAGCCAUGGUCAAUUAUAUAUAGCUUUGUCAAUAGAAGUUUCUCAAAAUUCAACAAAAGUUCUCAUUAAAAAAGGGAAAAUAGAAGGAGAAGAUGGAGACUAUCCGAAAAAUGUAAUUUUUAAAGAUAUUCUUUUAUCACAAUCAUAGCAAUGUUUCUUUUACAUAGCUGGCGUUGCUCCUGGAUUUCUUUCAAUUGAUGUGUGAUAUCUCUCCAAAAGUGCAGCAAGUUUGACAUAGCUGAUUUAUGUGAUAGCAGUUUUCAAUCCAACGUGGGUUUUGUAAUACAAUUAUGUGGCAAAGAAUUAUGGAGAUAUCAGACCAAGUUUGACACCAUGGUGUCAAUUGAUCACACUCUUCUCAUAAUAAUAAUAAUACAUUUCUUAACUCAAUAAAUACAAAAUGACAAUUAAUUCAAAAUGAUUCUUAAUGAAAUAAUAAAUUAAUAAUAAUUGACUAAAAACUUAAUAAAAAUACUCUAAAAAUAGUGAUUAACGAGCAAUCAUCAGUAGGCAAUGCUUAAUUAUCAUUAGGCAGAAGUUGAACUCAUGAAAGCCAUAAGGAAAAAAAUUAGCCAUUAAACACUUGACAGAAACACAUAUGUUUAACCACCUAACAGAGGCCAGGAGCUAAAACAAAGUUUAACGCUUAAUCGUUCAUGGCAGAUACUUAUAUUAAAAUCUAACCAUCAUAAACAAAAAAAAUAAUCCAAUAAACCAAAGUAUUCAAAACUAUCUUUAAUGGGAAUCUUUCACCAACAAAUAUUACUCCAAUAUUUUAGAAAGCUACUGCAUUGAUUAGAUAAAAGAGUUUGAUAUCCACUAUGAAACAUUUAUUACUUAAUAAGUUUGAUAUCCAAAGUCCAACAAUUUUGUAAUUGUCAUUGCCCCUGCAGCUUUUGUUUGUUCCAGAACAUGAAUUGAAGUAAAUAUUACUCCUAAUUCUCUAGAUUCUGGCUGUUGCCUUCUACCUAGAAAGUAUGUGCUCACAACAGUAUAUUAUUUUUUCUUCUUUUAUUUUCUCAGAUUUUCUAUCGGUGUAUGAUUUCCAUUUUCGGUCUUCACUCCACUUUUCUACAUGAUAAAUGUUUCAUAAAUUGUUUAUCAUUUUCAAAGAUAAAUUAGGUAUUUAGAGAUCGGCUUAAAGGAUAUUAAACUUUAGUAUUGGAUGGACUCCCUCUUUGAACUUUCUCAAAUAUUUGUUUGAACAAGCGAAAAACAAUUCUUUGAUGGAAAAUGUGUCAUCAAGUAUCAUUUUUCAAAUUAACAGACUUUGAAUGAAGAAAAUCUUCCUACACAAAAAGAACAUGAAUGAUAUGCUAUGAGAAUGAGAUUCAUUAUCAACCAAUGUAUUUUUUAACACACACAAAAGAAUAAGUCUCCCGCCUAAUUCUACCCAAAGCCCCAAUCUCUUCCCGUAACCAAAAGACUCAAUCCUAAUAGCGUUUUCCAAGGUGAAUCAACCCUCAAACCCUAGUGUUUGUUCCCAAGAGACAAACUCUAUACAAACCCUAGUUUUGUUGUUGCUUUUCUAAACCCUUGUUUCAGCCCCCUCUAUCUCAAGGGUUACUCUGAUACAACGCUUAUAUUUAUAGUAAAAGAAUCCUCUAUAAAACUGGAACAAAUCCAGGCCCGAAAAUACGUUAGUGUUUUAUUUUCUGCUGUCAAAAUCGGCCACCAAAUGCUCCAAAUCGGCCGCCGAUUUUUGCCGAACCAACGAACAAAAAACCAGAGUGCAAAAUCGGCCACCAAUCCCUGAAAAUCGGCCAUCGAUUUUCUACUUCCAGAAUUCCAAUUUCUUCAAUUUUGAGGCACUUUCACAACAAUCUCCACCUUGACUCUAAAUUAGUGAUGAUGUCAAACCAUCAACCACCAUGCUGCUCUUUGCCUUGCUUCCCACUACACCAAGUAGCUCCACAAGUUUACACCUUAACCCCUUCAGCCAUCGGAAUGUCUUCCGCCUUCUCGAAGGUCCUUGCAGUCCAUCUACACUAUGAAUUUUAGGUAGUUCCACAAGCAUUCACCUUAACCUCUUCAGCCAUUGGAACGUUUUCCGUCUUCUCGAAGAGUCCUUACAGUCCAACGACACUAGGUGUUUUAGGUAGUUCCACAAGCAUUCACCAUAACCUCUUCAACAUAGGACAUCUUCCACUUCCUUGAAAGUCUCCUUGCAUCCAAUCACCCUUGGCCUUUUUUUAGGGUAAUCCCGCAAGUCGUGCUAUACAUUCUUCAACCUCCGAAAUGCCUUCCGUCUUCAUGAAGAAAUCCCUUGCUCACCAUAGAGCAUAACACCCAAGGUCCUUCAUAGUCGUACCAUUACCGGUGUGUUCAACUCCACCUCAAGCUGAGCGUACUCUACCUUAACUAGAAAAUGCGUACAUCCCACCAUGUCUUCAACCUUGAAACUCCACCUCAACAGGUAGAUCAUGAAUAUUAUUGCAUCCGCCUCUCCAGACUGAUCAUGAGUAUUCUUACCACCGCCUCUCCAGGAUGAUGUUGAGUGUUUAACUUCCCUCUAGAUGACCACCGCUCCACUAGGCAUCAUUUUCAAGGUGAGACAUAUCACCUUCUUCAUCCUCCAAACAACACCACACCAUCAGAGAACCCGCAUCCUCAAGAUGCACCUCAAUGUUCUCCAAAUCACCAAUGAUUUUGUUGAACUCCAUAAGUAGCUCCAUGAUGGCCUUUAACUUUACCAUCUUGAAUGAGUAGAGUUGUUACUUUAGGAAUUACCGAUGAGCCAAAGACUUUGUCAUAUACAAAUAUUCGAACUUUGACCACAUUGAUGUCGCGGUUGGUUCUUUUGCUACUUCUAUCGAAACUUUAUUCCCGAGGCACAAGAGAAUGGAACUCCUGGCCUUGUCCACUAUCUCGGUCUUCUCCGCUUGUGACAUGGUGACCGGUAACACACCUUCACCCUUCAAAGCUUUCUCACACUUCUGCUCUAUUAGCACCGCUUCCAUCUUUACCUUCCAUAACCCAAAAUCAUUAUCUCCAGUAAAUUUCUCCAUAUCCCACUUUGAACCCAUGGUACUUGAUUUUCCUUUGAUCCUUGCCCCGUGGUGGGCGCCAAUUGUUGUGAAUUCGAUGAAAAAUUACACCAAUAAUAAACUUGAUGUGUGGAGCAAGGGAUAAUCAAGCAACCAAAAUCAAAGUGGAUAGCAAUUAAACACAACCCAAAAGUAGAAAACAGCGAGAGAGAAAGGAAGAGAGAACACAAAAGAAUUUGUUGACCUAGUUUGGUCCAAAUUGACCUAGCUUUGGGGAGAGAGCAGCCAUCCGUUCCACUAUAUGAUAAGUAACUUUACAAAAGAGAUAUCAAUGGGUUACAAGAAUAAGUCUCCCGCCUAAUUCUACCCAAAGCCCCAAUCUCUUCCCGUAACCAAGAGACUCAAUCCUAAUAGCGUUUCCCAAGGUGAAUCAACCCUCAAACCCUAGUGUUUGUUCCCAAGAGACAAACUCUAUACAAACCCUAGUUUUGUUGUUGCCUUUCUAAACCCUUGUUUCAGCCCCCUCUAUCUCAAGGGUUACUCUAAUACAACGCUUAUAUUUAUAGUAAAAGAAUCCUCUAUAAAACUGGAACAAAUCCAGGCCCGAAAAUACGUUAGUGUUUUAUUUUCUGCUGUCAAAAUCGGCCACUGAAUGCUCCAAAUCAACUGCCGAUUUUUUCCGAACCAACAGACAAAAAACCCGAGUGCAAAAUCGGCCACCGAACCUUGAAAAUCAGCCCCCGAUUUUCUGCUUUCAGAAUUCCAAAUUUAUUCAAUUUUGAGGCACUUUCACAAGAAAAGUGAUUUAGAUAUGUUGUCUUUUAUAUGCUUUAUGUAUUGUUUGCUUAAUUUGGGGUUGAAUUUGGAUUCUAUGCAGUAACUUAAUUAUUGAUUUUGACCGUCUGAUUGCAAAACAAUUGUAAAGAUUAUUUAAUAAUCGAUGGUUUAUUGAAGGUGUAAUAUGAGUGGGAUAAUCGCAAAUCGAUAGGCAAGAUCAAUUAAUGUGUAUAACUGCGUGCUUUUUCUACUGGAGUGGAUCCAAUGGGUUAUGCUUGAUGUCUCAAUUUUCAAAUAAGAACUGAAGUUGACCUUUAGUAAUUUGUAUUUAUGCUUGUUAAUAUAGUGACCAAGUCAAAUUCAAUGAAGCGCUUCAUACACCAGAAGACUUGGAGUUGAAGAGGCUUUAUUUAAAAGUUCACCUCCUCAAUACCCUCAAACACCAUGAAACGCACCGUUUCACUUAAACACAUAUUAUAUUAUAAUAAAAAUAAAAUAAAAUAAAAUAAAAACUUAGUUAAGUAAUCAUGUUAAAAAAAAUAAAAAUAGAACACGGUGAAACUUUCUACAACAUACUCACUCUUAUUCAUUUUGUUUUCCAUUCCACUUCCCUCGGCACCCUCACUGUUCCUCCUUUCCUUCACUUCUUCCUUCUCCAAUUUUCUUUCAACUCAUGAUGAUAAGUAGUAGAUUUUCGAUUUGGAUUUGAAUUUGGAUUUACUUAUGAUGAUAAGUAGUAGAUUUUCGAUUGAGUUUUGAUGAACGUAUAUUGACAUAAGUUUUGUUAUGUUCCGAAAUAUGGUUUUAGACAUAUGUUUUAAGAAUGGUGUUUUGAAGAUUACGGUUAUAAUGACGACGACCUAGGUGCACCUAGUAUGUGAUUUCAAUUAGGUAGAAUUACCCCGUUAGAUGGAGCCGCCCCUAUGGAAAGGCCGCCAUUAGGAGGAGAGGGCUAUCAAUGAGAGGUAAACUCCCUAAUUGAAAAUGUUUUACACUUUGUUUUGAGUCGAGAGAAAAGAGCUAUCCGUUAGAUGGAGUCGCCCCAUGGAAAUGCCACCAUUAGGAGGAGAGGGCUAUCAACGAGAUGGAGCUAGUUCUCGAUUCACCCAUUUGAUUAUUUUCACCAAAGUUAGAUUUUUAUACUUUAUUUAAAGUUGAUUAUUUUGGUAUUAUGAAAUUGAAUAUGAUUUUAUAUUUUCUUUGAAGUGAUUAUUUUGAUUUCAUUUCAUUAAGCCUGAUUUUUAUAUUCUAUUUGGAUUUGAUUAUCUCGAUUCCUUUUCAUUAUAAUCAAUUUAUAUAUUUUCUUUAAAGUUGUGGAUUUGGUUUCACCUCUUGACGACAUUGAGAUUUUGAUAUAGUCUUAUUUGGUUUGAUAAAAUUACAAAGUUUUAUGAAUUUUCAUGGUACACUUGAUGGUGAAUUUAUUAUAUUUUUAUACAGUUACUAGCCUUGAAAGUAAAAAAUUAGAUUUGAGAUAAAUAAAUAAUCGUGCCCUUGUGUGUUUCCCUUCUAGUUGGUGGUGGUUGUUUUCUCCUCACUAAGUCUUUGUGACUUACCUCUUCUUCUUACAUUUUUUUUUCAGAUUCAAAGUCAAGUGCGUAGAAAGCUUGUACCAGAGUUAAAGAUAUAUCAAUGUCAUUCUUUUGGUAGGUCUCCUAUAUGUAUGAACUGAAUGAUCAAUGUAUCUGCAGCUAUUGGUAGUCUAGAAAUGUUUUGUUUUGAAUUGUACAAACAUCUAGUUAUGUCAAUUUGAGAUUCUGCUGAUAAUACAAGUAUAUGGACAGGAUUCAUACCUUGGAUAGUAUCCAAAAUACAAAGGAUACUCUGUCGAAAUUUCAUUGGAUAUCAUUUUAAGUGAAAGUCAAUUUGAAAUUUAUCUAAAUUAUAGUUUGUCAAGUGUCGUCAUUAGGCUUGCCGGACUAGGAUGUUCUAGUUCAUGCGCCGGUCACGAAUGUGAAUUUUUGGGUCGUGACACACCAAUCCAUCAUACAAUUCUAUACUUCUUGUUCACACAGAGGCUUAACUAUAUGAUCAUGAUCUCUAUUCACUGGUUAUUCUCCAUGGAACCGUAUAGUUAUCAUGAUCAUGAUCAAAAAUUAUGCUUUUCUAGUUAUAUUAUAAGAUGUUCUAUUACACCAUGAGUUGUUAUCACUGAAUCUAUUUUUUGCAAUCUUCACUCACUUAGGUUGAGCUACCAUCACUCGUAAUUUUUAGACAUUAGUAUCAUCCUGUUAUCAUGGUUUUUGGGUGCCAAGCCAUUAAUUGGACUUGAACCUUUUGACCGUUGAUAUCUCUCUUUUUUCUUGGGAAGGGUAAAAGGAGAAAAACCCUUGAGUUUCCGAAUUCGGGGGUCGUUUUCGCUACGGGAAGGUGUUAGGCACCCGGAGCGAUUAUGGUAUUCCAUAAGAACCGCUCUCCUAAGUUUAUUUCUACGCUUUAGUUUUAUUGCUUAUUUGUAAAAAAAGAAGGUGUGAUUAGUUAAGAAUGGGGGUGAGAAGAAGUAGAAUUUGAUUUUAUUUCGGCUUGGAUGAGUUUUGACUCAUUGCCUACGUACCCUUUUAAGGGAUCAAAACCGUUCGUAGUUCUUGCUCAAAAAAUGGUUUUUUUUGUUUUUAUUGGUUGAUUUUAAGUUUGAAAAGAGAUUUUGAAGAAUAGAGAUGAGAGGCCUCAAGGGCAUAAGGUUUGGAAAGUGUGAGGUGGAUUUAGUCAUUUUGCAAAAAUAAAGUCCAAGAAGGAUUAAGAUUCAUUAAAAGUUUUACUUAAGAAAAUAAAGGGAAAAUAAGGAGUUUUGACUCCAUUUUAUUUUCAAAAAAAGGUUUUCAAGUGAGAUUAUUUGCAUGUUUUUUUUUUGGAAAAAAGUUGGAUUUUUAUCUAAGUGUUUAAACCUAAGCGCUUAUCUAACCAUACAAUCCUAUGCAUACAUCUAAGGUGAGUGUGUGCGUGUCGGUGCGUCAUAGUGUCCAUAGUCCAUAUUACAAAAAUUGCCUAAAUACAUUCUAUGGCCCCUUUGCCAAGCUACAAACCAAUGAUAACAAAUUACAUUACCAAAUGAAUUAAAACUUGCAAAAAAUAAAUGCUAAGCUAAAGAAAGUGGAGAGGGUGGUGGAAUGCUAUGAAACGUAUGGCACAUGAGAUGAAAUGGUUAGUAAUCAUAAAGCACACAAUAGUAGGAAGUAAUUAAAAGGAAAUGCAUAAAGAUGGCAAAGAAAAAGUAAUAAAGUGGUAAUAAACCUAAAAAACAUUUGAUAUGAUACCUAAAGAUGCUAGUGACCCAUAAUCAUCACAUCAUGGCAAUUUAGAAAGAAAUUUUGUUUCAAGCCAUGACAUGCAAUUAAUGGAGGCAUAUGCAUGCAAAAUAUCACACCAAGUUCAUAGAGAAUUUUGCCACUUUAUUCCUUAAGACUAAACUUGUUGCUUGCAAAACAAGAAAUUCAUAAAAUCAUAUUCAAAAACAGCAAACAAAAACACAUUUCCAGAGGCAUAUUCAUCACCAUAUUAGGCAUCCUUUAUCCAUGUCAUAAUAUCAAAAUGUCAAGAACAAAACAUAGCAAAAUGCAUACCAAAAGUGUAAAAACACGUGGAAUUAGUUCAUGCCAUUUUAACAUUUUUUUUUAUGCAAGAAACACCAUAGGAAUACCAAAAAUGUAUCAAGAAAACACUAGGAUUUUUUAGGAUUUGUUUUUAUAAAAAGAUGAGCAAGCAACAGGUGUGAAUAGCAAAAGAGCAGUGUGAAUAGCACAAAAAAUAGCAGAAAACGCAGAAAACCAAAAGAAACAAGCCCAAGCCCAACCUAAAAGAUCCGGAUGCAUGGGAUCCACACGAUUGAUCCAGGAUUCAAAAACCCUAGAUCAAACGGCCAGGAAUCAAAGGAGAUGGACCGGACUGGACCGGUCCGGUUCGCUGGCCUAUAAAAGUGGAGGAACACCGGUUUUUUCAUUUCUCUACUUCCCUUUCUCUCUCUAAGUUCUUCCCUCUUCUCUCAUCUCUCACUUCUCUCUAGAAACCUCACCGCCGGUGAGGAUGAAGCUACGGCGGAGACCUUGAAGGUCCGCCGGAAACUUCAUCUUCUCCGGCGAGACUAUGAACUCCGGUGACCUAAAAUUUCCAGAACUUAAAGAUUUUUGUAUUUUCUGGUUCGUCCUUUAACCCUAAACACGAAUCCAGCAGUUGUUUUUUCAAAUACGGUUUGAAACGACGUAGAUCUAAAAAGUUCCGUACGGUUUUGAAACUGAUUUUUGAUUUUUUGAAAGGAAAUGUUUAGGUCGUUAAAGAUCUACAUCGUUUCGUUGUUCGCUGCUCUUCUUUGAUGUUUGUUCUUGCUUUCAAAACUUAGAUCCUUAUGGAUCUAGGUUUUGUGUUUACGGUUACGGUUUCGUCUUUGAGUUCUGGAAAUUUUGGAUCUGUUGCUUGCGUGAUAUUUUUUUAGGUUUAACAGUGAUAUUACUUUUGAGAAAAGAUUCUGAGUUUUACCUAAGGUUUUGGUUGAAACCUUUAAUGGAGGAAAUCUUUGGAAAAACUUGAAUGCUCUUGAUGAUUUUGAUUCUUCUGCUUGCUUUUGGACCGAAAAUAAAUCGGUGAUUCUCCUUUUCUCACUGAUUCCGUUUCUUCAUCUUCUUCGCCGGUUUAGAACUUUGCUUCUUUCCUUCUUCUUUUCACGCUCUGUGAUCAACGCUUGAGCUUGCUUCAAUGCGAGCUCGCGUUUGGAAUUGCAGAGAAUGAUCAAUUCGAUGAUGAAGAUUCAACAGAAUCUCUGAGAAUUGAUCCAAAAAACUGUUGAUUCUGAUGAAUUUUGAUUUCUGGAAAACGGUUAGGGUUUUGUGUUCUUGGUGUUCUUGAGAGAUUCUGAGAAACUUUUCUGUUUUGAUUCACUUGCUGAGAAAGAGGAAAUUGGAUUUGUGUUUAUGAGUUGGCGUGUGAUUCAUGGCUCUGAGUGGCACUGUACACCUUUUAUAGCAUGACAUGUGUGCAUUGGAACCAAUAAGAAAAGGACACCUGGACUUUGAAAAAAAAGGCACGGCCUUGGCAAAUUUGGCUUCUGGACCUUUCUGCAAAAACAAAGAAUUUGAGGACUAAACUGCAAAAUUAAUUAAAAGGCUUGAAAUGAAAUUAAAAAAACUGUUUGGACAAAAUGCAAUUUUGGGACCUCAAUUGAGGGACCAAAACGCAAUUAAAAAUAAAAUUGAGUAAAAAACGUAAUUUGACCAAACGUAAAGCGAAACAAAAAUAAAAUUGACAAAACGGACUAAAACGAACCAAUGACCUAAAUGAGGUACUUCAAAGUAACCUCUCUAUGCCAAAAUUUUGUGUGAAAUGACCAAAAUGCCCCUAGGGCUAAAAUUGACCUAAACAGAUUGAAAUGGACUUAACACUGACUCAGACGCAAGUUUGAAAUGAAUUUUAACAAGGUUUACUGAUGAAGUGUUUAAAAAUAAUCUGAAAAGACUCAGAGACAGUCACAAGGAUGAAAAUGGGUCCCACUGCAGGAAAUGACCAAAAUACCCUUCUGUAUGACUUUUUGCAAAUUUUGAAAUAAACUGUGGAAAAAGCAAUGUAAUGAUUCAGAGACACUUUUGAAUGACUUACAAGACAAGUAAAGACAUUUCAAAAGGUUUUAUGCAAGAAAAACAUAGGUAAAAUUGUGAUUGAAAAUACUGCGAGGCAGAGACAAUUUGAACUGUGCAGUUGAAAUUUGAUAAUUGACAAAGUUUGAAAUGAAAUUGGGCCCAGUAUUUUUAGGUCCAAAAACAGGGUAUAACAGCUGCCCCUAUUUAAGUUUCUUUGUCUGGAGAGUCAAGAGACGGAGUCUUUGGCUUGACAGGAAGAAGAUACUUAAAUAUUAGCAUUUGCACUGUGUUUGGACGUAAAAAUACGCCUACCCAUUUUCAAAUAAUAUGCAUGCCAUGCAUCAUUCGGAUUAUGAAUGCAAGACCUCAUGGGGAUUGGAAUUAACAAAAUAUGUCGUAUCCAUUGCGGGAUUGGUAGACAUUGACAAAGAUAGUGAAUAGCAGAGUAACGGGAAACUAGAAACAAGUUGGAUAGGUACAAGCUGUUCUUGGAUUCAAACUAGCCACUUGACCGGGGAUUAAACAAACAGACAACUGCGAGUUGUUCUUAUGGAUUCGAACUGGUCACUUCACAGGGGAUAGAAGUUACUGGACAAACAUGAGUUGUUCUUAUGGAUUCGAACUGGUAACUCACUUGGGGAUAUUGGAAAGUGCGAGUUGUUCUUAUGGAUUCGAACUGGUGACCCGACUGGGAAAAAGAGAAAAUUGGCAAGUACGAGUUGUUCUUAAGGAUUCGAACUGGUUACUUGACUGAAAGCAAGGCAAAUAGACAGGUGCGAGCUUGUUCUUGGAUGCGAACUGGUUACUCCACCGGACAGAAACAGAUAGACAGGUACAAGCUGCUCUUGGAUUGAGCUAGCCACUUGACCGAACGGAAACAUAUUGACAGGUACAAGCUGCUCUUGGAUUGAGCUGGGCACUCGACCGAUAACAUAAGCAAAUUGAUAGGUACAAGCUGUUCUUGGACUUGAACUAGCCACUUGACCAAACAGAAACAUAUUCACUGGGGGUUGGUUUGUUUUGACAAAAUAUAGAUUGAAAUUGACUUGACGUCGAUUUGGUUUGAAAGGUAGAAAUUGACCGAUAUUAUUGGCUCACAAGGUUUUGACAGAGAACCUGACAUGAGUAUUGAAUUGAGACUGAUGUUGACAUUGGAAAUGCAAUAUGCAUGGAUGAUAUAACAGUUUCAUUAAAUGCAUGGGCACGUAAUAUGCAUGGUUAUGCAUGUAUGAAUGCUUGUGAUGCAUGACUGUUAGCAGUUUGUAGGCACGACUUCACCGGGAAGACAAGACAUUAGAGUAUUGGGCACGUAGUGGCUCGUGCUAUAUUACACAUUCUUGGAAAUCCUCUUUGGAGAUGACGUCGUUGGGAGACGUAUCGGAACCAUGGCUGAGGGCAGGUAGCUAAACAACUUGCUGGAGAUAGAAUCUUGGAAAACCCUGACUGGGGAAAACGCCGUUGUGCUGGGCAUGUUGUAGAUAUCGCAUCUGUGGUCAAUGCUUUUUGCAUGUUAUAUUUUCAACUUCCAUUCAUUCAUUUUUUUGCAUCCCAUUUUUGCCUGGAUCGCCCUUUCGGGUUUUCAAUCCACCGGGGAAAUAAAUUCUUUUCAAUGCCCCAUUUUUGCCUGAACUGCCCUUUCGGGGUGUCAAUCCAGCGAGGUGCUCAUUUUUGCCUAAGCCGCCCUUUCGGGUUUUCAACUUAGCGAGCUCAUUCAUUUUCAUGCAUUUUCAUUCUGUUUUUUCAUUCUUGCCAUUGACCACAGAUUAUCUUGGAGGAGAACCUGCUUGUAACACAUAUUGAAAUAGACACCAACAUACUCUCGCUCAUGCAUGUUUCAUUUGAAUGUACCCUGUUGCUCAGGUUUGCUUUUCAAAAUAGACAAAAAGUUUUCAAUUUUCAAAAAAAACGUUUGUUUCAAGCAUUGUCAUUAUCAAAAUAGAAAGAAAAUGUUUUGUAUAUAGCUUUGAAAGUAGAAGAAAAAUGGAGUUUUCAAACAAAAGCAAAGGCUCAAAUUGAUGUAUAAGAGUGGUGGUCAGCCCAAGGCAUGACUCCACGGAUUCAUAAAGCUUGGAAAAUGGUAAUUUUAUUGGUUGGUGGUACAUUGAACACAGUAAUCAUUACAUUUCCCAAAAAACUUUGAAUUCACAAGUACAGAAGCUUCAGAUGAAGAUGGUCAUUAACAGCUGCAGAUGCCCCAAGGGGGACGGUGGUUAGCCAGAUAUAGUUACUUGCCUUUUGUUUCAAUCUCAUUUUUGCAUGAACCGCCCUUCUGGGUUUUCGGCUCAUCGAGACGCUCAUUCUUGCCUGAGUUGUGUUCAAUCUCAGCGAGCUUUUCAUAUUUGUUUCUUUUGUCCCUUAUUUUUGCCUGGACCGCCCUUUCGGGUUUUCGAUCCACCGGGAAGCGCAUUUUUGCCUAGGCCGCCCUUUCGGGUUUUCGACCUACCACGCUGUUCUUUUCACAUUUCUAGGCGAAGUAUUUCUUGACUAUAUCGGCAUUCACUGGAUUUGGAAGUUCUACACCAUCCAUGUGUGUAAGGAUUAAAGCACCACCGGAGAAGGCCUUCUUGACAACAUAAGGACCUUCAUAGUUAGGCGUCCACUUGCCCCUUGGGUCGGGUUGCUGACUUAUCCUCCUUUUCAAUACAAGUUCCCCUACCUUGAAUUCUCGAGGAUGGACUUUCUUGUCAAAAGCAGUCUUCAUUCUUGCUUGAUACGACUGUCCACGAGCCAUGGCAUCCAUACGUUUUUCCUCAAUCAAGUUCAACUGAUCAUACCGGCUUUGGCACCAUUCAGCCUCGGAUAACUUUGCUUCCAUGAUCACACGGAGAGAUGGGAUCUCCACUUCCAAAGGAAGAACUGCUUCCAUACCAUAUACAAGAGAGAAAGGGGUUGCCCCGGUUGAACUGCGCACUGUAGUACGGUAGCCAUGCAGAGCAUAGGGUAACAUCUCAUGCCAGUCCUUGUAAGUAGUUACCAUCUUCUGGACAAUUCUCUUGAUAUUCUUGUUGGCGGCCUCAACUGCACCAUUCAUCUGAGGUCUAUAGGGAGAAGAGUUAUGAUGCUCAAUCUUGAAUUCUUCACAAAGAGCUUGCACCACAUUGUUGUUCAGGUUGGUACCAUUGUCAGUAAUGAUCUUGCUGGGAACACCAUAUCGGCAUAUGAUGUUGUUCUUGAUAAACUUAGCUACCACUUGCUUGGUCACAUUGGUAUAAGAUACUGCUUCAACCCACUUGGUGAAGUAGUCAAUUGCCACUAAGAUGAAACGAUGACCAUUUGAAGCCUUCGGUUCAAUUCUUCCAAUCAUGUCGAUGCCCCACAUUGAGAACGGCCACGGGGACGAAAUAACAUUGAGGGCGUGCGGAGGCACAUGGAUCUUGUCAGCAUAGAUUUGACAUUUGUGGCAUUUUCUGGCAUGCUAGUAGCAAUCAUGUUCCAUGGCCAUCCAAUAGUAACCUGCUCGUAACAACUUCCUUGACAUAGUAUGCCCUGUAGCAUGGGUCCCGAAGGUACCGUCAUGUACAUCAUGCAUUAACUGCUCUGCUUCAUGUUCAUCAACACAUCUUAACAACACCAUGUCAUAGUUUCUCUUGUACAGAAUAUCUCCAUCUAACAGGAAUCUGCUGGCCAAUCUUCUCAGGGUCUUCUUGUCUUGUUUGGAAGCAACCGGCGGAUACUCACGGCUCAGCAAGAACUGUUUGAUGUCAUAAUACCAGGGUUUAUAGUCAACCACAUUUUCACCAGCCUGAUCGAUCACAUCCCCAAUAGCAAACACAUGCGAAGGUCUUUCAAGGCGUUGCACUUUGAUAACUGGCACAUCAUUCCAAUGGUUUACUCGAAACAUGGAGGAUAGAGUAGCAAGAGCAUCAGCCAUUUGGUUCUCAUCACGAGGAAUAUGGUGUAGCUCAACCUUUGUAAAAUAUGUCAGCAAACGUCUCGCAUAAUCACGAUAAGGAAUCAACUUAGCAUGGUGGGUCUCCCAUUCACCCUUUAUCUGAUUGAUGACGAGCGCAGAAUCUCCAUAGAUGUCGAGGUGUUUGAUUCUCAUGUCAAUUGCUUCCUCGAUCCCAAAGAUACAUGCUUCAUACUCAGCCAUGUUGUUGGUACAUUCGAACAGAAUUCUGGCGGUAAAAGGGAUGUGAUGCCCCUGCGGGGAUACAAUGACUGCCCCAAUUCCUUUACCAUAAGCAUUGACAGCACCAUCAAAGACUAAACCCCACUUGCUAUUGGGAUCUGGACCUUCAUUAAUCAACGGUUCGUCGCAGUCUUUGGAUUUCAAAUACAUGAUCUCUUCAUCGGGGAAGUCGAAUUCAAUUGGUUGAUAAUCAUCAAGAGGUUGGUAAGCAAGAUGAUCGGCAAGAAUGCUACCUUUGAUUGCCUUUUGAGUUUUGAACACAAUAUCAUAUUCAGACAAAAGCAUCUGCCAGCGUGCAAUCUUUCCAGUAACAGCAGCUUUCUCAAAGAUAUACUUGAUCGGAUCCAUUCUGGAUAUCAACCAAGUUGUAUGAUUCACCAAAUAAUGACGCAGGCGUUUGGCAGCCCAAGCUAAAGCACAACAAGUCUUCUCAAGCAUUGUAUACCGAGUUUCACAAUCGGUGAACUUCUUGCUCAGAUAGUAGAUAGCAUGCUCUUUCUUUCCAGUUUCAUCUUGUUGACCAAGUACACAUCCCAUGGAUUCAUCAAACACUGCCAAAUACAUAAUCAAAGGCCUUCCUUCCACGGGUGGGACAAGGAUAGGUGGUUCCAGCAGAUAAUUCUUGAUGCUAUCAAAAGCUCCUUGGCAUUCAUCAUUCCAUACAACAGGCUGAUUCUUUCUGAGUAGCUUGAAGAUCGGCCCGCAGGUUGCUGUCAUGUGAGAUAUGAAUCGGGAGAUGUAAUUCAAACGUCCGAGGAAGCCUCUGACUUGCUUCUCUGUCUGUGGAGCUGGCAUUUCUCGGAUGGCCCGUACUUUAUCAGGAUCGACUUCAAUGCCCUUUUGGCUGACAAUGAAGCCUAAUAACUUCCCGGAUCUGACGCCGAAUGUACAUUUGUUGGGAUUCAAUCGAAGCUUGUAUUUUCUCAACCUUUCAAACAUCUUUGUCAAAUAUUCAACAUGCUGCUCCUCAUCUGUUGACUUCACAAUCAUGUCGUCCACAUAUACUUCGACUUCUUUGUGAAUCAUGUCAUGAAACAGAGUAGUCAUUCCCCUUUGGUAGGUAGCACCAGCAUUGAUUAGGCCGAACGACAUCACUUUGUAGCAGAAAGUACCCCAUGGCGUGAUAAAAGACGUCUUUUCUCUAUCUUCAGGAGACAUCUUGAUCUGAUUGUAACCGGAGAAACCGUCCAUGAAGGAGAACACCUUAGACUGAGCAGUAUUAUCAACAAGCACAUCAACAUGAGGUAACGGAAAGUUGUCUUUUGGACUGGCUUUGUUCAAGUCCCUGAAGUCAACACACAUCCUGACUUUACCAUCCUUCUUUGGCACGGGCACAAUAUUAGCAACCCAUUCAGGGUACUCAACUGUCAUGAGGAAACCCGCAUCAAUCUGCUUUUGGACCUCGCUCUUGAUCUUGAGAGCCAUAUCUGGAUGAGUCCUUCUCAAUUUCUGCCUGACGGGAGGACAUUCAGGCUUGGUGGGGAUCCGAUGCUCCACAAUCAUAGGGUCUAGACCUGGCAUAUCUUCAUAUGACCAUGCAAAAAUAUCCGGAUAUUCCCGGAGGAGCUGGAUGAUCUUACUUUUAACCUCUUCCCCUAGAGCAGCACCGAUCUUGAUUUCUCGCUUGUUCUCCUCGGUACCUAUGUUGAUAAGCUCAAUCUCUUCCUGGUGAGGCUGAAUGGCUUUCUUUUCUUGCUCGAGUAACCGAGUGAUCUCAUAUGGUAUGUCAUCACCCUCCUCAUCUUCGGCUUCAUACACAGGGAAUUCAAAAUUUGGAGGGACCGUAGGAUUACUGUGUUCAACGGGUUUAUUAUGGUUCAACCUGCAUAUAAUGAUUGGAUGAUUUUAGAAAGGGUUGUUUUUUCAUGCAGAUUUUUGAAAUUAAUAAGAAAAUACAGACUGUUUGGUUUUUUCUGGCAUUACCAUUUUUUCCAAGAAAAAGGCACUAAAAAAAAGGCAGUCGUGAAAGAAACGACAAUUUUUAUUCAUCAACGGCAAUGCCGAAACAAACACGCCCUUACAGAAAAUAUCACUCUCGCAUUGGGCAGAGCGAGAGGAUUGUUAUUUUUGAAAACAAAGCGCUAAAGCAACAAGACACGUUACUCGGAAAUAUGCAUGAUUGAAGGAAUGUCAAUGGCAUCCCAAUCUCUCGCAAUGCCUCCCGGCGUAACGAAAACAAGCCUGAGACCAGAUCCAGUUGCUUCUUCAGAGAUAGCAUUAACAAACCCAGCACUGUGGAAGACUCCCGAGGAAACCCUUGACGACGGGGAGAACCCGAGACCUUCUUUACGCUUGUUCUCACAGAGCUGUAUCACCUUGCCCCAACCGGCAGUCUGACCGUCCUGAAUAACCUUCUGAGCAUCUUUCAAUGAAGCCAUAGCAGCCCCAGCUUUCUUAGGCUCUGCACCCUCAAUGGUCAAACCUUGGAAAGCAGUCCCUUCAGCAGACCCUGCCUCAAUACAAGAGAAGGAAGACAGCUGGCUGACUAAGUAUGCCUCUUCACCAUGAACGGUAACAAGCUUUCCAUUCCUCUCAAACUUCAACUUCUGAUGUAAGGUGGAGGUUACCGCGCCCGCAUCGUGUAUCCACGGUCUUCCCAGCAGACAACUGUAGGAUGCAUUAAUGUCCAUCACUUGGAAGGUAAUCAAGAAAUUCUCAGGGCCAAUGGUUAUCGGCAAGUCUAUCUCUCCCAGCACAUUCUUUCGAGAUCCAUCAAAAGCUUUGACCAAGAAAGUACUCCUCCUCAAAGGGGUCCCUCGGUAGCUCAACUGAUCUAGAGUUGUCUUGGGCAUUACAUUGAGGGAGGAACCGGUAUCCACCAACACAUUUGAUAUCAUGUCUGAUUUACAAUUCACCGAGAUGUGCAAAGCCAAAUUGUGACUCUUUCCCGCUUCCGGCAACUCUUCUUCACUAAACCAGAGGUUGUUACAAGCAGUGAUAUUUCCCACUAUGCCACCGAAACGAUCUACCGUAACUUCGUGGUCCACAUAAGCCUGCUCCAGCACUUUCAACAAGGUAUUCCUGUGAGCCUCGGAGCUCAAGAGUAAUGACAAGACAGAUAUCUUCGAAGGAGUCUGUAGUAACUGAUCAACGAUCUUGUAGUCACUCCUCUUUAUUAUCCUCAGAAUCUCAUCUAAAUUCGAAUCCUCUAUGGAUUUGCCUGACUGGUUCACAUCUGUAGCAAUGGGUGAAACAACGGUUGGAGUUGCUUCUUCAAUUGGUGGAAUGGUCGGUGUAACUACCUUCUGCUGAAAUAACGGCGGGCGAACCUUCCCGCUUCUUAGUGCUGCAGAAGUCCCUUCGGCAAUAUUGCUUACUGUGGCAAAGGAGGCUAGAGGCACCUCUACUCCAUUUUCUAUCAUGGUAGCAUUGUAUUUGUAUGGAACAGCCUUGUCUGAAACAUAAGGAAUUGGUCCUGGCAACCUUAUCACCAAAGGCUCAGCAUUCUUCUUCAAAGGUAUACUCUUGACGGGCGGAUCGUGAAAAACUGGCACAAUCACGCAAACAUCACUGACAGUCAGAAAAUUAUCAUUCAUCAAGCUUUGGAUGUCGUCUUGAACAGUAUAACAACCCAAAGGAUCACGGAGGCAUCCCAGACACUUGGCAUGAUCAUGGCUGAACAGAGAAGCUUUGCACAGCUUGAUGUGUAGAGGUACCAGAGGAGUUGCGACGUUGCGGACAUCAAGUCUAGGAGCUUCCUCGCACACUUCGAUCAUAUUCACAGCGGCAUGAUUUGGAAGAGGAUUGUCGAGGACAUGUGGGACAUUAUUCUCAAAUGUCAGCUUUCCUUGAUCAAUGAGCUUCUUCACGAUAUACUUCAAAGCAUAACACCCCUCGACAUCAUGACCUAAAGCACCUUGAUGAAAAUCACAUUUGAGAUCAGACCUGAACCUUGGAGGCAACGGAUCAAGUGGGGGCUUGCCCUGUCUAGUUGUACAAUGCCCUCUCUGGAGUAAAGUUGGAAGCAAUUCAGCAUAUAACAUCGGUAUCGGAGGGAAAGUAGGUCUAGCUUGCUGAUUUUGUUGUUGUUGUUGUUGAACCGGCAUCUGUUGUUUCAUCUGUUGGGCAAUUGCAUUGACGGGUACUUGAGGUUGACCCGGUGGCAGAGGGUACUGAUGAUAAAAUGGCGGGAAGAAAGGAUGCUGAGAAUACGGCAUAUAUGGGUAUGACGGAGGCAUUUGAGCUGCAUUGAUAGGAGCAACGGUAGCCAUGGAUUGACCGGCUCCAGCUGACACCAUCCCCACUUCCGUUUCUUUCUUCUUGUGGUGUCCAUUACCAUACCUCUUCGAUGCACUCGUAGAAGAUUCAGCUUUCUCAAACACAAUAAUUCCAUCCCUGACGGCUUCCUCAAGACGGGUUCCCAUGGUGACCAUCUCCGAAAAGUUGUUCGGGGCAGCGAUGAUCAUCCUCUCAACAUAAUCUUUCUUCAAGGUCUUUAAGAAUGUCUGGGUCAUUUCUUCUUCAUCUAAAGCAGGAGUGAUACGGGCAGCUGCCCCUCUCCACCUUUGUGCAUAUUCACGGAAACUUUCCUCUUUUUUCUGAGAUAGGGACCUGAGGAACUCCCUAUUCGGCUUCAAACGAGUGUUAAACCCGUAGUGGCUCUUGAAAGCAGCGGCUAGUUCAUCAAAAGUAUGGACAUCGUCUUUGCUCAGACUAGUAUACCACUCUGCAGCAUCCUCCAUCAGACUGUCUUGGAAAUAAUGGAUCAUAAGGGAAUCAUUGUCCUUGUAGUUGCCCAUCUUCCGGACAUAUUUGACAAUAUGAUUUUGAGGACAAGUCAGCCCGUUAUACUUGUCGAACUCCGGGACUUUGAACUUCUUUGGAACAUCUACCUUCGAUACUAAGCAGAGGUCCUGGGUUUUAAUAGAGUCUCCACUUCCCCUGUUGGCCUUAAUUUCCCGUCGGAGCUCUUUGGCAAGUUCUUCCAUUCUCUCUUCCAUAGUCCCGGUUGUGGCAAUACUCUCACGGUGCGCAUUAGCAUGGACAAUUUGAGGCACCGUAUUCACAAUGGGUUCGGUAACAGUUGUUGCAGCUUGAGUCAAGGCGGUACUAACAGGAGUUAAGUUUGCCCCUGAGAUUGGGCCACUGUUGAUAGUACCAGAGGUCCCUGCCCCUGUAUUAGCAGUAUAGUACGGCGGAAGUCCGUAAGGAAAUCCGGAUGGCAUGAUAAAGCGGGGAUCAGUUGUUACAGUAGGAGUCACAUUUGCAGCUGUAGAAACUACAGGAACUGGUUGUUUCUGAGCAGCCAACAGAGCAGUCAUAGCAUCAUGAGCUUUGGCCAAUUCCUCCUUUAGAGCUGCCAAUUCGGUACGGAGCUGAGAGUUCUCUUCUUCCAUAGCCCUUUUCUUUCUUCUGUAUUCUCUGGUUCGAUCAAUUCUAUCAGGUUCGUAAACUCUCUGAGCACGAGCCACUUUUCACACUGAGGCAGAGAAACCAGGAGAUAGUGAGCACUUGGAAGCCUUUGUGACCAAUGCAUGAUGCAUAUGAUGCAUGAUAUGCAAAUGCAAAUGCGAAAGACUUAUUUUUUUCAUCGAAGGAUUUUUAAACAAAUUAGAAAUCUUGCAAAUAAACAAAAUAACAUAUUUUCAAAAGGAAGACUUUGAAACUUUAACAAGAUAAACAAAUGAAGCCCUCAAGCGUAGGAAGUAGUCGGAGCAUCAUUGGACUCGGAAUCUGAAUCACAGUAUCUGUCAAAGAAGUCUCGUCGUCCUCUGGCUCUCUUGGAAUCCCUCAUAAGCAGCUCGUCUUUCUCUUCCAAUUCCCUCCGGACCUUAGCUAGUUCCUUCUUCAACAUCAGAUUCUCAUGAGUCUUCUGCUCAUCUCUACCAUCCAAAGUCAUGAUUAGAUUCUCGGCUUGAUCGUACCGAGCUUUCCAUACUUGCUUCUCACGACUCUCCAUAGCUAGAUGCUCCUGAUACAUAUCCUGAGUCGCGGGGAGCAACGGUAGAGGCAUAGAUGGAGUAGAUGAAGACACGUAUCUCAUAGCUGGAUAAGGCAUACCAAUCUCCUCAGCUCGAUCUAUCACCCACUGAGUAUAAGCCUCAUGAGCAACACCGGAUCUCACACCUAGAUGCUUCACACUCUUCCUUCGAACCUUGGACCAAGCAUCCAUGAAAGCUUUCCUUUGUCCGGUAGGAGCAUUCGUGUAGAAGAAAAACUCUGGAGAUGUAGCAAGAUUGAUGGGCUUCGACUUCAUAGGGAAACCAAAUUGUCUCAUAGCAAGCUCGGGAUUGUAGUUGAUUCCUCCACGAGUACCAAGAAGAGGUACAUUGAGAAAGUCUCCACAACCCAUAAUGAUUUCCUUCACCUGAGCGGCCGGAGUGAGCCAUACGACCUCAUUAGGAGUAAGGGCCAUAAUCCGCUGCGAGUAGGACCAAUUCUCCGAGUUGUCAUGGAAGGAACUCGGAAGGUGCGAAAUAAACCACCUAUACAAAAGAGAUGUGCAGCAAAGAAUAUACCUACGGCCCUUGAGAGUCCUGUCAUGAAUGGCGUGGUAGGUAUCCGCUAGCAAAGUAGGAACCGGGUUCUUGGAAUGGAAGAUCUCGAUAGCAUUCAUGUCCACAAAGUUGUCGAGGUUCGGAAAGAGAAUGAGCCCGUAGAUAAGAAAAGCAAGAAUAGCCUCGAGUGUAUCCUGACGAGUAGUACCGAGAUUAGCCUGAUCAAGAAGAUACUUCGAAGUGAACCCCCGGAUGUGAGACUUGGUAAUAAGAUGGUUGGAGACGUCGGAGGUCUUGAGGUAGAGAUCCUUAGCAAUAACCAGAGGAGUAAGAGAAGUCCCGGGACCGGUGAAAGGCGUCUUCUCGGCUAUAGGUAAACCCACUAGAUUGGAGUAAGCCUCGAGAGUAGGAACCAACUGGAAGUCCGGGAAAGUGAAGCAGCGGAAGCUCGGAUCAUAAAACUGUACUAGAGUGUGCACUAGCUUCUCGUCCACAUCGGUUCGGAGCAAAGUAAGCAAUCCCCCAUACCGGAGUCGGAAACCUGUUUGACUCUUGACCUUGAGUGCCAACUCUCUCAAACUAACCAAAUCCACUUCCUUGAACUUGUAGCACUUAGUCUUCUUCAUACCUGUGAUUAUUUACAAAAAUUUCCAUUUGUUUAAGCCCUUCGAUGAAUGCAUGAAAAAAUGUUUAUGCAUGAAUGCAUGUAUGCAUGAUUGUGUUGUUUAGUUACAAUGUGGGUUGAGGUUCAAAGUAACAGGGCCACGGAUGGACACGGCGUCCGGUGAACUAAGGCUUUGGAUGGUAGUAACCAAGGUUCUAACACAGUUCCCAAACUGCAACCUCUCUCACAUAUAUCAUGGUAGUACAGGACGACACCCGUUCCAUGAUUAUUUGUGAGAAGGUCUAGUUUGAGUGUAGUAUCGCGUGACGACUAAAGUUUGAGACAACACUCAAUUUAGCCACCGCACUACGUCCUAAAAAAGGCUAGGAUGGGUUUGGCAACUACGGUUCAUAGCUUCGUCGAACAAUUGAAAGUGAAGCCUAAGCAUGACAACACACGCCGACAAUAUCACCUUCAAAAUGCCUCAGCUAUGUGAGAUUGAUCGCAUAAUUCAAUACACGAGGCAACCCCCGGAUCGAAUUGUCGAUUAUAUCUCUACCUAAACAUAAGUUCACUCAGCCCGGGUAUAGGACUUUUGAUAUUCUCACCCCACACGUUAAAUGAAAAUAAACAAGUAUUCACAUGUAAGUAAUAAAACAAAGCGUAAAUAUAAACUAAAGAAAACUAGGCGCGACCCGCUAAAAAUUUCCCCAGUGAAGUCGCCAUUUCUGUUAUCAUGGUUUUUGGGUGCCAAACCAUCAAUUGGACUUGAACCUUUUGACCGUUGAUAUCUCUUUUUUUCUUGGGAAGGGUAAAAGGAGAAAAACCCUUGAGUUUCCGGAUUCGGGGGUCGUUUUCGCUACGGGAAGGUGUUAGGCACCCGGAGCGAUUAUGAUAUUCCAUAAGAACCGCUCUCCUUAGUUUAUUUCUACACUUUAGUUUUAUUGCUUAUUUGUAAAAAAGGAAGGUAUGAUUAGUUAAGAACGGAGGUGAGAAGAAGUAGAAUUUGAUUUUAUUUCGGCUUGGAUGAGUUUUGACUCAUUGCCUACGUACCCUUUUAAGGGAUCAAAACCGUUCGUAGUUCUUGCUCAAAAAAUGGUUUUUUUUGUUUUUGUUGGUUGAUUUUAAGUUUGAAAAGAGAUUUUGAAGAAUAGAGACGAGAGGCCUCAAGGGCAUAAGGUUUGGAAAGUGUGAGGUGGAUUUAGUCAUUUUGCAAAAAUAAAGUCCAAGAAGGAUUAAGAUUCAUUAAAAGUUUUACUUAAGAAAAUAAAGGGAAAAUAAGGAGUUUUGACUCCAUUUUAUUUUCAAAAAAAAGGUUUUCAAGUGAGAUUAUUUGCAUGUUUUUUUUGGAAAAAAGUUGGAUUUUUAUCUAAGUGUUUAAACCUAAGCGCUUAUCUAACCAUACAAUCCUAUGCAUACAUCUAAGGUGAGUGUGUGCGUGUCGGUGCGUCAUAGUGUCCAUAGUCCAUAUUACAAAAAUUGCCUAAAUACAUUCUAUGGCCCCUUUGCCAAGCUACAAACCAAUGAUAACAAAUUACAUUACCAAAUGAAUUAAAACUUGCAAAAAAAUAAAUGCUAAGCUAAAGAAAGUGGAGAGGGUGGUGGAAUGCUAUGAAACGUAUGGCACAUGAGAUGAAAUGGUUAGUAAUCAUAAAGCACACAAUAGUAGGAAGUAAUUAAAAGGAAAUGCAUAAAGAUGGCAAAGAAAAAGUAAUAAAGUGGUAAUAAACCUAAAAAACAUUUGAUAUGAUACCUAAAGAUGCUAGUGACCCAUAAUCAUCACAUCAUGGCAAUUUAGAAAGAAAUUUUGUUUCAAGCCAUGACAUGCAAUUAAUGGAGGCAUAUGCAUGCAAAAUAUCACACCAAGUUCAUAGAGAAUUUUGCCACUUUAUUCCUUAAGACUAAACUUGUUGCUUGCAAAACAAGAAAUUCAUAAAAUUAUAUUCAAAAACAGCAAACAAAAACACAUUUCCAGAGGCAUAUUCAUCACCAUAUUAGGCAUCCUUUAUCCAUGUCAUAAUAUCAAAAUGUCAAGAACAAAACAUAGCAAAAUGCAUACCAAAAGUGUAAAAACACGUGGAAUUAGUUCAUGCCAUUUUAACAUUUUUUUUUAUGCAAGAAACACCAUAGGAAUACCAAAAAUGUAUCAAGAAAACACUAGGAUUUUUUAGGAUUUGUUUUUAUAAAAAGAUGAGCAAGCAACAGGUGUGAAUAGCAAAAGAGCAGUGUGAAUAGCACAAAAAAUAGCAGAAAACGCAGAAAACCAAAAGAAACAAGCCCAAGCCCAACCUAAAAGAUCCGGAUGCAUGGGAUCCACACGAUUGAUCCAGGAUUCAAAAACCCUAGAUCAAACGGCCAGGAAUCAAAGGAGAUGGACCGGACUGGACCGGUCCGGUUCGCUGGCCUAUAAAAGUGGAGGAACACCGGUUUUUUCAUUUCUCUACUUCCCUUUCUCUCUCUAAGUUCUUCCCUCUUCUCUCAUCUCUCACUUCUCUCUAGAAACCUCACCGCCGGUGAGGAUGAAGCUACGGCGGAGACCUUGAAGGUCCGCCGGAAACUUCAUCUUCUCCGGCGAGACUAUGAACUCCGGUGACCUAAAAUUUCCAGAACUUAAAGAUUUUUGUAUUUUCUGGUUCGUCCUUUAACCCUAAACACGAAUCCAGCAGUUGUUUUUUCAAAUACGGUUUGAAACGACGUAGAUCUAAAAAGUUCCGUACGGUUUUGAAACUGAUUUUUGAUUUUUUGAAAGGAAAUGUUUAGGUCGUUAAAGAUCUACAUCGUUUCGUUGUUCGCUGCUCUUCUUUGAUGUUUGUUCUUGCUUUCAAAACUUAGAUCCUUAUGGAUCUAGGUUUUGUGUUUACGGUUACGGUUUCGUCUUUGAGUUCUGGAAAUUUUGGAUCUGUUGCUUGCGUGAUAUUUUUUUAGGUUUAACAGUGAUAUUACUUUUGAGAAAAGAUUCUGAGUUUUACCUAAGGUUUUGGUUGAAACCUUUAAUGGAGGAAAUCUUUGGAAAAACUUGAAUGCUCUUGAUGAUUUUGAUUCUUCUGCUUGCUUUUGGACCGAAAAUAAAUCGGUGAUUCUCCUUUUCUCACUGAUUCCGUUUCUUCAUCUUCUUCGCCGGUUUAGAACUUUGCUUCUUUCCUUCUUCUUUUCACGCUCUGUGAUCAACGCUUGAGCUUGCUUCAAUGCGAGCUCGCGUUUGGAAUUGCAGAGAAUGAUCAAUUCGAUGAUGAAGAUUCAACAGAAUCUCUGAGAAUUGAUCCAAAAAACUGUUGAUUCUGAUGAAUUUUGAUUUCUGGAAAACGGUUAGGGUUUUGUGUUCUUGGUGUUCUUGAGAGAUUCUGAGAAACUUUUCUGUUUUGAUUCACUUGCUGAGAAAGAGGAAAUUGGAUUUGUGUUUAUGAGUUGGCGUGUGAUUCAUGGCUCUGAGUGGCACUGUACACCUUUUAUAGCAUGACAUGUGUGCAUUGGAACCAAUAAGAAAAGGACACCUGGACUUUGAAAAAAAAGGCACGGCCUUGGCAAAUUUGGCUUCUGGACCUUUCUGCAAAAACAAAGAAUUUGAGGACUAAACUGCAAAAUUAAUUAAAAGGCUUGAAAUGAAAUUAAAAAAACUGUUUGGACAAAAUGCAAUUUUGGGACCUCAAUUGAGGGACCAAAACGCAAUUAAAAAUAAAAUUGAGUAAAAAACGUAAUUUGACCAAACGUAAAGCGAAACAAAAAUAAAAUUGACAAAACGGACUAAAACGAACCAAUGACCUAAAUGAGGUACUUCAAAGUAACCUCUCUAUGCCAAAAUUUUGUGUGAAAUGACCAAAAUGCCCCUAGGGCUAAAAUUGACCUAAACAGAUUGAAAUGGACUUAACACUGACUCAGACGCAAGUUUGAAAUGAAUUUUAACAAGGUUUACUGAUGAAGUGUUUAAAAAUAAUCUGAAAAGAUUCAGAGACAGUCACAAGGAUGAAAAUGGGUCCCACUGCAGGAAAUGACCAAAAUACCCUUCUGUAUGACUUUUUGCAAAUUUUGAAAUAAACUGUGGAAAAAGCAAUGUAAUGAUUCAGAGACACUUUUGAAUGACUUACAAGACAAGUAAAGACAUUUCAAAAGGUUUUAUGCAAGAAAAACAUAGGUAAAAUUGUGAUUGAAAAUACUGCGAGGCAGAGACAAUUUGAACUGUGCAGUUGAAAUUUGAUAAUUGACAAAGUUUGAAAUGAAAUUGGGCCCAGUAUUUUUAGGUCCAAAAACAGGGUAUAACACAUCCAAUUGUAAGUUUUAAGACAUUCUUUCUACAUAUUGAACGAUAUUCAUAAAAAUUAUUAUUCAUCAACACAUCAUAUUUUGAGUAACUACAAAAACCAGUGUGUUUCAUUUCAUUGGAUCGAUGCACCUAAAAUUGGGGGAAAGAAAAAAUAAAUGGCAUUGGAUGAAACAAGUUUCAUUGUACUACAUUCCAUUUUAUUUUAUUUUUUUACGAAACCAAACAAUGAAAUAUGGUUUUAUCUUGCUCCAUUCUACUCCGCCAUUUUCCAUCAAUACAAACAUUGUAUAAGACUUUGUUUACAAGUUUGGAGGAGAAUGUAGCUUUCAAAAAAUUAUAAGUCAUUUUUAGAAGAAAACAAUUGUCAUAAAUUAUAAGUCACUUUACAAUGUUAAUGAAUUAAUGUUAUUUUCGUUUCGAUUAUACCCUUAACUGGUUUUUUUUUUUUUUCUUUUCAAAUUCUUUAAAUUAAUUUUCCGAUAUAUUUUUUUUUAAAUAUAAAUAUAUUAUCAAAAUAUAGAUUUGUCAUGACCCACCACAAUUUAGUAACAAGGCUCUUCAAACUAAAUCAUGACCGUCGGUGGGUUUUCUUUAGACUUGGAAUUAUAUUACAAAUGUGAAAGUGAGACCAAUAAUUGAAUUGCUUUAUAUCAACAAUGAUGACGAGCUAGCUGUAAAGAUUGUCAAUAAUGGAAACAUCACUUUAUACUACAGUGUUGAACAAGAUUAAAACAAGAUAUUGAAAUUAUUGUUUAGAUGUGUCUAGAAAGCGACCUGAAUCUUGCAACUCAAUGCAGUUGAUCAGAUCAGUCCAAGCUUUCACUGCCGUAAAUCAAAAUCAAACCCAUCAUAGUUGAGGAAUUACAAUUGUGGAAACUCAGCUCACCUCGAGUAUAAUUGGGGUGUGUUUGUUUCAAGUUAUAAUUGUUGAUUCUCGGGAAUAAAAUGAUAGGAAUGUAUAUGCCUAUGUUUGUUAUAAGUUUACUAAAUUUUAUUCCCGGGUAUAAAAUGUUCCUCGGAAUAUAAAAAAUUUCCCAAGGAAAAGGGUGGGAAUAAAGUUCCCAUGAAGAUGGGAAUAAAUUCAUAAAUAGUUUACAUAUUAUAAUCCCUAUUUUUAUGGUUCUUAGGAAUAUUAUAAAGCUAACCAAACAUAUUUUUCCUAAAUUCCUUGGAAUAAAAUUCUCAUAUUUAUAUUCCAAGGAAUGUUAAUCCUAAAAAUAAAUUUGGUAAACUUGAAACAAACAUUUGUGAUUGUACAAACCAUCCAAAGACUUGUAAAUUUAAUAUUAUGUUUCCUAAAAUGUCUUAUAUAUAUAUAUCACAUUGUUCUUUUAAUUUUUUUUCUUUCUUUCUGAAAUAUCAAAUAUAAUAUCAAAAUAUUGAUUUUUACCUCCAAAGUCUUUUCUUCCAAAAUUCAACUCGCAAAACUUCUAAAACUCAAUAUUUAACUUUUCAAUUAUUGCAUCAUUUUUUUAUUGUAUGAAUCCAUGUGUAUUGUUUUUAGAUUUCCAAAGUGUUGUAUUUUGGUUUUCUAAAUUCUAUUUUGAAAGAGAAUAUCUAUCGAAAUUGUUACUAGGUUGAGUCACGACCAGGUUGCUCUUUUAAGACAUUUCGUGGCACUGCUUAAAAUUGUGCAAGACAGACUAUUAACCACACUGCCUCCAGGAUUAAAAACAAGUUCAACUACAAUUGUGCGGUCAACUACUGACUACAAUUGUGCGGUCAACUACUGACUGUAGAAAACAGUUCGAGUAUUACACCUCCAAUAUGGUAUUAAGACAACUCUUUUAAUAUUGAAACUCAUAUGGUACUGUGACCACUCUAUUAUAGUGUUGAAACCACUCAAAUAUGGUGUUACCACCAUUCUAAUUUUUAACUUCUCCAACAAUGGUACUAUGAUCACUCAAAUACAAUGUUACUACCAUUCUAAUUUCUUCAAGAAUUGAAGAAGAAUAUAUUUUUAAGCUCAUUCUUAUUAUACCGAAAGUGGACUAUGAUCUUAAGAUAUUAUUUAUUCUUAAGAGACAUAAUUAAUUGAAAGGACUAUGCUCUUAAGACCAUUCUUAAUUCCGAAAUGACAAUAUACCGAAAAAGGAUUGUGAUCUUAAGAACACUUUUAAUAUCGAAAUGACAGGAAAAAUAAAUAAAUAAGGAGAAGAAUAACUCGUUAACACAAGCUGGAGGGAGAAGAGAGAAAGAGUUCUCGACAAAGGGGUGGGAAUAGGUCAAACUAGGCUUUGAUAGGUCUAAGCUUGGCUUACAAAAAAUUUUGCAAGUCUGAGUCUGGUCUAUGGCCUUUCAGCCUAUAUUUUUGGCUUGAUCUAGCCUAUUUAAAAGUCUGCCUAGCUUAAAAACCUAUUUACAGGUCUACUUCAUAUUAAAGUCAUUAAAUAUUCAACCUAUUUAAGUAUAAGGCCUCAAAGCCUAUUUAAAAAGUGCAUUAUUUGAGUUUUUUUUCUUGAUUUUUAUGUUUAAUAUAAAUUAUAUUUUAAUAUAAAUAAAAAAUAAAUUUUAAUAAUAUGCAUAAAUAAAGCCUAAGCCUAGCCUUUUUCGUAAACAGGUCAGGCUUAAACCGGAAAAUUCACAACUAACUUGCGAACUUCUAAUAAUGAUUAAAUUAAUUAUUUAAUAUUUAAUUUAACAUUUCUAAAUAAUAAAAUAUAUAUUUUUUCAACAGUGCUUACUUCAUUUACAUAAUUUUGCACCCCCUUUAAAGGUACACCUUAUUAUAUAAGGACUACUAAUUUAUGUGUCCCAUUUAAUGUGAGACUUUCACUUUUUUCAAUUCACACAACAUUGGUUCUACCCAACAUAAAAUUUUGUGUUUAAUCUUUUAACUCAAUUUUCACACAUGUUUCAACAAUGUGCCACCAAAUAUUUUCUUGACCCACCACACUUUAGCUAGCUAAAUCAUUGCAAACGUGAAAGUGAGACCAAUAAUGACUAGCUAGCUGUAAAUAUUCUCAAUUCUCAAUAUUCUUAUGAUGCUAGCGACUGCAAAUUGGAAAACCAAUAAAUAACAAUAUCAUUUUACUUGAUCAAGUUUGGUUGAUUCCUGCACACUUCAAAGAUAAAGUAAGUUUUCUAAAAUUGUUGGAAAGAUUGUCUAGUUGUUGAACCAAAAUUAAGCCUCCUAUGUAUAUUUCUACAGCAGAGUUGCUCAGACGGCUUGAACAUUUGCUGAAAGUGUGCUGGAGUUAUGGUAACCAACAAACAAUCAUGUUUUAACAAUUUUCAGUCGAUAUCAAUUGGUCUCAGGUAAAUUGCUGAAAGUGUACUUGAGUAUGCGCUGAAUGUGCCGAAAAUACUGUGUUGGAAAGAUCAGGUAAAUAUCAAUUUCAUUUUGCUUCAUCAUUCAUUCAAAUAUAAAGUAGGUUUUCUGAAAUUGUUGGAAAGAUUGUCUAGUUGUUGAACCAAAGUAUAUUUCUACAGCAGAGUUUCAAUGAACGCUUGAACAUUUGCUGAAAGUGCUGGAGAUAAGGUAACCAACAAACAAUCAUACUUUAACAAUUUUCAGUCAAUAUUUUAAUUAAUUGUUUACAAAGGUUUAUAAAUCAACUAGAGAAACCAACUCGAGUUGAUAAGGUAGAAUCAAACAUAGUCUAUAAGGAAUUUUUUGCAGUGAAUAUUACUCCUAAUUCUCUAAAUUCUAGCUGCUGCCUGCUGUCGAGAAAGAAAAAUAUUGUUAAAAAGUACGUCCUUACAACAGUAACACAAUUGAGGUAGAAAAUAAUCUCAUGGUUGUUUUUCUUUUAUCACUUCCUCAGAUUUUCUAUUUGUAUAUGAUUUCCAAUUUUGGUCUUCACUCUACUUUUCUACAUGGUCCUUUUUUCAUGACUUGUUUAUCAUUUUCAAAGAUAAAUUGGGUAUUCAGAGAUUGGCUUAAAGGAUCUUAAACUUUAAUAUUGGAUGAACUCCCAUUUGAACUUUCUCAAAUAUUUGUUUGAACAAGCUAAGAAAAUUCUUUGAUGAAAAGUGUGUCAUCAACUAUCAUUUUUCAAAUUAACAGACCCUGAAUGAAGAAAAUCUUCUUACAAUAAAAGAACAUGAAUGAUAUGCUAUGAGAAUGAGAUUCAUUAUCAACCAUUGUAUUUUUCAACAUACACAAACAUAUGUCUAACUUUGAUGUAUUGAAAUUCAUUUAGAUGGCGAGUUUUCUAACUGAUUUGGCGAAGACCUAUGUGGAGAAAUUGAUAAAUGGGGUGAUCGCAGAGUCAAGUUAUAUAUGUUGCUUCACGUGCAUUGCUAAUGAUUUUGAAGAAGAAAGAUCUAGAUUGGAAAUAGAAAGCACAACAGUUAAGCAACGUGUUCAUGUGGCAACCAGUAGAGGAGAAGUUAUUCAAGCUAAUGCUCUUUUUUGGGAAAAAGAAGCUGAUGAGCUCAUUCAAGAAGACACCAAAACAAAACAAAAAUGUCUUUUUGGAUUUUGUCCUCAUAUCAUAUGGCGAUAUAAAAAGGGAAAGGAACUGACAAAUAAGAAGGAGCAAAUUAAAAGAUUGAUUGAAAAUGGAAAGGAUCUUGUAAUUGGACUCCCUGCUCCUCUUCCAGAUGUUGAACGUUAUUCAUCCAGAGACUAUAUUUCUUUUGAAAGUAGAAAAUCCAAAUACAAAGAGCUUUUUGAUGCUCUGAAAGAUGACAACAGUUAUAUAACCGGGUUGCAAGGGAUGGGGGGCACAGGAAAAACUACAAUGGCCAAAGAAGUGGGGAAGGAACUUAAGCAAUUCAAACAAUUUACUUACGUCAUCGAUACAACAGUGUCAUUGUCUCCUGAUAUCAGAAAGAUUCAAGAUGAUAUCGCUGGACCCUUGGGAUUGAAAUUUGACGACUGUGGUGAAUCAGACCGACCCAAAAAACUAUGGAGCAGAUUAACCAAUAGAGGUAAGAUUGAUCAGAACGAGGAAAAGAAGAUUCUUCUAAUAUUGGAUGAUGUGUGGGAUGUUAUCGAUUUUGAUAAAAUAGGGAUUCCUGACAAUCACAAAGACUGUAGAAUUCUUGUAACCACGCGCAAUCUCUAUGUCUGCAACAGAUUAGGAUGCAAUAAGACAAUCCAACUGGAGGUCUUAUCUGAUGAAGAAGCAUGGACCAUGUUCCAAAGGCAUGCUGGUCUAAAAGAAAUGUCACCUGCAAGUUUGCUCGACAAGGGCCGCAAAAUUGCAAAUGAAUGCAAAGGAUUACCGGUUGCAAUUGUUGUUAUCGCCAGUAGUUUGAAGGGCAUACAAAAUCCGAAAGUGUGGGAUGGAGCCUUAAAAUCCUUGCAAAAACCCAUGCACGGUGUUGAUGAGGAAGUUGUUAAAAUUUAUAAAUGCUUGCAUGUUAGCUAUGAUAAUAUGAAGAAUGAGAAUGCCAUGAGACUAUUCCUCUUGUGUUCUGUAUUUCGAGAAGAUGAAAAAAUUUAUACCAAAAGGUUAACCAGACUUGGCAUCGGAGGAGGCCUUUUUGGGGACGAUUUUGACAGCUAUGAUGAUGCUCGAAACCAAGUUGUUAUAUCCACAAAUAAACUCCUAGAAUUUUGUUUAUUGUUGGAGGCCGGUCGAGAUCAAAGCAUCCUGAGAAUGCAUGACUUGGUUCGUGAUGCUGCCCAAUGGACGAGCAGAGAGUUUCAAAGAGUAAAGUUAUAUGAUAAAUAUCAAAAAGCAAGGGUUGAAAGGGAGAUGAAUAUUAAAUAUUUAUUAUGUGAAGGCAAGCCUAAGGAUGUGUUUUCCUUUAAGCUUGAUGGUUCCAAGCUUGAGAUUCUAAUUGUCAUUAUGCAUAAGGAUGAAGAUUGUCAGAAUGUGAAAAUCGAAGUCCCGAACUCAUUCUUUGAAAAUAUUACGGGCCUUCGAGUUUUUCAUCUAAUAUAUGACCAUUAUCCUAAUAUAUCUCUAUCAUUACCUCACUCAGUUCAGUCGAUGAAAAAUAUUCGAUCUCUUCUCUUUGAGCGUGUCAAUUUGGGUGACAUCUCUAUUUUGGGAAACCUGCAAAGCCUUGAGACUCUUGAUUUGGAUGAUUGUAAAAUUGAUGAAUUGCCUCAUGGAAUCGCAAAACUAGAGAAACUGAAAUUAUUGAACUUGAAUAAUUGAAGAAUUGCAAGGAAUAAUCCUUUUGAAGUGAUUGAAGGAUGCUCAUCACUUGAAGAGUUGUAUUUCACAGGUAGCUUUAAUGAUUUUUGCAAAGAAAUAACUUUCCCUAAACUACGAAGGUUUAAUAUUGAUGAAUAUUCAAGUUCAGUGGACGAAUCAUCAUCAAAGUGUGUGUCUGUUUUAUUCAAAGAUAAGUUUUUCCUAACUGAAAGAACACUCAAGUAUUGUAUGCAAGAAGCAGAGGUUCUUGCACUAAGAAGAAUCGAGGGGGAAUGGAAAAACAUCAUACCUGAGAUUGUUCCCAUGGAUCAAGGUAUGAAUGAUAUAGUUGAGCUUCGUUUGGGAUCCAUUUCACAAUUACAGUGCCUCAUUGACACUAAGCACACUGAAUCUCAAGUGUCAAAAGUCUUCUCCAAGUUGGUUGUACUAGAACUUUGGAACCAAGAUAAUUUGGAAGAAUUGUUCAAUGGUCCUCUUUCCUUUGACUCUCUGAAAAGUUUAAAGGAGUUGUCCAUCAGUGAUUGUAAACAUUUGAAAAGCUUAUUUAAGUGCAACCUAAACCUAUUCAAUCUAAAGAGUGUGUUAUUGAAAGGAUGCCCGAUGUUGAUCUCCCUAUUACAACUGUCAACUGCUGUUAGCCUAGUGUUGUUGGAGACGCUGGAAAUAAUUGACUGUGAGCUUCUUGAAAACAUAAUAAUAGAUGAAAGAAAAGGGCAGGAAUCGAGAGGUGAAAUAGUCGAUGAUAAUGAUAACACAAGUCAUGGCUCAAUGUUUCAGAAAUUGAAAGUUCUUAGUAUUAAGAAGUGUCCAAGAAUCGAAUUAAUACUUCCGUUUCACUCUCCUCAUGAUCUUCCAACACUAGAAUCCAUCACAAUUAAAAGUUGUGAUAAGCUGCAGUACAUAUUUGGCAAAGAUGUCAAACUUGGUUCCCUCAAAAAAAUGAUGCUUGAUGGCAUACCGAAUUUGAUCCAUAUUUUCCCAGAAUGUAACCGUACCAUGGCUUCGCCCAUUAAGAAGACAUCUUCCAAGCCAGAAGAUCAAUCAAAGUCAAUCAAAUGCAAUAUGUUUUCAUGGACUGAUAUAUAUUGUUGUGGUAAAAAAUAUGGUAACACAAGUACUAAAAUCCCAUUGGUUUCUGAGUCUAAGGAUCAACAACAGGACAACUUAAUGGUAACCCUCUCACUUUAUAUUCCAUGAUAUUUUUUAUAUUUUUUUUUAUAGGAAACUGUUGGUACAUUUUAUUAUUUGAAAAAACUAUUUUUUUAAGGAAAACAAAACUACUAAUAUAAUAGCAAAUUACUAAAUACCAAAAAGUGUUCACUUUUUUUUGUGGUGUCCGGGAUUCAAACCCCAGACCUUGCAUAUAUUAUGCAUUGUCCUUACCAUUUGAACUAAGCUCACGAGGACCAAAAAAGUGUUCACUAAUACAAUAUAAUAAUGUACCCAUUUUUUCGUAUCAAUUAAUAGUAUAACAAGUAUAAUAUUAUUUCAAGUAUUUAAGAGCAUCUCCAAUGGGAGGUUCUUACUUAACAAGGAUCACUCCCUAUUAAAGACCCCCCAUUGGAGGAAGAAAAAAUGAGUUCUUAUUAAGGAACGGGUCACUAUAUAAAGACUCUUUCUCUCCUAAGCAACUAAUGGGUUCCACGUUUAAAAUAAAUAAUAAUAUAUGUAUUACUUGGUCCCACUUGCAAAAGAAAUAAUAUUUUAAGAAUUGGUCCCACUUGCAAUAUAAAUAAUUUUUUUCUUUUAAUGAUGUAAAGUUAGUGAGACUUAUUUAAGUAAUUUUUAUGGGAGUCCUUGUUAGUGUAUUACCAUUGGAGUCAUCGGGUCUUUAAUAGAUACUUUUAUUAAAAAAAUUAUAAAUAAGUGAUGUGUACAUGCGGGAUCCAUUUAAGGAGUCCCUAUUAAAGAUUACCAUUGUAGAUGCUCUAAUAGCUUUGGUGCAUUAAGUUAAUUAUAGAUAAAUGUAAGUCGGUCUGUAAAUUAAAUAUCAAUGUUAAUUUAAUUAAAUAAUGUAGUACUUUCUUUUGGUUACAUUCUAAUAUAAUAAUUUAUAAUCCAUAGCCAUUUGUUGCAGGAAUUGAGUGGGAAUGUGGACCAUUUUCUCUCUUUGGAGAGACUCAUAGUAAAGAAUAACUCCAAAGUAGAAAGUAUCAUUUGUAUAAAUGAAAUAAAUGAACAGCAAAUGAACUUAGCUUUGAAAGACAUUGAUUUGGAUGUUUUGCCUGCGAUGACAUGCCUUUUUGUGGGUCCAAAAAAUUUGUUUUUCCUCCAAAACCUUACCCAUUUAAAGAUCAUGCGAUGUGAAAAAUUGAAAAUUGUUUUCUCCACUUCUAUAAUAAGGUAUCUACCACAGUUGCUUAUCUUGAGAAUUGAAGAAUGCAAAGAAUUGAAGCAUAUAAUUGAAGAUGAUUUGGAGAAUAAAAAAUCCUCAAAUUUUAUGUCCACAACAAAGACAUGCUUCCCAAAGUUAAAAAUGGUUGUUGUAGUAAAGUGCAACAAGUUGAAAUAUGUCUUUCCAAUCUCCGUAUGUAAAGAGCUUCCUGAGCUAUAUUAUCUGAUCAUAAGAGAAGCAGACGAGUUAGAGGAAAUAUUUGUAAGUGAAGGUGAUGAUCACAAAGUGGAGAUUCCAAAUCUGAAAGUUGUAAUAUUUGAAAAUCUACCAAGCCUCAAUCAUGCCCAGGGAAUUCAAUUUCAAGAUGUAAAACAUCGUUUCAUACAGAAUUGUCAAAAACUCUCUCUGACUUCAGCAAUAACCGCAGACUUUAAAAAGGAUCUUUCCGGUUUAUAUAUUAACAUCUACGGUAACAUCUACGGUACACACUUCUUCAAAAAAAACAUCUACAGUACACAUUCUAUCCAAUAUUUUUUUAAAUUAUUACAUGUUGGCAGGGCCGUCCCUGUGAAAUAGGAGGCUCGGCUCUCUUUUUAAAAUAGGCCCCUAGUAAAAUAAAAUAUAAUUUUUUUUUGUGUAGCUAAAUUUCAUUAAAAGAAAUCAAAAUCAGAAGAACUUCUAAACAUGAAAGGAAUUAAAAAAAAUUAAGUGAAAGAGGUGAAAUUUAUCUAACGGCGUCGUUUGAACUUGUCACUCCUCUGUUGUGGAAAAUGGUAAAACGAAUGGUUUAUGCGAAGAAAAAAUGAUUGUUGUGAUUCUUUCAAUGAAAUAGCUUUCCAAAUUGACUGAUUAAGUGAUUAUACAAAUUAAGGGUGAUUUGAUAGGAUCUGAUUUAUGUACAAAAAGGAGAACUAGAGUCUAGAAAAAAUCUCAAAUGUGUACUAAAGAAAGAAAAUGAUAUAACAUAUAUAUUUUUUAGUUAAAUGGGGGGUGGGUAUUAUAUUUAAUUUUUCGUUAAAGGCCCGUAACAUUUGAAGGCCCGAUCUGGUUGAGCACCUUGCACACCCUCAAAGCCUGGCCUACAUGUUGGUUGUAAAAUAUUACAUACCAUUUGUUUAAAGGAUAUAUAAACAACUGAAUCUUCUAAAGUAGCGAUAUAAGGUAUGCUGUGUGCAUGCAUAAGUAUUUCUAAAAUGUAAGGGCUCAUGUAGUGACCUAUCUAAUAUAAGCUUUAAUUUUAUGUAAAAUUUAAUUAUUAUAUAGAUAGAUAAACAAUGGGCUUAAAUGCACUUUUCAUCGCCUAAUUGUUUACAAAAAUAGCGAUUUUGACCCUUUUUAAAAAAAUGGCAAAAGUGAUCCAUGUUUACCCCUUUUGCAAACCUCAAUUCUGACUUUGUCAACCGUAGGUGGCCUGUGUAUUUUUUUUUUUAUUUUUUUUUAUUUUUUUUAAUUGGCAAUUCCACGCGUUUAUUAAAUGAAAUUAAAAAAAAACAGAUUGGAAGAAAAAUAGAGAAGGCACGUGCAAGCUCUCAUCAAUUAUUUCUCUUCAUCAAUUUUUCAUGUGUUCUUCCCCAAAACUUUGAUCUUCAUGUUUAUGUGUUCUUCCCCGAAAUCCAAAUCUAAAAAACAACUUACCAUCAUCAAUUGUUUGGUCCUAAAAAAAAUCAUUCUCGUUAAUAUUAGAAUAUAGUGAGAAUAAACUAGAGUUACUUAGUGGUAACUAUAGUAGAAAGUUAGUUAGAGAGUUAGUUACUCCAAGUCACUAUAAAUAAGCUACACCUAUGUACUAUUUCACCAUCUUUUAUUCAAUUGCAUCUUUGUGAUGACUCCUAGAGAGAACUACACAAUUUACCUUUCCAUUGCAUUUGAUCUAGAACCAUGGAAUCCUUUGAUUCAUAACAAUUAACACUCAAAUAUUCAAACUCGUGACUUUCAUCACAAAUUUAUUAACUUGCCAACAACCUUGAGAAAAACUACCAUAGUCUCCGAGGUUCAUCUACGAACAUGAGAACGAAAUUUGGAAAAACAACCAUCUCCAACCCAAACCCAACAUACAAACACAUAUCUGUUCCCAAAACCUUGAAAUACAACCUUCAAUUGAAACUCAUAAAAUUAAAUAGAUAAAAAACUGGGAAAAAAAAAAAGUGGAAUCAAUUUGAUGGGUUGAAGUUUUGUGUUUGAAACUAGAAGAUGAUUCAUAAUGGAUCUGCGAAAAAAAUUAAAUUAGAACAAGGAGAGUGGAAUUUUUAUGUUUGAAUUCAUUUGGUUUGAUUAUCAUUGGGUGAUGCUUCAGCUUCUGUGGAUUGUCGUGGUGCUAAUGGUGGUGGUGAUGGUGAUGAGAAGAAAAAGAAGAAGGUUGUUGGAUAGUUCUUCGUGCAAAAGGGGGUAAACAUGGGGUUACUUUUGCCAUUUUUUUGAAAAGGAGUCAAAAUUGUUAUUUUUGCAAACUUACGGGUUAAAUAGUGCGUUUAAGCCUAAACAAUAUUGUGCAUCUUUAAACAUAAAAAUGAUGAUUUUAUUAUUCUCUAUAUAAUGAUGUUAAUCUCUAUAUUAUUUCGCUGUAGAUCCUGAAUUGUGUAAGUAUUUCGUGUUUCUGUUUGUACAACAAUUAAAAAAAAAGACCAAAGGCAACAAUAGUCGUAAUGAAAAUCCAGAAACCUCAAAAAAAAUUGCCGUUGGGGUUGAAGUUAAAGCAUCAUCAGAACAUGGGCUGACUUCUCCAAAGGUCAAUACCAAUCUAUUGAUUCAAGCUUACCACACCAGAAUUUUAAUGGAUGUAAUUACUAAUUAAUAGCUUAAGAUCAUUAAUGCUUAUGUUCUUGUUACAGGAGUUGAUGAAUGAACAAUCAAUGGACCAACAACGUUCACUUGGAGAAACUGAUACUUCCGUCAAACCUUCUCAGGUAAAUCGUGUAAAAACCAAGAUUACAAAAGAAUGAGCCACCUAUACAAUUAAUUACACCUAUUGGACCCACCACCAUUUAUAUCCGUAAAUUACUCUUUAGCACUAUCACAAUCACUCUUUUAUGCAAGUGUCAUUGGUUGAGCAACACUUAAGUGUUGUUCUCCUACCCAUCGGCAAUUAAAUGUUGUUAGAUCGGUUCAAUCACUUUUUAAAUCGGUUAAAAAGUAUCUGAAUGACAGUUAACUACCGUUAGGGGGUAAAUGAAUAAUUUUGGAGCCUGAUAGCAAUUUUAGAAGCCUAAAGAGCAAUUGUCUUUAUAUCCUUGCACCAAGUCCAACAUUUUAUGAAUUUGUUUUAGGUCCAACCAAGAUUUUAAAAAAGCUAAAAGUGAAAUACUAAAAGAAAAAGAUUUUAUUUCAAGUGCUUCUUAUAAAUAUAUGGAUUGUGGAACUAACUAAUUUACAUUUUUAUGAUAUGCAAUUAGUUGGAGGGUUCUACUACAUCAGAAAAAAAAUGUAGCAAAAACGUGUUCCACCAAUUCACCAACAAAAAAUGAGCCACCUAUACAAGUAGUUACUCCUUCUUAGUAUUCAUUUUGACACUUUGUCAAUGCAGGAGUUGAAUUAUACUACAAUCUUAAAAAUCUUUUAAAUUUUAAGCAGGUUAGUGAAAUAAGUGUUGAAGAAGGAACUACAUCAGCUAAUGCCAAGAGAACAACAGCAUCAUCACAAGUGAGUUUAUUUUAUUUAACAUAGCCUUCAUAUUAACUUGGUCUUUUUAUUAUUAUUAUUAUUAUUAUUAUUAUUCAAUUUUCAUGGAAUUGGAUUUGUAAGAAUCAAGCUCGAAGCUAAUUUCGAUAUAUCGAGAAGAAAAAAAAUUGGAAUCUAUUUGUUGUCAAAAUUCCGAUUUAAAUCGUAAAAUUCAGGAUUUUGCGACUUUAUUCACUUUCAGUGACUCAAAUCCAUAGCAAAAUUCUCAAAUAGGCAAAAUUCUAGUAAAAUCACAUCAAAAUCGUAAAAUCCAUACAAAAUCGAAGGAUUUUAAAGGGUUUGAAGGAUUUUAUCCAUUUUUGUAUAAGUAUUUUGUGGACAAUUUAUAACAUAUGUUUAACAUUAUUUUUGUUUUGGUAAAAUAUAUUGAUUUUGAUUCCUAUUUUACAAUUUCUUAUAUCAAUUUUACAAAAGUAGUUGAGUAAAAUCCUUCGAUUUUGAUAGCGAUUUUACGAUUCUCGAUUUUACUCUACCAUUUUAACUUGAAGUAAAAUCCUAAUUUUGACAACCUUGAAUCCACAGCUUUUGAAUUUUGGAAAAGUUUUAUUUAAGAAAGUAUAAUGUUAGACAAGUUUAGACCAUUUUAUCCUUGAUUCAUUUACAAAAAAUUAAUUCAUUGAAUGCAUGCUUUGGGUUUUUGUAAGGGUACAAAAGAAAAAAUAUCAUUAAUCCAAAAAAAUAUUAAGACUUGAUGAUGAUAUCAUUUGUUUAUUUGAAUUUGUGUAGGAAUGUGGUGACUGCCAAAUAGUCAUACCUUCUCAGGAUGUUGAUAUUAACAUCAAUGAUGAUCAAGGUGAUGAAGACUCUUUAGAUCAAUUAUAUUUUCUUUAGUUACCUCAUCACUCACCCUUUUCAUUUUGAACUUUAACUCUCUUCUCUCACACCAUUUGUUCAGUUUCUGUAAAUGAUGAUGCUGUCAUAAAAGUAAAGGAACAAUUAUCUAAGGAUGUUGAAUUUAAAGUUCCAGAAUCUAUCAUUCCUUUGCCUCAAGAAUUUCAAACUCCUUCAAUGCUAUCCGGAGGUAUAGAUUUUCUCCCUUAUCUUAAAAACUUAAUUUUGUGCUAAAAAUAGGAUUAAUUAUUCUUUCCUUUACUUUCAGGAGACCCUUCUCAAAAUGUAGAAGAUUUAAGUUCUUCUUUGUUUGUCAAGAGUGAGCUUGAGCAACUAGUCUCCAAGAAUCAUUUGGAUUAUGAGAACUUAUCUCUAUUGACAGGUUUCCUUGUUAAAAAUCCUUCUGUUCGUUUAAAAGACAAUUCACUGCGUAAUAGAUUCAAGGGUUGUGCUUACAACUUAUUGGCAGAGCUAUUGAAAUUCCUUGAAACUCAUAGUGUCUUGGAUGUAUUAGGCUCAUGCCACUCUGAAUUUGUGGAUCUACUACUAGAUGCGCGCAACUUUGGUUUUGAUAAGGAUUGGUUGGAUAGUGUCGAAAGGCGGGCUAUGUUUCCUGAUAUACAAAUAUCUCAAGACGCCAUGCAAAAAUUAUUGGAUUCCAAGCAACAAAUUACCAAGGAAGUUGAAGUGUUGCAUUUAAAGAUAGAGAUUUUAAGUCAACAUGUGGAAGAUCUUAAGCAUCAAUUGACAUCCUCUAAAGCUGUUUUGAAGAAUAUAAUUCAACAAGAGGCGGUUUUAAGUGCACCUAUUGGUUAUUAGACUAUAUUUUCAAGUACUUUUAUUUCAUCAUUGCUGCUUUGUUAUGCUUUUCAUUGUGGGAACCUUUGUUCUUCAAUAUUUUUUAAUAAGGUUUUGAUUGGAUGGUGUCAAAAAGUGCGCUUUGUUUCUUGAUUUCCAGGUUUUGACUCUACAGGUGAGGAGUCUUCCGCCUAAUUCUACCCAAAGCCCCAAUCUCUUCCCGUAACCAAGAGACUUCAUCCUAAUAGUGUUUCCCAAGGUGAAUCAAUCCUCAAACCCUAGUGUUUGUUCCCAAGAGACAAACUCUAGUUUUGUUGUUGCCUUUCUAAACCCUUGUUUCAGCCCCCUCUAUCUCAAGGUUUACUCUGAUACAACGCAUAUAUUUAUAGUAAAAGAAUCCUCAAUAAAACUGGAACAAAUCUAGGCCCGAAAAUACGUUUCUGUUUUAUUUUCUGCUGUCAAAAUCGGCCACCGAAUGCUCCAAAUCGGUCGCUGAUUUUUGCCGAACCAAUAAACAAAAAACCAGAGUGCAAAAUCGGCCACCGAUUUUCUACUUCCAGAAUUCCAAUUUCUUCAAUUUUGAGGCACUUUCACAACAAUCUCCACCUUGACUUUAAAUUAAUGAUGAUGCCAAACCAUCAACCACCAUGCUGCUCUUUCCCUUGCUUCCCACUACACCAAGUAGCUCCACAAGUUUACACCUUAAUCCCUUCAGCCAUCGGAAUGUCUUCCUCCUUCUCAAAGGUCCUUGCAGUCCAACUACACUAGAAAUUUUAGGUAGUUCCACAAGCAUUCACCUUAACCUCUUCAGCCAUCGGAACGUCUUCCGUCUUCUCGAAGAAUCCUUGCAGUCCAACUACAUUAGGUGUUUUAGGUAGUUUCACAAGCAUUCACCAUAACCUCUUCAACACAUGACAUCUUCCGCUUCCUUGAAAGUCUCCUUGCUUCCAAUCACCCUUGGCCUUUUUUUAGGGUAAUCCCGCAAGUUGCGCUAUACAUUCUUCAACCUCCGGAAUGCCUUUCGUCUUCAUGAAGAAAUCCCUUGCUCGCCAUAGAGCAUAGCACCCAAGGUCAUCCAUAGUCGUACCAUUACCGGUGUGUUCAACUCCACCUCAAGCUGAGCGUACUCUACCUCAACUAGCAAAUGCGUACAUCCCACUAUGUCUUCAACCUUGAAACUCCACCUCAACAGGUAGAUCAUGAGUAUUAUAGAUUUGUCAUGACCCACCUCAAUUUAGUAACAAGGGUCUUCAAACUAAAUCAUGACCGUCGGUGGGUUUUCUUUAGACUUGGAAUUAUAUUACAAAUGUGAAAGUGAGACCAAUAAUUGAAUUGCUUUAUAUCAACAAUGAUGACUAGCUAGCUGUAAAGAUUGUCAAUAAUGGAAACAUCACUUUAUACUAAAGUGUUGAACAAGAUUAAAACAAGAUAUUGAAAUUAUUGUUUAGAUGUGUCUAGAAAGCGACCUGAAUCUUGCAACUCAAUGCAGUCGAUCAGAUCAGUGCAAGCUUGAGGAAUUACAAUUGUGGAAACUCAGCUCACCUCGACUAAUUUCAGUUUCCAUAAUCCACUCACCCAUUAACAAAAAAGAUUUAUCCUUAGCCAAUAAAAUUGUGCAAUUGAACGAUUCGUGGAAAAUUAUUCAUCAACGCAUCAUAUUUUGAGUGAUGAAAGGUGGAUUUCUCGGAUCUCAUCAUAAGAUCCCUCAUCAUAAUACCCCCACAAAAAAUUAUAAGAAAAAUUAUUCAUCGACACAUCAUAUUGAGAAAUUACAAAAACUUGUGUGUUUCAUUCCAUUGGAUAUAUCUAAAAUUGAGGGAAUGAAAAAAAAUAAAUGGUAUUAGAUGGAACGGAUUUCAUCAUGCUCCAUUUUAUUUCUGUCAUUUCUUUUACAAAAUCAAUCAAUGGAAUAUGAUUUUACCCCGCUCCGCUCCACCAUUUUCCAUUGAUACAAGUCUUAGGUUUUAUUAUGAGUUUAAAGGGGAAAAGAGAGCUUUGAAAAAAAUUAUAAGUUGUUUUAAGAAAGAAAAAAAUUGUCAUAAAUUAUAAAUCACUUUACAAUAUCAAUAAAAUAUGGGAAAUGCUAACUGGUGCCCCCAAGACACUGGUUAAGGAUAUGAAAAAAGAAAUUAAAUAGUAGUUAAUGCAUUGAAAUUGUAUAAUUAAUUUAUAAUAAAGUCAAAAGCAGAUUCCUUUUAUGGUAAUAAUUCCCUUUUAUGGUAUACUUAAACAGUGCUCUGAAGACACCGGUUAGCCCAUAAAAUAUUAAAAGUCAUUUUGAGAAAGAAAAGAUUUAAUUUGCAUACACGACAAUGUAAGUUCCUAAAAUAUCUUUGGAAAUACGUUUUAUGAUUUGAUUUGUUGAACAUCCUACCUUAGAUGACUAAAUCUAUAUGUUGAUCUUAUAUUUAUAUUUUAAAAAGAUUAAAAGAUAAACAUGAUAUAUCAUGUUGUAAUUGUACAGACCUUCCGGAUAUGUAAAUUUAGGGUGCGUUUGUUUCAAGUUAUAUUCGUAUAUUCUUAGGAAUAAAAAGAUAGAAAUAUACAUGCUUAUGUUUGUUACAAGAUUAGUAAAUUUUAUUUUCGGAUAUAAAACGUUCUUGGGAAUAGAAAUAUAUUAUCAAAAUAUAGAUUUGUCAUGACCCACCACAAUUUAGUAACAAGAGUCUUCAAACUAAAUCAUGACCGUCGGUGGGUUUUCUUUAGACUUGGAAUUAUAUUACAAAUGUGAAAGUGAGACCAAUAAUUGAAUUGCUUUAUAUCAACAAUGAUGACUAGCUAGCUGUAAAGAUUGUCAAUAAUGGAAACAUCACUUUAUACUACAGUGUUGAACAAGAUACAAACAAAAUAUUGAAAUUCUUGUUCUCAUCGUGGGUUAUUGUUUAGAUGUGUCUAGAAAGCGACCUGAAUCUUGCUUGCAACUCAAUGCAGUCGAUCAGAUCAGUCCAAGCUUUCAUAGUUGAGGUUUUCAGUUUCCAUAAUCCACUCACCCAUUAACAAAAAAGAUUUAUCCACCACACUUUAGCUAGCUACCACACUUUUAACUCAAGUUUUCUAAAAUUGUUGGAAAGAUUGUCUAGUUGUUGAACCAAAAUUAAGCCUCCAAAGUAUAUUUCUACAGCAGAGUUGCUCAUACGGCUUGAACAUUUGCUGAAAGUGUGCUGGAGUUAAGGUAACCAACAAACAAUCAUGCUUUAACAAUUUUCAGUCGAUAUUUUAAUUAAUUGUUUACAGUGACCAAGUUCUAGAUUUCAUACGAUUAUUACAAGGGUUUAUAAAUCAACUUGAGUUUUAUGCUUUCUAUUAUCUUUUAGACAAACUCUAAAACAAAACUCUAACACUUAUAUUAAUAUUUAACCAUCGUAAACAAAAAAAUAAUUCAAUAAACCAAAGUAUUCAAAAUUGUCUUUAAUGAGAAUCUUUUACAAAUGAAUUGUUUGCACUAUCUUUAAAGAUUCUUGUGAUUCUAGGUACUGCAGACCGGAGAAGGAUGAGGAAGAUUGUUCAUGAGACUUGAGUAUGCGUUGAAUGUGCCGAAAAUACUGUGUUGGAAAGAUCAGGUAAAUAUCAAUUUCAUUUUGCUUCAUCAUUCAUUCAAAUAUAAAGUAGGUUUUCUGAAAUUGUUGGAAAGAUUGUCUAGUUGUUGAACCAAAGUAUAUUUCUACAGCAGAGUUUCAAUGAACGCUUGAACAUUUGCUGAAAGUGCUGGAGAUAAGGUAACCAACAAACAAUCAUACUUUAACAAUUUUCAGUCUAUUUUAAUUAAUUGUUUACAAAGGUUUAUAAAUCAACUAGAGAAACCAACUCGAGUUGAUAAGGUAGAAUCAAACAUAGUCUAUAAGGAAUUUUUUGCAGUGAAUAUUACUCCUAAUUCUCUAAAUUCUAGCUGCUGCCUGCUGUCGAGAAAGAAAAAUAUUGUUAAAAAGUACGUCCUUACAACAGUAACACAAUUGAGGUAGAAAAUAAUCUCAUGGUUGUUUUUCUUUUAUCACUUCCUCAGAUUUUCUAUUUGUAUAUGAUUUCCAAUUUUGGUCUUCACUCUACUUUUCUACAUGGUCCUUUUUUCAUGACUUGUUUAUCAUUUUCAAAGAUAAAUUGGGUAUUCAGAGAUUGGCUUAAAGGAUCUUAAACUUUAAUAUUGGAUGAACUCCCAUUUGAACUUUCUCAAAUAUUUGUUUGAACAAGCUAAGAAAAUUCUUUGAUGAAAAGUGUGUCAUCAACUAUCAUUUUUCAAAUUAACAGACCCUGAAUGAAGAAAAUCUUCUUACAAUAAAAGAACAUGAAUGAUAUGCUAUGAGAAUGAGAUUCAUUAUCAACCAUUGUAUUUUUCAACAUACACAAACAUAUGUCUAACUUUGAUGUAUUGAAAUUCAUUUAGAUGGCGAGUUUUCUAACUGAUUUGGCGAAGACCUAUGUGGAGAAAUUGAUAAAUGGGGUGAUCGCAGAGUCAAGUUAUAUAUGUUGCUUCACGUGCAUUGCUAAUGAUUUUGAAGAAGAAAGAUCUAGAUUGGAAACAGAAAACACAACUGUCAAGCAACGUGUUGAUGUGGCAACCAGUAGAGGAGAAGUUAUUCAAGCUAAUGCUCUUUUUUGGGAAAAAGAAGCUGAUGAGCUCAUUCAAGAAGACACCAAAACAAAACAAAAAUGUCUUUUUGGAUUUUGUCCUCAUAUCAUAUGGCGAUAUAAAAAGGGAAAGGAACUGACAAAUAAGAAGGAGCAAAUUAAAAGAUUGAUUGAAAAUGGAAAGGAUCUUGUAAUUGGACUCCCUGCUCCUCUUCCAGAUGUUGAACGUUAUUCAUCCAGAGACUAUAUUUCUUUUGAAAGUAGAAAAUCCAAAUACAAAGAGCUUUUUGAUGCUCUGAAAGAUGACAACAGUUAUAUAACCGGGUUGCAAGGGAUGGGGGGCACAGGAAAAACUACAUUGGCCAAAAAAGUGGGGAAGGAACUUAAGCAAUGCAAACAAUUUACUAACGUCAUCGAUACAACAGUGUCAUUGUCUCCUGAUAUCAGAAAGAUUCAAGAUGAUAUCGCUGGACCCUUGGGAUUGAAAUUUGACGACUGUAGUGAAUCAGACCGACCCAAAAAACUAUGGAGCAGAUUAACCAAUGAAGGUAAGAUUGAUCAGAACGAGGAAAAGAAGAUUCUUCUAAUAUUUGAUGAUGUGUGGGAUGAUAUCGAUUUUGAUAAAAUAGGGAUUCCUGACAAUCACAAAGACUGUAGAAUUCUUGUAACCACACGCAGUCUCUCUGUCUGCCACAGAUUAGGAUGCAAUAAGAAAAUCCAACUGGAGGUCUUAUCUGAUGAAGAAGCAUGGACCAUGUUCCAAACGCAUGCUGGUCUAAAAGAAAUGUCACCUACAAGUUUGCUCGACAAGGGCCGUAAAAUUGCAAAUGAAUGCAAAGGAUUACCAGUUGCAAUUGCUGUUAUCGCCAGUAGUUUGAAG
rnacentral:lncRNA from 1 species